rnacentral:lncRNA from 1 species
GCCCGCCCGGUGGUGACCUUCCUGCUUCUUCCUCUUCCUCAGCUCAGAUCAGAUCAGAUGGUUUUGGUGGGUAACAAGGAUGAUAGUUUUUGUUGUUGCUGAUCCUUUCUGGGUUAGAUCUGCCAAAGAUGCCUUUUGUGUGUAACAGAUCCAAGAGGCUAGCCUUGCUUCAUCCUUACUUCCCCACUUAGAUCUGCCAAGCAACUUUACUAGUUUAAAUUAUGGUGCCCUUCUGUUUCUGUCUACCUUGUUGCGAUGAAUUGUGGCUAAUCACCUGUGAAUUUGCAAUCACCAUACUAGUAUGUGAUAUGUGCCUUGUGGGGAUUGAGGGUACAGUUUUGCAACUUGUUCUGCCGACUUAGAUGUGUCUAUGAGCAUUCAUAGUGCAGUUUUGCAUCAUGCUAGCUCCAUCUUUUACUUAAUUGUUAUAGUUACUGCAUUUUGGAGAACCGAGUAUCUGUUUCGAAGUAUAGCUCACCUUGUCCAUCUGGGAGAAAGUAGAGCUAGCCUAGUUGAGCUAUGCAUGAAGGAGCUAUGUUAUUUGUUUGGUGAAUACGUUCAACGCUCACAUUGUGCAGCAUCUCAUGAGCAGUUCGUGUCCUUAGCAGGGGCACCAAGUUUGUUUGCCGCUGAUUUGGCUCUCCUAACCAGGCAAUGAUUUCUUGGUCGUUGAGAGCAAUCUUGCCAGGCUUAAGAAAUUUAUCAUUUUACCAAAUGCCUCCCCUUGCCAAGCUAGGUUAUAACUUCUUUUGCCUUAAAUCCAAAUACACCCUGAGUGCUUCUUUCUAUUUUUAAUUAUAGCCAGAGCUUUGCAAUAGUGCCAGAAUUCUACAUCUACGCCGUGCACUGGCAAGAUGGUGCUUCCUUACUAGAGUUAUUUUUUUGGCUACUCCUUGACGAUGGCUAUUUAGUUAUUCUAAAUUUCUGAGCAGUUGAAUCUCUUUGAAAAUGUCUUGUCAAAAUGAUAUGUGUCUUUAAAGGAUUUUAGGUCUUAUAAGUUUACUUAUAGUUAGAACUUAGAACCAAGAAGGCCUGGUGUUUCUUCUGAUAUGACUAUGUGCACAAACUACAGGCUGAUAACAAGGCCUCUUAGGAUUUUUCUCAAGUUGUAUUUAAGUUUUGAAGGAUAUUGCCUCACGUGUAUGUUUAGUUAAGCAUUGACAGCAAUAGCAUACAUGUAAUAAUAGUUGCUAAUCUUGCCUGCAAUAAAUAUCCUCUCUAUAUUUAGUACUCCCUCAGUUCCAAAUUAUAAGAUGUUUUAACUUUUUUCUGAAUCGGAGGUACGUAUAUAGUUACUCAUUAAAGUCCGUAUGUAGUCCAUAUUGAAAUAUCCAAAACAUCUUAUAAUUCCGAACAUAGGUAAUACAAUAGAAGCCAUGUUCACGAUGCUUUGUUGUUUGUCCUGUGGUAUAGAAGUAUUUAGUCUUUGUCAGAAUAAUGAAUGUUCAAUUAUCAACUAGAUUUAUUGUCACUAAUCUAGUUACUACCUAUUAAAUCUGGAAUAUCAUGCUUAUGCGACCAUUGAUGCAACAUUUGGCACAUGUCGUGUUGGUAUUUUUGGCGAGGUUGCAUGUUCAUAGUGCAGUUCUAUUUGUUUGAGCCUAUUGCAAAACCUGCGAAUAUACUACUUUUCAGAGAACAUAUAGUUUGUUCGAUGUAAGUGGUAAGAUGUGCAUUUUGUUUUCACUGGAAAAAGUAGUCAAACGAAAGCAUGAAAUUCUAUGGUGAAGAGAAUUGCGUGCUCAUAUGCUAUCGAGAAAAUCAUGUGUUUUUGCAAAGGGGAGAGGUUAGAUUUGCAUACUCAUUAGCAGUGGUAUCGAGAAAAGCAUAUGCUCGCCGAAUUGGAUGCACUUUCUGCACAGGCCAAAUGGAUUAGCUGAUUUCUGUUGUUCAGGGAUCCCUGCCAAAUCCAUGUGUUUUCUUCUGCAUGGUGUGAUAUCCUAUGGUCCGUCCUGCAGGUUGUCAUUCCUGCAGGAUGACAAGUUAAGCAAAGCUUUGCACCCUAUUUUUCUUGUACUCCCACCAAUAUAAGACGUCUCGUCUUUUAGCCUAGUUUAGUCUAUAUAAAAACAUUUUAUAUUUUGGUAGAGAGGUAGUAUUGCUAAUGAUAAGUUAAGCAAAGCUUUGCACCUUUUUUAAGAAAAAUAGUAAAUGAUCCUGAUCUCCACUGAGCAACUCCGACACGUUGACCCAAACGGACGCGCGCUUUGUCCGCUUUUCUUCUGUUUGGAUCGGCUAGGCGGACGUGCGCACCCGCUUUUUGAUUUGGUUCGGCAGGUGCGCCCAACGGGAGGCAUACCCAUUUUUGCGGACGUGGCCGAAAAAGACUUAACCAAGCAUAAUCUCUACUCCUAAAUAUCUCAGUACUUAAGUCGUUUGUUACCACCCUCCCAUCGAUCUCCCUUCCCUGCUGAUUUUUUCCCUCCCUCCGAAAACCGAGACCGGUUUUUUUUUUAGGGUAACCCAAGGGGUUAAACUGACUCACUGCAGUCUUUUGCCAGACUCUCUUUCAGUUCAUCCGGGACAGCUCCCAGCAGGAGGAAAUCCUCCUUAUCUCUGGCUCUAGCGGCUAGGCAAUCCGCCAUCCUGUUUUGUUCCCUUUUGAUCCAUUUGACAGUGUAUGAAUUGAAGUUUUCAAAAGCGCACUGAUGUCGACAAUGAUUGGGAACAGGCGGGAUGUGUUUGUGGAUCCCGGGGCCAGCAGUGUGUUCAGCGUUUUGUUGUCUAUCUCAACCUGGACCGCUCCAUUAUAGUAUCUGGCCAAUUCCUGUACACCAUGCAGUAGCGCCAGGCUUUCUGCUUCUUCUACUGACUCACACAGUCCCAGCUUGCGUCCCAUCGACAGAAAAACCAGCCCCUUGUCAUUUCUGGCAAUGGCACCUGCGGUACUCAUUCCUAAGGUCGUAUCAAAGCCCGCGUCAGUGUUCAGUUUCGCCACUCCGGCCGGCGGCGGGAUCCAUUUAUGACCAGUUGGGCCCGGCACUGAUUGGUUCUGUCCCUCAAAAAGGCUUUGACAGCAGAUGUUGUCGACUGUGUUGGACUUGUCGUAUGCAGCUUUAAUUUCCUGCUCAUACUUGAUUAGGAAUCCCACUGAUCUCGAGAUGGCUUCGGUGCCAUUCCCAUGCACAAUAUUAUCCCGAAGGAACCAUGAUCUCCACAGCAGUAGCAGGAUUUUACAGCGCAAGUCCUCAUUGCAGGCACAAAGCAAGUUCUGAAUCCAAUCUUUGCCAGUGUACUAGAAAGCCCUCUCCUUCGGCAGCUUCCAGUGUGCUCGCAUCUCAUGCCGAAGAGCUCUGCUUUUUGUACACGAAAUGACUGCAUGAUGUUCAUUUUCCACUGCUGAUCCACAGAUAUCACAUGUGUUCAUCGUAGCCAAGGUGCGUUUCCACUUGUUUUCCGUGGUUGCCAGCAUGUUAGUGGCUACCCUCCAAGCAAAUAUUUUUACCUUGUGAGGAACUUUAGCUUUCCAGAUUACAUCCCAGAUACUCCUAUCAUCCACACUUGCAGAAGAGCUGGAAGAUUGAGGGCCGGAUUCCUUUGUAGCCAGUGCUAGUUUGUAUGCACUACGCACUGAAAAGAUCCCGCUGUUUUCGUAGUGCCAAGCCACACAGUCUUCCACCUCACGUUGAGGUAUCUUAAUUUUAACUAUUUCUGAGGCGUCAACAGGGUUGAAAAUCUGCCUGAUUAUGUCAUGCUUCCAGGAUCUGGUUGUGGGUUCGAUUAGUUGGUUUACCCAUCUGAUCCUUGUCCUACAAGUGAAGCUAGCAACUUUGAGUCCUUCCCUCCUUGGUAUCCACUGAUCCCUCUGAACCUGGAUGUUCUUCCCGUUGCCAACUCGUCAAAUGAGUCCCUUCUUAAGGAGUUCGAGACCAAAUGCAAUUCCUCUCCACGACUGCGAAGCCUCCGUCGCAAAGACAGUGUCCAACAAUCCCCCUUUAGGGUAGUAUUUGGAUUUGAGUACCUUUGCACACAGGCUGUCCGGUCUCUGAAUAAGUCUCCAGCCCUGCCUAGCUAGCAAGGCUUGGUUGAAUAGAUGCAUGUCUCGAAAUCCAAUUCCCCCCUCGUUUUGGUUUCACCAUCUUAUCCCAUGCCAUCCAGUGGACUUUCCUCCUACCCUCCUCCUCUCCCCACCAAAAUUCUCUAAUUAGUCUUUCAUACUUCUCACUGAAGCCCAUAGACAACUUGAACACCCCCAUGGUAAAAAUUGGUAGUGCUUGGACGAUCGACUUUACGUAUACCUCCUUUGCAACAUAGGACAUGUGUCUUCCCGAGGAGUUAUUGCAUCUUUUCCUGAACCUAUCCAUAAUAGGCUGGAAAUUGCCAUCUUUCAUUCUGCCCUCUGCAGUUGGCAGCCCAACGUACUUGCUCUCAAAAGUAGAUGUCUCCACAUCUAAAAUAUGUUUGAUUUCAUUUUGUGUCACCUGCGGACAAGCAUCCGAGAAGAGCACCGAGCAUUUAUUUGUGCUCAACAGUUGGCCUGUACCUCUCUGAAAGAUGUGGAGGGCCCGCUUUAUCUCCUCUGCUUGUUCUGUCGAUGCUUUAAAGAACAAUAGACUGUUGUCGGCGUUCUGGGAACGGGGGUCCCCAGACUUGCCUGCCUGCGGCCUAAGGCGUGGCUCAAAGGCAACCCAGCACAGCCCAUCUUCAUCAACACAGGCUCAAGACCCUCGCGAGGGGCCAAGCCUCGCGGGGAGGACGACAAGGAGCUUCCUCAGGCACGGCCUCGUCAAGCUGGCUCACGAGGAGGCGGAGAGUUCAAGGCGGGGUACCUCGCGAGAUGCCCAUUACGCAAGCCGUGACGACCAAGGGCUCCAGUCGGGCGCCAGCCCGCGCAGUGUCCUCCUUUCCUCUUUGGUGCAAAGGGGGCAAGCGCAGGCGAGAGCAUCAAGCAAAGGCAUCCAUUUCGGUGCAACAAGACCAAGACCAGCCCAACGACAGGAAGGAAGUCGUUGUGGAGCCCAAGCCAGUGUCACCACCAGAGCCUUUGACAGGCGAGGACCAACUUUAGUCAGGAUAAGUGUACCUGUUGUUCCCCUUCAAAAUGGCCAAUUGUUGGCACCCUUCCCGCUCAAUAUUUGGGAAGAGGCCCAGGGCCUUUGCCUAUAAAUAGGGCUAGCCACCCGCAUGGUAGGGGGAUAGAAAGAACAAGGAUAGAUAGGCACACAGAGAGAGAGAGGCGACUGAACUCCCCCUAGCAGUUCAUCGCGCCAGCCAAGAACAGACCCUCGCGAGGCUGUUCUUCCAUUGUACUGUUCCUCAUCUGCCCAAGAGGCAAUCCACCACACCACACACUGGAGUAGGGUAUUACACCACAAUGGUGGCCUGAACCAGUAUAAAUCUUGUGUCUCUUGUGCUGUUCUGUUUGGUAGUUUAGAUCCUAGCGAUUCGGUGAGGAGCGAGCCGGUAGAGGGUUGAAUCUUCGUGCGCACCCCAGUGUUCGAACCUCAAGGGUCUGCCGGAAUCCGAAAUCCGGCAUUUGGCGUGCCAGGUAGGGGUGCGCCAGAAUUUGCCUUCCGUCGUCUCGUUCUUCUCCGACCAUCGCAUCCAUGUCUGAUGCUCGACGGGCUCGCGCCGAGUGCCGAGCCGCCCUCGCUUCCCAUGUCGCCCAGACGGCUCCUGUCGGCGGGCGCCCUCGUCGUUCCCCGUCACCUGCCGUCAACGCCGCCACCGGCCCGGCGGGGAACGAACAGAAAGCAUCGUCCCAGCAUCCAUCCAUGAGGCGGGACGGCCGCACUGCCACGCCCUCGCUCACCCCCGCUGGUUCUUCGUCACGCGCGCCCCGCGCGGCCAUGGAGGCCCGAGCUGCGCUCAUUGCGGCAAACGAGCUCCUGCGUUACCGCCCCAUCGACGACGUCUACGAAGAAUGGCUCGACCGAGUCGUCGAGCUCGUUCACGCCGCCGGAGGCGCCCCCGCGCCGUCCUUCUCGCUGCACCGCACCCCGCCCUGCGCGGGCAACGAAGCUCCUGGGGCGCCUCAGCCGGCUCCUCCUCAAGAAGGUGCCCUGGCCCCAAGGCGCGCGGCCCCUGGGCGGAACCCGCUCCGUCAGGCGCCAGCGCGGCAAGAGCAGAGCUGCCAAGAAGUCCCUCGCCCUCGAGAAGCUUCCCGAGCGCUCCCUGCUCCAGCACGUCAAGACCCUGCUCUGCCCCCAGCCACGGCGCAUGGGGACCCGCAGGACCAAGCUCUCCGUCGCCCAAGGCCCCAUGUGGCCACGGCGGGCUGCCGCGCCUUCACCUCCAAGCUGCGUAGCGUCGCGUGGCCCGGCAAGUUCAAGCCAGACCUGCCUCCUCGCUACGACGGCAUGGCUGACCCUGUGGAGUUCCUCCAACUCUACGAGUUGGGCAUCGAGGCUGCCAACGGAGACGAAAAGGUCAUAGCGAACUGGUUUCCCAUGGCUCUCAAGGACGGAGCCUGCACCUGGCUCCUGAAUCUGGCCCCAGGCAUGAUCUCCUAGGACGAGAUGCGCACUCGCUUCAUCGCCAACUUCCAGGGUACUCGCGACCGGCCACCCGCCGUGAGCGACAUGCGCCGUAUCAAGCAGCAACCAGGGGAAACCCUGCAGAAGUACAUCCAGCGUUUCAACAACGCGCGCCUCAAGAUCCCCAAGGUGACGGAGGAGGCCAUCAUCUCUGCCUUCUCCGACGGUGUGCGCGAUGUCAAGAUGAAGGAGGAGCUGGCGAUGCAUGAAGACCCAUGCACCUCCUUGGAGCUGUUCAACUUGGCGACCAAGUGCGCCAGGGCUGAGGAGGGGCGCCUCUCCCUCCUCGAGCUGCCUGCCGUGGACCCCGAAGAGAAGAAGCCCAAGGCCAAGGACAUGAAGCGCAAGGGGGCUGCCGUACUCGUGGCCGAGCCAGACACCAAGCGGGGCAGAGAUCAGCCCGAAUCCUCCAAGGGCAGUCGGUACUGCGUGUACCACGACCUCCACACCCACAACACUAAUGAAUGCCAAGAGCUCCGGGCCGUGCGUGAAGGAAGGGUCGGCAGACGUCCCGACCGCAGCGAUCGGGGCUACGGCCGAGGAGGAGGAAGGAGUGAAGGACGUUGGGAAGACCGCGGCCCGCGCCAAGGGUGGCGCGACCAACCUCGCGAGGAUCGCUGGCAGGACCCGCCUCGCGAGGGAGGCUCGAGGGAUCGGCCUCGCGAGGAUCGCCCGCAAGGGAACGCAGGCCUUCCUCCGCUGCCACCGCAGCCAAGGAAAAAUGAAGACCAUCAUCAGGACGAAGGGGCUGGGGGCUUCCAGGAACCACGCGCAAUCGCCUGCAUCCUGGGCGGAGCUCAAGCCCCAGCCUCUCAGCGCAUCUUCAAGCAGUUCGCCCGUGAAGUGAAUGCAGUCCUCCCCAAGAUCGAGGCCAUGCGCGCUCUCAGGUGGUCAGCAUGCGCCAUCACGUUCAGCUCAGCGGAUCAGCUCAAGUGCGCGGCCACAGCCGGAGUCCUCCCGAUGCUUUGUUCCCCAAUAAUCAGCAACGUGCUAGUCACCAAGACCCUCAUCGACGGCGGGGCAGGGCUCAACGUCCUGUCCGUGGAAAUGUUCAACAACCUUCAAGUGCCCUACAGUCAGCUUCAGCCAACCAAGCCUUUCUCCGGAGUCACCGACGGCUCCACGGUCCCGAUCGGGCAGGUCCGCCUUCCUGUCACCUUCGGGGCACGCGACAACUACCGCACCGAGCUCAUCGACUUCGACGCCACCCACAUUCGCCUGCCGUACAACGCCAUCCUCGGAUACCUGGCGCUUGCCAAGUUCAUGGCCGUGACCCACCACGGCUACAACAUCCUCAAGAUGCCAGGAAGCGGCGGGGUCAUCACGGUGCCCUGCGAAGAGAGAGACGUAGUGUGCUCCCUGGAGCGAGCCUUUCAGGCCGCAUCACUGGAAACCCAGACCGCGGAGGCAGGAGGCUUCUCGAGGCCGCACCCAAGAAGAAGAAGACAUCGAUCGGCCCGGCCCCUCAGGAGGCAGGCCCCUCAGGGCCCGCACCUGCCCAGGGGGAGCCUCCUUCCAUCGCAUAGGGAAGCGCGCCCGGCGCCCUCCUCAGGCAGGGCUCGGGGGCUCUCCCCUGGAGGGCCGCCGACGUCGCCAAGGUCACGAGGGAGGCGCUUGGGCACCACGUGGAGGCAUGCUUCGAAGCACGUUUCCCUCAAGAAGGAGCAAGGCAAGGAGGGCCAAACCCUCAGGAGUUCAUCAGCAAGGCCAUUCAAGAGUUACAAGAGUCAAGGGUCAUGAGAGGCAGCCGCCGCCUACCCGCUGUGGCCCCCCAUCCAGGCGAGGAUGGUGGGCUGCACGUCUGCAUCGACAUACCGGGGCUCAACCGAGCCGCAUCUCAAGAGCGCCUCUGGCCCUCGCGAGUGGGACGUUGCGAGGGUCCGCCCCACAGCUACGUGCGCAUGCCUUACGGCUUGCCGAACGCGGCUGCUGCGCACCAGCGUCUCAUGAGGGCCGUCUUGGAGGUUCAAGAGGUCAGGCGUGCCGCAGCCCUGGCGGAGAUGGAGAUGGCCUGCGAGGAGCCGCCAGCGCCUCCGGAGGCCCCUGGGCCUGGGGGCUCGUGAGGAUCGGCUCCCGCAGCCCACUGAGUCUGCUACACCGACACCCCUUCGUCCCCAACGUCAUCAAGUGACAUCUUUUAAGUUUCAUUUCUGGCUGGGAGCACCCUCAGGUCCGCAUUAUUCCCAGGCCGCGUGGGUCCGUCCCUGCGGCAUGUAUCCCUUUUAUUUCAUGUUCCUGGCUUACCUUAUUGGGGGCGCCCCUCGGGCUGCAUCAUCCCCAAGCUUCUCGGGCCUGACCCAGCGGCAUGUACCCUUCUUGCGUUUAUCUUAGGGCUAUGCUUUCGAUCCACCAUGCUUGUUAUUUCAUGCCUUUUUCUCCUCGGUGUCGGAAUCUUGGGCGUUAAAGGGGGGGGGGUGCCUGAGCAUCGCGACUCAGGGCUCCUAUCGGCUCUCCGGCCCUCACCCUCUGGUCUUGUCCAUGGCAUCGUGACCUGGCAUGCCAGCGACGACUGAGACCAGCCCGAGAGCCGGGACCCGAGGACGUAGAGUUUCGACAUCUAACCCAGCUUGCGCGUUAAAGGGGGGGUGCCUGAGCAUCGCGACUCAGGGCUCCUACAGGCUCUCCGGCCCUCACCCUCUGGUCUUGUCCAUGGCAUCGCGACCUGGCAUGCCAGCGACGGCUGAGACCAGCCCGAGAGCCGGGACCCGAGGACGUAGAGCACCGGCAUCUGGCCAAAUUUGCAGGAACACACUCGAAGAUAAGGCCCAGAGCCAGGCGCAACCCACCGUGAGGUAGGGCCCCGUGAGUCCCGCGCUAGCUCAUGGGUACCCCAAUACACCUCACAAGGCCUUGCACGCCCCUCCACAGCAACUAACGGCUGACUGUCGAUUGUCGCGACAAACCCUUGUUCCUUCUGUGAUGAGCCUGCAGGGUCCCUCCAAGGAGCGUCGCCAAGCAACCUCACAUCGGCCAAGGCACGGGUCCAGCGCCGCACCAGGAAGCGUUUUUCUGACCCUCGAGAUAAGUCACUCUCUGGAAGCAUUGGUUAUCACAGCACCGCCCCCGCACCAAGUGCAAUCCCGUGUUAGCAACCUCGCCCUCCUUUCUCACCGAAUGAUGGCUGCUUGAGCGCUAAGGGGGACCACCUGAGCAUCGCGACUCAGGGGCUCUUACCGGACCUCGGGCCACUCACCUCCUGGCCUUGACCACGGCAUCGCGACCUGGCAUACCAGCGACGGCUGAAGCUGCCUUGGGACUGGGACCUGUCGGCGCAGAGCAUCAAGCCCUCGCGAGGUCUGAAAGGAGGAAACUAAGCUAAAACGGAAUAAGCAUCUCGCACUGCUUCACAAUAGGGAUCAUAUUGACAGACGGAGCUACAAACAUCUUACAAGCCCCUGUCGGGUAUAUUCUUGGCUCCUCGCAGGAGCAAAAGGUGCGAAUCCUAAGGAGUCCUAACUGCAGGGGGCAUCGCGGCAGACGCCAUCAUCAACAGUGGGCCGCCCAACACCGACGCCAACCCCAUCCAGAUCAAAGGCAGCGACGGCCUGACGAGCCAGCCCUGCUCCGGGAACGGCGCAGGCUCGGGGGUUCGUAGCUAUCAUCGCUCGUCUCCGGAGUCGUGAAGAGCUCGGCGGAGCCACUGGAUUCUCCGGCGCCUCCGUCGCCUGAGGAGCGGCCAAGGGAGCGGUCAGCCGGCCUCUGUCUUGCCGCAGCAGGGUCUCGACCGCCUCUCCCGGGGCAGCACUCCAGCUGGCGACCCUCCGCAUCGAAGACCUUGAAGGACAUCACCGAAGCACCAUCGUACUCCAGAUGGAUCGUGAGGGCGCCCCUCGUCCUGCAGACCCGGGCGACCUCGCCCCAGCCUCGAGUCAUGAAGACCUCGCCCGGGGCAACGACUGCGACCUCUGCCCCGGUCGCGAGGGUGCCGCAGCCGGCGUGCUGCAGCCAAAGCCCCAGGGGUUCCCCCUGCCGGACGACGGAGGCGAAGAAAGAGGGGAGACGAAUCCAGGACUUAGGAGGCAUGGCGGCGUGAAGCACGAACUCUCGGCAGGAGCCCUCGGCGUGGACUCCAGGGGGGAAGACGCACACUUUCAUGACCCACCGGCGUCGGCGGCGGUGCCUCUCGUGGCGUUCGGCGUUGACUCCUUCAGAGCCGCCAAUGUGCGCGUACAAGGGAAGAGGGAACCCUGGUGGUGGCCGCUCACACCAGGGUCUUGACGCUUCCUGGCGAGUGCCCUCGCCCUGACACCAGAGGGCAAGCCGCUUCUUCGGGGGAAGCGGGUCAGGAUCUUCUUGGGGGCCUUUCCCUUCUCUUCCGCGGAGAACCGGCGGAUCGGAGCCAUUGCAGCAAGACGGAGCAAGGCCCAAGAAGGAGGAGAAGCAGAGGGAUAGACUGGAAGGGCGCGCGUCGUUCCGUACUUAUAGCAGGCGAAGGCCAACCAUCGACCUCCACGAUCACACGUAAUCAUGGCCCAUUUUGCAUGAAGGGACUUGUCGAAUCCGAGUGGUUACCAAGGCGUCGUGGGGAAGCGGUGCCGCCCACGUCCAAUCAACCGCCACGCGGCGCCCAAGGCCGCAGGCUGAUAGGGCCCGCGACGCUUCGCACUUGCCCUUUCGCCUCUCUGCCCGGCCAAGUUCGAGAGCGCCGUGGGCCCGGGGGCUACUGUCGGCGUUCUAGGAACGGGGGUCCCCAGACUUGCCUGCCUGCGGCCUAUGGCGUGGCUCAAAGGAGGCCCAGCACAGCCCAUCUUCAUCAACACAGGCUCAAGACCCUCGCGAGGGGCCAAGCCUCGCGGGGAGGACGACAAGGAGCUUCCUCAGGCACGGCCUCGUCAGGCUGUCUCACGAGGAGGCGGCGAGUUCAAGGCGGGGUACCUCGCGAGGUGCCCAUGACGCAAGCCGUGACGACCAAGGGCGCCAGUCGGGCGCCAGCCCGCGCAGUGUCCUCCUUUCCUCUUUGGUGCAAAGGGGGCAAGCGCGGGCGAGAGCAUCAAGCAAAGGCAUCCAUUUUGGUGCAACAAGACCAAGACCAGCCCAACGGCAGGAAGGAAGUCGUUGUGGAGCCCAAGCCAGCGUCACCACCAGAGCCUUUGACAGGCGAGGACCAACUUUAGUCAGGAUAAGUGUACCCGUUGUUCCCCUUCAAAAUGGCCAAUUGUUGGCACCCUUCCCGCUCAAUAUUUGGGAAGAGGCCCAGGGCCUUUGCCUAUAAAUAGGUCUAGCCACCCGCAUGGUAGGGGGAUAAAAAGAACAAGGAUAGAAAGGCACACAAAGAAAGAGAGGCAACUGAACUCCCCCUAGCAGUUCAUCGCGCCAGCCAAGAACAGACCCUCGCGAGGCUGUUCUUCCAUUGUACUAUUCCUCAUCCGCCCAAGAGGCAAUCCACCACACCACACACUGGAGUAGGGUAUUACACCACAAUGGUGGCCUGAACCAGUAUAAAUCUUGUGUCUCUUGUGCUAUUCUGUUUGGUAGUUUAGAUCCUAGCGAUUCGGUGAGGAGCGAGCCGGUAGAGGGUUGAAUCUCUAUGCGCACCCCAGUGUUCGAACCUCAAGGGUCUGCCGGAACCCGAAAUCCGACAACUGUCAUCUGCAAACAUCAAACUUGAGAUACGUGGACUCCCCCGUGCUACUUUAAUCGGCGUGAUGUUUCCCUCUACUGUCUUCUUCUGCAAGAUACGACUUAGCCCCUCACCUAUGAACAGAAACAGGUAGGGGAUCAGUGGGUCGCCCUACCUCAAACCCCUCGUCGGCUCAAACCUCUCCAGAGUUUCACCAUUGAUCUUGACCGAGUACCUCACAGACUUAACACACACUAUCACCCACGCAAUCCACUUUUUACUGAAGCCAAACUUUUGCAGUGCCCCUUCCAAAAACCUCCAGUCUACCCUGUCAUAAGCCUUUGCGAGGUCAAGCUUGUACACACAAUGUGUGUUUCGUGGGUGCUUGCUAUGUUGAAUUUUAUGGAAACAUUCGAAGGCGACGAGUGCGUUAUCGGUGAUCAUACGCCCUGGGAUGAACGCACUUUGGGCUUCAGAGAUAAGUUCAUCCAGGAUCGGCCUCAAUCGGUUAACUAAGCACUUGGAGAUCACUUUGUAGAUGACGUUGCAAAGGCUAAUCGGCUGGAAAUCUCUCAAACUCUUCGGGUCAUUUCCUUUAGGGAUUAAGACAAUGACCGUAUCAUUCAGUCCCUUCGGCAUGAGCCCAUCUUUGAAGAACUUUUUAACUGCAGCCACCACUUCCUCUUUAAGAACUCCCCAGUUCCUUUGAUAGAAGCGAGCAUGAAAGUCGUCCGGGCCCGGGGCUUUUAGGGGGCCGAUUUGGAAGAGCGCAUCCCCUAUUUCCUUGUCUGUAAACUCAUUCUCAAGGCCUUCAUUCAUCUCAUUUGUAACUAGCUCAUCAAAUAGUUCCAGCAGUUCCCGUGGAUCAACCUCCUUAUCUGCAGUAAACAGUCCCUUGAAAAAACUUGACGAUAUCUCAUGUAGAUCCUCCUUCUGUUCAAUCCAUUGACCCUUCUCGUUCAUCAGUUUUGAGAUGUGAUUUUGUUUUUUCCUCCACGUAGCUUGGGGCGGUGGAAACAUUCUGUGUUUCUGUCUCCCUCCCGAAUAUAUGUGGCUCUGGAUCGCUGUCGCCAGAGGACUUCUUCCCGUAACAGCAGCUCAUCCAAAUCUUUCGAGCACUUCCUUAUCUCACUAUCGUUCGCUUGGCUCAGAGGUUUGUUCAAUAAAUCCCGCAGCCGGUGACGUAGCUUGUUUGUUUGCUGUCUAACAGACCCAAUUCUAUCUGUACUCCAUUUCAUCAGACUUUUCUGCAUGAUUGUCAGUUUCUCUUGUAUUUCUUGCAGGUUUGUGGCUCGUAUAGUGUUUCUCCAGCUCUCUUCAACUGUACAUUGCAACGAUUCGUCUCUUUCCCAUAGAGCUUUAUACCUAAACUCCUUCUUUCUCUUGUAUUCCAUCUUUCCACCAAACUGCAAUAGUAAAGGGAGGUGGUCAGAUCUGGUUGAGCAUAUGUGCUCAAUCCUAGCGUUUUGAAAACGGCCACUCCACCCUGGGUUUGCCACUCCUCUAUCUAAUCGUGCUUUUACAUUAGCUCUGCCAUCCUGCUUGUUAUCAUAUGUCCAGUCCGACCCUCGGUACCCAAGAUCGUGCAGAUCGCACCAAUCUAGCAUUUCCCUAAAGUCUGCCAUCUGUUUCUCCGAUCUCCUAGAAGCUGAAAAGUGCUCGCUUUGCCAUUGCGUUUCAUUAAAAUCCCCUAUUGCCAUCCACGGUGCAUCCAAAUUUUGUUUGAUUCUCUUCAGGAGGUUCCACAUAUGUAUCCUCUCAUGGGCUCUCAGCUCGCCAUAAACGAAGGUACCUCUCCACCAUGGAUCAUUUGGUUUGUUACGGAUAAGAACAUCAAUAUACCACGGACAAAUCGAGAGCUUUUUUAUUUCAACUGUUUCAUCCCAGUACAGAGCGAUUCCUGCUCCUUUUCCUAUACCAUCAUGCAGCAUACAGUUCUUAAGGCCCAGACGCCACAUGAGGUUGCUUACUCUCUCCUUAUUCUGUCUAGUCUCCGAAAGAAAGACUAUGGAUGGACGGUGUGUGCUCACCAUGCACACCAAUUCUUGAAAUGUACGGGGUUGUCCGAGUCCCCGGCAGUUCCAUCUCAGGAUUUUCAUGGCUCCUGACGGACGCCAUCAUCUGCGUCCGUUAGUUCACCGGGAGCCCCUGGUCCGGUUGCUUCCAUUCCUCCCACGUGCCCCGUGUCUCCCUCGCCCUUCUGUGAGCUAGCGUCUUUCUUCUUCUUGUUUGAUAUUACCUCCACUCCCUUCGUAGCAUCAUUUCCUGUAACGCCAUCCACGAACAGUCGAUCCCCUCGUUUACCCAGCACUGAGGCCACUGGUUUGUCCUUCACCACAAGUUUCUUUAUACCUUGCUGUUUCCUGGUCAUGGUCGUUCCAUUUGUCGCCCCUGUAUAUUCUAUCAGCUUCUUCUCCCCUUCCACAGUACUGCUUUUGCCCUCCGUUGUGCCAGUAUCCCCCAGCUUUACAGGAGCGAUUUCGCUGUUCUUUCCCCCACCCCUCUCUUCACCAGCAGCAUGAGCCCUUGGUUCUCCCUGCAUCAUAAUAGCUGAGUUCUUCGGAGUCGUUUCCUCUCCAGUCCCCAUUGGGUUUUGGGACUGCAUGUCACUGCCCUGAGCCAGCUUCGGUUUGAAGCCUGGUGGAAAUUUGGGUGUUGUCUGGCUGUCAUCCAUGAUAUGCCCCUUCUCCUGUGUUCUUCCCUCUCCGUUAUCCACUUUCGGCCCUAGCUAGAUUGCUCCCACUGCUUCAAUAGCAGCUUGCACCAAUGGGUUGGCCAAGAUUUCCUCAUGCGUACCUCCAUACUUGUCCGUAGCUAGCGCCGAGGGUGCUGACUUUGCUUCGCCAGCCUCCUCUGAACCAAAGUGAAGGAACCGCCUGGUGCUGGCCCAUUCUGGCACUACAAAACCUCCUCUCGUACUGCUUAUUUUAAAAGGGGAGGCACGCAAUGCCGCCGAGAAACUCAUCUUCUGGAGUUCUGCGGGCAGCUUACAUUCGCGUUGCCCAUGCCCUAAUAGACCACAGAAACUACAUAAUCUAGGGAGCCUCUCAUAUUUGACAUUGAGGCGGUACACUUCGUCUACAGCAUAAUCAUGGAAUUCUAAUUUGGUGCGUAGAGGCUCAUCUACAUCUUGCUUGAUCCUUAUGCGGAUUGACUCACCCCAGAUCCUACCAUCUCUGUCUGCAUCCACCUCGAUCACCUCACCUAGCUGCUCACCCAAUUUGCGUGCCACCGACUCGAAGAACAUGAUGGGUGGAGCAUCAAAGAUGCGAGCCCAAAUUGGCAUAUGAGCCACCUCCACGUCGCCUGGCCUUGCACUGCCAUCCACCCUCACCAUCAGGAAUGGAUCCCCCCGGUGAGUCCAGGGUCCAUUGUUGAGGAUGAAGCGGAGAUCCCCCUCACGCUCGAAUUCCAUGAGGAACCUGUUAUUCUUGAGCGGUGAGUAGUUGAGGCAACCUCUCAGGCCCCACUUGUUCUUCAACUCCUGGAAGAGCCCGCUGACGCUGAACAGCUGCACAGAGAAGAACAGUCCAAUGGCAAUCCACCGAGACCUCAUAGCAGCUCUCUCUAGUUAGAUCCAUUACCACUACAUUCGUGGCCUGCGGACCAAGGCUGACAGGAAGCAUUGGGGCAACCACCUCCCUGGCAUCACCAUACCUUGCAGUGUCCUCUGCCGCCGCUUCAAACGCCGCCGGCGUGUAGUCCAGGUCGCCCUAGGCACGAGAUGAUUCACCCCGUGCCAGUGGCCGCCUUCCUAGCCCGGCCUUGCCAUUGGAGGCCACCUUUUCCUCCUCGCCCAUCACCAUCUUGUUCUUGCCUUGGUCCUGGUUCACCAUUGCAGUGGAUUGGUGUGUGGGCAAUUGCACGACAAUCGGUGGAUUUGACUUCGCCUCCCAUUCUCCUUUUAUGCUUGCCUUGACAUCGAUUGAAUUGAUGAUCCACGAUUUGUCUGCUGAUUCACUUUGAUCCGUUGCCGCCUGCUUGUGCAAUAGCCCCUGAUUUGGUUUCCUUUCUUCGUUUCUAUCCGGUGGAUCGGUAGGUUGCGCCCUUGUGAAUCCUCUUGCCUUUGCCUCCCGAUUUCUUUCCUUGAUCCUGUUAUUUAGGUCUUCCCUCAGCCGCUGCAUCUUGGAUCUGAUCAGCCCGGCCUGGAAAUUUCCCUGAUUCUUCUUUGUGGUCUCUUGCGAUCCAUCCUUCUCUUUCCUGCUUUGCAGGGGUCUGAAUAUCGCAUCCCUUACCUUGAUCCAUGCUUCCUUCCUUUCCAGCAGAUUUUCCCCAUCAGUGAGGAUCCAUCCUCCCCCGCAUCCCUCAAUCUCCUCAAUCCUCUUGCUCUCCUUCAAAAAGUGACCGAUUUGGGGGGAUCUGGUUCCCGAUCGCCCAUGGUUCGCUUUUUCGCUCUCUUCGUGAUUUCCGCUCAUUUCUCUCCUUAGCUCUCCACGUCCUUACGUACCCUUCCAUAUAAAACAACAAUACAUCCAUCCUUCCCUUCCAUAUACGACAACAAUCAAAUCAAAUCUUAUCAAAAAAUUCCGUCACGAGAAGCUUCCAUAAACAACAGUUUAAUCAAUUUGCUCUUUCCAUACACAACAAACAAUUUUCAAAUCAUAUCUUCCGAGCGGGGCGGGCAAGGCCUGAUUCUCCAUGCUUCCAGGUUUGCAUUCGGAUCAUGUGGAUUUGAACUGUUUCUUCAAAGUUUGCUGUCGGAACAGGUGUGCGAGGCCUGAUUCUUCAAACUUUGCCCCCGUUGCCGGUGCGGCUGCCAGCGAGCCACUGCCAGCAAGCCACGGGUGCCGGCGCAGGUGUCCGCGAUCCACGGGUGCCGGUGCGGCUGCGAGCGAGACACGGGUCCCGGCGCGGCUGCGAGUGAGCCACAGGUUAGUAACCUGUACACAGUUUUAAAUACUUUGACGUGUUAAAUUCCCGAAGAGACUGGGUUACCUAUACAACUGUUGGAUUGGAGGUGUGACAUAGCCCCAACUGUUCGUCCGAUUCGUACAUGGUCCUGACUGUUCUUGUGUGCUAGCGAGGCAUAUACCUGUUCAAAGUAAGCAGCCAACUGAUUUAAGUAUACAACCAGUAUAGCAGGCUUGGCAUAUGUAUACAUUCAACCCUUUUGAAAACUUACUGUGUCAAGCCAUGUCGCUGCUUCUCGAGAGGUAUCCUAACCACGGCUACAAAUUUUCUGACGUUCUACCGAAGUAACAUGCAUGAAGACCAUGGCUCAAAGAGGAUAAUUUGCUAUAUACAUGAUCUCUAUUCAACAAGCAACGCUAUCAGAAUAAUAGCAGCACGAUUUCAGAUUAGCUCCAUAGUGUUGCUUUUUUUAAUUAUCAAGAGCUUGUUAAAAUAAGUGUGUUAGAUAAUUGAUAUGGAAUCCAGUAUGCAGUUAUAUGCACUUAGUUGACUAUCUUCAGUUUCUAUAUAUACUGAUGGAACUAUCUUCAAUUUUUAUAUAUACUUGUUACAAAUUAGUACUUGUCACUUGUCACAAACCUAUCUUGGUGGUCAAACAUAGUGUUCCUCAAAUCAGUCCAUGCAUGUUUUUGUGACGCUUGCUUUUACCAUAGAACACAUGAAGCAUUUAUUUGAAUGGUCUGGUAGUUCAAAAUCCAAAUAUUUGAGGAGCACAUAUAUACACAUGAGCGUUACCGAUGCAUAAAAAAAUUACAUGGAUAAUAAGAACUAGUUUUUCAUGUCAGGGUGAAACUGUAUGGAGAGAGGUAGAGUGAUGACACCAAAGCAAGAGCAAGGAGUAGACUAACAUGAAGAUCUACACAAAUACUUCAGGAUUUUGAAAAUUUAUUUCCUAUUUGUUUUCUAUUUACUAUUCACCAGGGAGUAUAUGCUCCCUGGAGCCAAAACUCCAAGCAAGUUUGUCUUGUCAGUGACGUAUGAGAAAUAAGAUGUGUGUCUGAGAAAAAUUACUACAAAUGGAGGACGAGAUGAUGCUGCCAGGUCAAAGCAACAUUUUCAUGUUGUCCCCUGACUCUAUGCUUUUCUGUGCAUGUGAUUUCUUCUACUCUCCUUUUUUUAAUUUUUUCUUUUCUUAAUCUCAACCAGCCUAGGAAGAAGAAAACUUGAACCAAAGUAGUUAAUCCAUUGCACAAAUCAAUGCAUUUCAUAUUGUUCUGUUGCCUCCACCAAAAUCAUGCAGAUGUAAAGAUAAUACAAGAAGGUUAGUUACCUUUGUGCAGGACAAGAACUCUACCCGCUGCCAUUUUACGUAACCUGUAGCAAGCAAUGCAUUAGAUGACAACGCUGGUUAUUGGAUAGUAAAAACUAAAGAGAAGCAUUAUUGUAACAAACAUGCCAAGAACUUACUUUACUUCUGUUCAAUGUAGAUUAAAGUGCGUUAAAUAUAGUACACGGUACUUAUUGAUCUGUUUUGCCAAUGACAAUUGUCUAUGACAGUGAUGUCCUCAAACGACUUGACCCCGUUUGGUUCUCGUUGGGAAAGGGUGAAUCUUGCUAAGCAACACCGACAUCGACAAAUGGAGGCAACAACUGGGCUCCGACAACCUCUUGGUGAUAUCACCAAUGUUGAUAGACUCCCCAAAGAGGGUCCAAGUAUAUGGAAUUGAUAAUAGAUUGGUAUUUGGUGAUUGUUAAAUUACUAAUCUGAACAAUCCCUUUCGCUAGCCAUUGGAGCUGGCCCACAACCAUCGAGCGGCUUGUUUAUUCGUGAAGCAGAUAUCCCGUCUCCCUCGACCAUAGAACUCCCGAAAGGGAGUCCAGGUAUAAUUCACCAGCAAUAUUUAAAUGCCUUUGAUAUUGGUGAUUACUAAUUUGAACAAUCCCUUUUGCAAGCCGUUGCAUCUGACCCACGACCAUUGAGCAGCCUGAUUAUACAUGAAGCACCAAUCCCCUUGGAGUCAACCAUAGAACACCACAAAGGUAGUCCAGGUAUAACUUCCGAACUCACACCUCCUUUGAAUUUCUAAGUAUAAUGAAGCGAUAAAUUUAAUCCAUCAUAGGGGAUUGUUGCGGGUAAUCUGGUUUGGUAUUUAAUUAAUAUAUUGCAACCCUGAUGGUGCAUGAUUUUAUCCUUAAAUACUAUUAUUGUUCUGGUUCGGAUGCUAAUGUGUGUGUACCAACAACAACAGAUCGAGCUACGAGGGGCCGUGCUGGACAACGUAAAGGGACCUUAUCAAAGGAAGAAAGGGAUGUCAUAAACGCACGGAGAAGAGCAACUUAUAAGAAGAAAAAAGAAGAGCAAGGGUACCAAGAACAUGUCGAUAAGUGGAACACAAAGAGACGAGAAUCUUAUCAGAAGAAGAAACAACAUGAAGACAGACAGCGCCAGAUGGAUGCGACAAAUGGCCUCCGACACGCUCUUGGUGAAGACACCAAUGUUAAUAUACUCCCCAAAGAGGGUCCAUGUAUAUGGAAUUUGUGUAAUGUUUUUAGUCAUUUGCCUUCAAUGUUAUUUCUUACUAAUUAGCAAAGUACCUUUCGCAAGACAUCGGAUCUGGCCCACAACCAUCAAGCGGACUGUUUAUUCGCGAAGCACCAACCCCAUCCCCCUCAACAAUUGAACAACCCAAAGGGAGUGUAGGUAUAACUCCUCGACAAUCUUUAAAUGCCUUUCAUAUUGAUUUUUUACUAAUUUGAACAAUCCCUUUCGCAAGCCAUUGCAUCUGACCCACAACCAUUGAGCGGCCUGAUUAUACAUGAAGCAACAAUCCCCUCCACGUCAACCAUAGAACUCCCCAUAGGUAGUCCACGUAUUAUUUCCGAACUGACACCUCCUUUGAUUUUCUACAAACAUUAGAGCCGUAAUUUAGUCCACCUCAGUGACCACUUGCUCGUAAUCUGGCUUGGUAUAUAAUUAAUAUAUUGCAGUCAAGACGGUGCAUGAUUGUAGAGGUAAGUACUUCUCUCUCCAUCCCAAAAUAAGUGACUCAAGUUUGUACCUCCAGUCAUAUUUUCAUAGCCGUGUGCGGCGCCUGAGGGAGUCCCGGAUUAAGGGGUCCUCGGACAGCCGGACUAUAUGCAUAUGUCGGACUGUUGGGCUAUGAAGGUACAACAUAGAGGACUCCGUCCCGUGUCCAGAUGGGACUCUCCUUUGUGUGGAAGGCAAGCUUGGCGAUUCGGAUAUGAAGAUUCCUUUCUCUGUAACCGACUCUGUGUAACCCUAGCCCCCUCAGGUGUCUAUAUAAACCGGAGGGUUUAGUCCGUAGGACAGGAACAAUCAUAACCAUAUGCUAGCUUCUAGGGUUUAGCCUCUACGAUCUCGUGGUAGAUCAACUCUUGUAAUACUCAUAUUAUCAAGAUCAAUCAAGCAGGAAGUAGGGUAUUACCUCCAUCGAGAGGGCCCGAACCUGGGUAAACAUUGUGUCCCCCGCCUCCUGUUACCAUUCGCCUUAGAGGCACAAUUCGGGACCCCCUACCCGAGAUCCGCCGGUUUUGACACCGACAUUGGUGCUUUCAUUGAUAGUUCCACUGUGUCGUCACCAUAAGGCUUGAUGGCUCCUUCAAUCAUCUACAACAACACAGUCCAGGGUGAAGUUUUUCUCCCCAGACAGAUCUUCAUAUUCGGCGACUUCGCACUGCGAGCCAACUCGCUUGGCGAUCUGGAGCAGGUCGACAGUUACGCCCCUGGCCAUCAGGUCAGGUUUGGAAACUUGAACUACACCACUGACAUCCGCAGAGACUUGAUCUUCGACGGAUUCGAGCCCAUGACAGUCGCGCCCUGUCGCCACGAUGAACAUGACCUAAAUCUGUCAUCAGGCUGUGUGCAGGAGAUUGCGCCUGUAACCGCACUGGCCCUAGAUCCAGAGCAGAGCGCGCCAUCCGAGGACGGAGGCUCAACCUCGCCACGGACGCCGUGGACUCAGCAGCGCUAGAGCCAAACACAUAUUUGACCUCCAAUGAGGCCUGUGUCAUCGGAACCUCGGACUCGUCUCCGGCCAUAGGCUCUGAACCGCGUGUAUCCGCACCCAUUGAAUCUGUCCGACCGCCGAUCUUAGAGUCCAGCUCCGCUGACAUCUUCCAACACUCACCCCUAGGCGAUGUGUUAAACUCAUUAAAAUCUCUCUCCUUGUUAGGAGAUUCUUGGCCGAACUAUGUCUGGCUUGAGUGGGAAACGGACGACAAAGAGCUUCGUUAACCACCCACCACCCACUUGAUAGCCACUGUCGACGAUUUGACCGACAUGCUUGAUUUCGACUCCGAAGACAUCGACGAUAUGGACGACGAUGCCGGAGAAGAACAGGAACCACCGCCCACAGGGCGCUGGACAGCCACCUCCUCAUACGAUAUAUACAUGGUGGAUACACCCAAAGAAGACAAUGGCGAUGACAUAAAAGAUCCAGCUGAGGAUAAACCUAGUGAGAAGCAACCAAAGCGUCGACGUCAACGGCGCCGCUCUAAAUCACGCCAUGGUAAAAAUAGCGAUACCGGCACAAGAGAGAAUAGCAAUCCGGACAAUGCCGAAGACAACGAAGACCCCACCAAGCCAAGUUUCGAACUGGCUGAACGGGAAGACGGGCGAGCUAGCCCCGAUGAACAGGCCAUGAACAACGACUCGAAGGACAGCAAUUACAUGCCUCUCUCCGAGGAUGAAGUGAGCCUCGGCGAUGAAGAAUUUAUCGUGCCAGAGGAUCCCGUCAAGCAGGAGCAUUUUAAGCGCCAGCUUAUAGCCAUGGCAAAGAGCCUAAAGAAUUAGUAGCAGCAGCUUCAAGUUGAUCAAGAUCUGCUCACGGAUAGAUGGACUGAGAUCCUGGCAGCCGAGGAAUACGGACUCGAACGCCCAACCAAAAGUUACCCGAAGCACAAAUUGCUACCUCAAUUGGAUGACAAGGCGCUGGAGCCAACACUACCAGUGCAUAAUGUGCCUGACUGACCACCGCGUGGCCGAGAUAAAGCGGCAAUUCAGCCCGAACACCAGCCGGCACCACAUCGCCAAACAAAUAGAAACACAAUAGCUCGGGGAUACACACAUGACCUGCGGUAAGACUUGGAGAACAGAGCAGGCCAGACUAGAUCGAUCUAUGGAUCGCGGGGGUGCACCCCAAUGCGCAACGACGGCCACCACACCGGAUAUAACAAAUACACACCUGUCCGGGCCGAAUACCGCAAACCGGCUCCACUCGAGCUACGUCGCGACGUAGCCCGACACAGAGGCGCCGCACACCCCCUAUGCUUCACCGAUGAAGUAAUGGAAUAUGAAUUCCCAGAAGGGUUCAAACCCGUAAACAUUGAAUCAUAUUAUGGAACAACAGAUUCCGCGGUAUGGAUCGAGGACUUCCUUCUCCAUAUACAUAUGGCCCGCGGUGAUGAUAUCCAUGCCAUCAAGUAUCUCCCGCUGAAACUCAAGGGGCCAGCUCGGCACUGGUUGAACAGUCUGCCCGAAAACUCCAUUGGCAGUUGGGAGAACCUGGAAGAUGCAUUCCAUGACAACUUCCAAGACACUUAUGUCCGACCUCCGGAUGCUAAUGACUUAAGCCAUAUAAUCCAACAGCCCGGGGAGUUAGCCAGGAAAUUCUAGACUGGUUCCUAACUAAAAAGAACCAAAUCGUCGACUGUCCAGAUGCCGAAGUCCUAGCGGCCUUUAAGCACAACAUCCGUGACGAGUGGCUCGCCCGACACCUCGGCCAAGAGAAGCUGAAGUCCAUGGCAGCCCUUACGACGCUCAUGACCCACUUUUACGCGGGCGAGGAUAGCUAGCUAGCUUGUAGCAACAGCACCUCAAGUAAACCUCGCACUUCUGAAGCCAGAGACAGUAACGGCAAGCCCCGACACAGUAGACACAAGAGUCAAAAUAAUGGCGAUAACUCUGAAGACACGGCCGUCAAGUUGGAUUCAGUGGCUCCAAGUCCGGUCAGCGAAAAAAGCCAUUUAAUAGAAACAAUCCGGGCCCGUCCAGUCUGGACCGCAUACUCGAUCAUCCAUGUCAAAUCCACGGCACGCCGAUAAACCAGCCAAUCAUACCAACAGAGAAUGUUGGGUCUUUAAACAGGCCGGCAAGUUAAACGCCGAAAACAAGGAAAAGGGAUCACAAAGCGACGACGACGUGGAACCCUGGCCGCCGAACACAAGGGGACAGAAGAAGUUUCCUCCCCAAGUUAAAACAGUGAAUAUGAUAUAUGCUACCCAUAUCCCCAAAAGGGAGCGAAAGCGCACACUAAGGGACAUCUAUGUGAUGGAGCCAGUCGCCCCAAAAUACAACCCGUGGUCCUCCUGUCCGAUCACUUUCGGUCGAAGGGACCAUCCGACCAGUAUCCGUCACGGCGGUUCAGCCGCACUGGUGCUUGACCCUAUCAUUGACGGAUUCCACCUCACGCGCAUCCUCAUGGACGGUGGUAGCAGCCUGAACCUGCUUUAUCAGGAUACAAUGCGCAAAAUGGGUAUUGAUCCCUCAAGGAUCAAGCCCACCAAAACCACCUUUAAAGGUGUCAUACCAGGUGUAGAGACCUGCUGUACAGGAUCAAUCACACUGGAAGUGAUCUUCGGAUCCCCUGAUAAUUUUCGAAGCGAAGAAUUAAUCUUCGACAUCGUCCCCUUUUGUAGUGGUUAUCACUCACUGCUCGGAUGAACCGCAUUUAAUUGUUUAAACGCGGUGCCGCACUAUGCCUACCUCAAGAUGUCCGGACCUCGCGGUGUUAUAACAGUCAACGGAAAUACGGAGCGCUCCCUCCGUACUGAGGAGCACACCGCGGCCCUUGCAGCAGAAGUACAGAAUAGCCUUCUUAGGGAAAACCUCAAUUCAGCAAUAAGGCCCUCGGACACCGUCAAGCGAGUGCAAGCUACUCUGCAACAGGACCAUCCGGCUCGUCCAGAGCUUAGCUAGUAAUCCGUCCUUCGACCCAUCCCCAAUAAAGCGGUGAAAUUCGUGUCGCGCGUACACAACUACGCACUUAAAAUACCAUGGGCAUGGACGGAGGCACAGCUAGACCUCGGUCCACAAUGCGGCUGAACCGCUCCUGGAUCCGUAUACCUUCACCUUUUCUCUUUCUUUCAGGGUUUUCCUCUUCCCUGGGCCUUUUCCGAUAAACCUUCUCAUCGGACCCAUAGCGGGACGGAUACACCAAGAAAGCUAGGGGCUCGGAUGUACAAGGGAAUACCCAGGUGGUCUCUACUAAUGAUCGUCAUGCCUGUUUUAAAUACCCGCAUGCAGCUCGCUCUUGGUCGUGGCAUGUUAAAUAGCCUUAUUUUCUUAUUGCACUACUUGUACACAUAUGCCUUGACGUAUUAAUUAAAUUACAACGAAAAAUAGUUUGUAGCGUCAGCUCAUUACUUACUUUUUCCCUUAUCUCUUUAUUUAUUAUCAAUUGCACCCGUACAUUCUGGUACGCCUUAAUUCGCCAGGGGCUUCAUUGUACCCCAUAACACGGCAAGAAAGUCUCAACACUUUUACAGUGCAGUUCGGCACCCCGAACUUAUAGCAUUAUAUACAUUGGCUCUGAAUCAUGUCUUUGGUCAACAGUUGGGUUGCCCGGCUCCUGUGCUUGCUACCUUACGUUCCGCUAUAUCGGCUAGGGUAGUAAAGGGACAACUACUGCGAUUGUGUCCCGGUUCUUCCGGACGAGCACCUCAGUAGAGAAAGCCGACUGACUGUCAUGAUGCGGCGAGAGCUGGUCAGCUGUUCGAGGUCACAAAAUCUUUAACGAUUUCUUCCGCAUUAUGCGAUAACUAAUGCAUCGUGCGAUGGAUCGGUUUUUAUCCGAUCAGGUGUUUUACAAUACCCCAAGUUCGGUCUUCCGAACACUAGGGGCUGCGCCUACCUUUCUUUUGUCAAACUCCUAUGGCUAAGUGAGGGUGAUAAAGCCUUAUAGUCCGAUUGCCUGGUUCGUCGCGCUAAACACCUCCUUUAGGGACCAAAAAUCUAGAGUAAAGAGUGUUUAGAUUUACCCCGAACACCCACGUACUUCCUACGUGGGGGCAGAAGCCGAUGACUGGUCAACUCUCAAAAUUAAUUUAAAAACGGUCACACAUGAGGUAAUAAUUCAAAUAACAAGCAUUAUUUUACAUAACGACCUUGUUUCAUAUUACAAUAUAGGAUAACAUGCAUACACUCAUGGGAAUAUAAUAUCCUUGGCACAUUGCUCCGCCAUAAGGCGGGAUCCCUCCAGGACACUGUCAUAAUACAGCUCGGGCUUGCGGUGCUCUUUCCCUUCGGGCGGUCCUUCGGUCAUCAGCUUCACAACAUCCAUCUUCGCCCAAUGCACCUUGGCGCGGGCAAAGGCCAUUCGCGCACCUUCGAUGCAGACCGACCACUUGAUGGCGUCAAGCCGAGGGCAGGCACUAACCAGCCGCUUCAUGAGUCCAAAGUAGCUGCUAGGAAUCGCUUCGGCAGGCCAUAGCCGGAUAAUCAAAUCCUUGAGGGCUAGUUCAGACGCCCUGUGCAGCUCGACCAGCUGCUUCAGCUGAUCGGUAAAGGAUACUAGGUAUUCUGGCGCAAGAUAUUGCGACCAGAACAGCUUCUCCAUAGAGCUCCCCUCUUUGACUCGGUAGAAUUGUGCGGGGUCAGACACGCUGCAUGGCAGAUCUGCAAAUACCCCUAGAGAACUCCGAAUCCGGGUCAGUAAACGUAAUCUUUCCUUCGCGUAUUUGCUCUGCAUAAUAAAGGUCUUACCCGUUGCGAUCUUUUGGGCUCCCUGGAUUUCCUGGAAGGCACCUUGGGCUUCAGCCUGGGCAUCGUGUGCAGAUUGGCGAGCCUUGGUGAAUUCGGACUCAUGAUCCUUUAUACUCUACUCCGAGGUCUCGCACUUAUUUAUGGCUUCUUGGAGCUCUUGUUGAACUUCAAUGACCGGGCCUCGUGGUUUUCACGAGUGGCCUGCUCCUUGGCCGCCUUCUUCUCGGCCUUGGCUACCGCCUUCUUAAGAGCCUCGACUUCGAUCGCCGCUCCUACUACAUAUCACAACAGUUUUCAGUCAAAAUAACUAUUCACUUGUAUUCAAAUACAAACGAAGUUAUCCCAUACCUUGGUUAUCUUCCAAUUGCUUUUUUACUUGGCCGAGCUUUUUUUCGGCCCGCUCCAGUCUCUGCUUUAGUCCGGAGAGCUCCGCAGUAUGAGAGGUUGCAGUCAAUAACAACGCCCGAUCAUUCACAUAGGUAUUUCCUAAUUAGUCUCCUGCGAAAUAUAUUUGAUCCUCUGUCUGGCUUUCUUUUCGAAACACCGAACAGUGUAUCAGGGGCUACUAUCUAUAUUAUGACAUUCUUUUAAUAUCAUUACUUACCUUAAAGCCUGUUAGAAGGCUGGUGCAGGCUUCGGUCAGCCCGCUUUUGGCGGACUGGACCUUCUCAAUCACCGCACCCAUAAGGGUACGGUGCUCUUCAACGAUGGAAGCGCUUUGCAGCGCCGCCAAUAAAGUAUGCGGCACCUCUGGGUGGACUGAGGUCACCGGUGGAACAGGCGCACCACCUUCUGUUGAAGAAGGUUGUUGGCCUAAUUUCGGAGCCGUAUUGGUCUCCGGAGUUGUCUCUGGCUGGGGGCCGAAUUCAGGACGGCCCCCGCCUUCAGCAUCCAUGGGGGUCUGCUCCCCCAUGUGUCCGGUUGCCGAGGUUUGACCCUCCAGCACCGCCUCGAUGGUCUCCUGAACUUCGUGCUGGCCUGGGCCCCUUUGGGACGACACCUCAGUGUUGUCCACGCCUCUGGGGGAGGAGGCCGUCGGAAGGGUCUCGCUGUCCAUCGCAUCCAGGUCCAACGAAUCUUCUGAAAAAGAUUGCUCGAUGUCGGACCCGGCCGGACUGCAAAAUAUGUGACUCAAUACAUUAAUGUUAUGCAAAAGUGAGACUGGAUAUAUGGAUGUGUCCGGGUUUCUUUGUACUCACGAUUUGGCCAGGGGCUUGACCCUGGGUUCCCACUGGGGGCUGCUAUCAGUGGCUGCGGUGGAUUCGUCUGGAAGGGAGGCUUUCCCCUUCUUAGAUGUUUUGGCCUUCAAACGUGUGGAGGCCGUCCUCUUCUUUCUCCCCCUCGCAGGGGGGACUGGCUUUCCUCUUAUUCCUCCUCCUCUUCCUCGUCUUUUUUCGGCGGAAAAGUGGGCCUCGGUGUCUUCAGACAUCACGUCUGAAGUACCCUUGCGACGAAGCCCGUCCCUGGACUCCUUGGCCUUCUUCUUCGACGCCUUAUAUGGUGUCAGGACCAGCAUCUUCAUCAGAAGUGGGCCGGCUUGUUCUUCAGGCAGCGGGGCCGGACAGUAGAUCCGCUCUGCUUUCUUCGUCCAGGCCUGGGAGAAUCGUAGGGAAAUAUUAGGUGUUUUCCCCAAGGUAUACAAAUAAAGGAUACACCUUGAAAACAUAUAAAGACUUACCGAACUUGCAGGGCGGGACAAUUUGUGCCCACACUCCUCGGCGGUGUUCGACCACGACUUGCCGGGCUUGAAUAGCACCUUCCAGAUGUCUUCGUGCGUCGUGCCAAAGAACUCUAGUAAGGUUUGGUGCUUGGCCGGAUCGAACUCCCAUAGAUUGCAAGUCCGGCGUUGACAGGGAAGGAUCCAGCGAACUAGCAUCACCUAGACCACAUCGACAAGUUUGAUAUUCUUGUCCUCCAUGCUCUUGAUACGAGCUUGUAGCGUCGUCAGCCCAUCUGACGAAGACCGGUCUAGGCCCUUUUCGGGCCAGGACAUGAGCCACAGUGGGGCUCCAGAUCAGAACUCGGGGCGGCGGCCCAUUUGGUGCCGCGUGGCUCGGUAACAUAGAACCACUGUUGUUGCCAACCUUUGAUGGGCUCGUUGAAUUUACCUGAUGGCCAUUUGACGUUGGGCAUCUUGCUCACCAUGGCUCCUCCUCCCUCGGCGUGUUCGCCGCCUACCACCUUUGGCUUCACGUUGAAAUUCUUUAGCCACGGUCCGAAGUGUGGUGGGAUGCGGAGGAAGGCCUCGCACACGACGAUGAAUGUCGAGAUGUUGAGGAAGGAAUUGGGGGAUAGGUCAAGGAAAUCUAUUCCGUAGUAGUACAUAAGGCCGCGAACAAAUGGGUGGAGGGGAAACCCCAGCCCGCGGAUGAAGUGCGGGAGGAAUACAACCCUCUCGUGGGGUUCCGGAGUAGGGACGAUCUGUCCCACCGCCGGGAGACGGUGUGCGAUCUUCUUGGCCAGGUAUCCGGCCUCCCGGAGUUUCUUGAUAUCCUUCUCUUUGACGGAGGAGGCCAUCCACUUGCCUUGUGCUCCGGAUCCAGACUUGGUUGGAGUGCUUUUUGGGCGGAAGAGAUGGGUGCUUGGGCGCUGGAGAUUGAGAAUGAAUGAGCACAGGAAGAAGAGGGCGUGGGUGAAAGAGGGGAAUCCAUAUCCCUUUAUAAAGGCAGUAAAAAUCAUGUGCCUCCCCACUCGCCCUAAAGCUCGCUUAUUUCCCAAGCGUCGUGCUAAUGGCACGGUUGGGUUACCCGUGACCGCAUUGACGAGAAUCCCGUGAUAAGGGGACACGAUCUCUGCUUUGACAAGACGUGCCAAUGAAACCGCGCCUCAAAAUACGGAGGGGCAGGAUAAAAAAUGGUUCGAAUAAAGACCGGGCCGUGGCGUGAUGUCACGCUAUGAGUUGUCAGCAGAAUGGACUCGUGGGUUAUUAUACUCUCUACAGUGGUAUGUGGAAUUUGUUUUGCAGAGCCGGACACGAUUCUUAUGUUCAAGAUAUAUUUUGGAGUAUUCGUAGAAGGAAGACGCCUUGCAAUGCCGAAGACAAUCUGUGUGCCGGACUCAUCGUCAUUGAAGCCUGGUUCAGGGGCUACUGAGGGAGUCCCGGAUUAAGGGGUCCUCGGACAGCCGGACUAUAUGCAUAUGCUGGACUGUUGGGCUAUGAAGGUACAAGAUAGAAGACUUUGUCCCGUGUCCGGAUGGGACUCUCCUUUGCGUGGAAGGCAAGCUUGGCGAUUCGGAUAUGAAGAUUCCUUUCUCUGUAACCGACUCUGUGUAACCCUAGCCCCCUCCGGUGUCUAUAUAAACCGGAGGGUUUAGUCUGUAGUACAGGAACAAUCAUAACCAUAGGCUAGCUUCUAGGGUUUAGCCUCUACGAUCUCGUGAUAGAUCAACCGUUGUAAUACUCAUAUCAUCAAGAUCAAUCAAGCAGGAAGUAGGGUAUUACCUCCAUCGAGAGGGCCCAAACCUGGGUAAACAUUGUGUUCCCCGCCUCCUAUUACUAUUAGCCUUAGACGCACAGUUCGGGACCCCCUACCCGAGAUCCGCCGGUUUUGACACCGACAGCGCCCCCCUCCACCGUUUACACCUCCGUUCAUAUUUUCGUAGUGCUUAGGCAAAGCCCUACAGAGAUCACUUCACCAUCACCGUCACCAUGCAGUCGUGCUGACGAAACUCAUCUACUACCUCGACGUCUUGCUGGAUCAAGAAGGCGAGGGACGUUACCGAGCUGAAUGUGUGCAGAACACGAAGGUGUCAUUCGUUGGGUACUUGAUCGGUUGAAGCGCGAAGAAGUUUGACUACAUCAACCACGUUGUGAAAUGCUUCCGCUUACGGUCUACUAGGGUAUGUAGACACACUCUCCCCCUCAUUGCUAUGCAUCUCCAUGGAUAGAUCAUUGCGUGUUCGUAGAAUUUUUUUGUUUUCCAUGCAACGAUUCCCAACGGCCUGAGGCUGCGUGCUUCUACUGCAAGGGUAAUGGUCACUGGAAGUGGAACUGCCCCAAAUACUUGGCAGAUAAGAAGGAUGACAAAGUGAACAAAGGUAUAUUCGAUAUACAUGUUAGUGAUGUGUUCCUUACUAAUUCUUGUGGUAGCGCAUGGGUAUUUGAGACUGGUUUAGUUGAUCUUAUUUGCAACUCGAAAUAGGAGCUGCAGAAUAAACGAAGAUUGGCUAUGGAUGAGGUGAUGAUGCGCGUCGGGAAUCACUACAAAAAAAAGACACAUCCGUGACAUUUUGGGUCGAACGAAUAUUUUUUCUGUCAUACAUAUGACACUUCUAUGACGAUAAUUGUGACAAAACCCGGUAUCAUCAUAGAUGUGGUGGGCUCCUACUUCUAUGACAAAAAAUCAUGACAAAAAAUGGGCUUUUCGUCCUGGGCGGGCCAGAGAAGAAGCUGCAUGACAUUCUUUGGGCCGUCCAUGACAGAAAAAACUGUGGUAGAAGCGAGGGCGAGGAAAAUUUCGGGGAGUUCCCGGUUACGGUGGGCGGUUAGGGGCCGAGCGACGCGUGUUUCUCUCGUACACGUACGCGCGUGUGUGUGAGGCGUUGGCUCUAACUGAACCCGAGCGAGGCAUUGGGCUCUAACUAAACCCGAGCGAUUGCACUGCAAGCUACGCGUUACCGAACCCGAGGGAUCGAUUGAUGGCUGUUAACUGAACCCGAUCGAGCGAUUCCUUUGCUACUGCUGCUAACUGAAGCUGAUUGAUGCUGCCUCUCUAGAUGAACAGUGAGCGUUGCGGGGGGAGGGGGUUGGAUGAACAGUGAGCGGUGGGGGUGGAUGCAGGACCCAGUGGCAUUGCCUCUGGAUGAACAGGACGACCCCGUGGAGGGCUGGAUGAACAUUAGAUGGUGGAAGGGUGUCCGUGGAGGGGUGGUUGAAACAUAGCCGGUGGAGUAGAGCGUAGUGGAGGCUGGACGAACAGGAGCCCGUGGAGGCUAGAGGAGGUCGACGGUAGCACGUGGAGGCUGGAGGAGGUCGACGGUGGAGAUGAACAGUAUCCCGUGGAGUCCCGUUUUGCGGUACGCCACACCCCUCCCGAUGAACAGGACCCCCGUUUCGACCGUAGCGCUCCAACACAAGUCCGUUUCGUUCGUAUUGCGGUACGCCACACCCCUCCCGAUGAACAGGACGCAUGUUUCGACCGCAGCCCUCCAACACAAGUCCGUUUCGUCCGUUUUGCGGUACGCCACACCCCUCCCGAUCAACAGGACCCCCGUUUCGACCGUAGGAGGUCCGUUUCCUCCGUUUUGCAGUACGCCAGACCCCUCCCGAUAAACAGGAUCCCGUUUUGAACAUGGCCGGUCAAACACAAGGCCGUUUCCUCCAUUCUGCGGUACGCCAGGCCUCGUUUCCAUCGCCUGUUCCGUCCAAGCCCUCCCGAUGAACACGACGACGCAUUCCGUUCCGACCCAGUCGGUUGGCUCCCACGCGUUUCGUUGCCUCCCGAUGAACACGACGCAUUCCGUUGCCUCCCCAUGAACACGACGCAUUCCGUUGCCUCCCCAUGAACACGACGACGACACUGUUUCUCCGUUCCGACCCAGCCAUGUACACGAGCCCUGGCCGUACGUAUGCGCGAGUAGGCGUUCGAGACCCUGCCCAUAUGUACACAUACGUGGCCGUAUUUUCUUUCUUGCACACUGGACGAUGUACGUACGUGUACAUGCUACAUGCGCGCCUCUAUUACGACACGUGCACGCCUCUACAUCCACCAGUAUUUACGUACAUGUUCGCGACUAGAAUGACAACGCUACGUACGCUUCGACCAGGUGGGUCCCGACUGUCAGGCACUUCCUUGCGUGCGAAAAUGUAGCUGGUGGGUCCUAGCAGUCAAUGGGGUGAAUCGUUUUUUUUGCCCGGACGCACUUCCUUGCGUGCGAAGAUGUAGCUGGUGGGUCCCAGUAGUCAGGGGGUGAAUCGUUUUUUUUACCCGGACGCACUUCCUUGCGUGCGAAGAUGUAGCUGGUGGGUCCCAGCAGUCAGGGGGGCAAAUCAUUUUUUUUGCCCGGACGCACUUCCUUGCGUGUGAAGGUGUAGCUGGUGGGUCCCAGCAGUCAGGGGGGCGAAUCNNNNNNNNNNNNNNNNNNNNNNNNNNNNNNNNNNNNNNNNNNNNNNNNNNNNNNNNNNNNNNNNNNNNNNNNNNNNNNNNNNNNNNNNNNNNNNNNNNNNNNNNNNNNNNNNNNNNNNNNNNNNNNNNNNNNNNNNNNNNNNNNNNNNNNNNNNNNNNNNNNNNNNNNNNNNNNNNNNNNNNNNNNNNNNNNNNNNNNNNNNNNNNNNNNNNNNNNNNNNNNGGCGAAUCGUUUUUUUCGGACGCAUUUCCUUGCGUGCGAAGAUGUAGCUGGUGGGUCUCAGACUCUCAGCAGUCAGUGGGGCGAAUCAUUUUUUUUGCUCGGACGCACUUCCUUGCGUGCGAAGGUGUAGCUAGUGGGUCCCAGCAGUCAGGGGGAAACUUUUUUUCACGAAAUACGGUGGACCGUCCGGUGGGUCCCAGCUGUCAGGUGGACGAAUCAUUAUUUUCCGCGUGAUAAGGAGGCACUUCCUUGCUGUGGCCAUGGACCCAGCCGUCAGCCUCUCCACGUACAGUCCACGUCCGAUGGAAGUCGUUCCUUGACCACGUUGACCACGCCGCACCGAGAGCACCACGGUGGUGGACGACGGCGAGGCCUAGGAAGGGGACGACGUGGAGCCGGGGAAGACGCGGCAGUGGAAGCCCGCGCGGAGAGGAGUACGAGGGUUCACAGGUUCGGCUGCGGUGUGAGGCUGCCGUCGCCGCAGGGCCUGGCCAGCGGUGGGAAUAGUAGGGGUGGUGAGGCCUCAGCGGCAGCACAACCGGCCACAGGAGGCAGGAGCAUGCGGCACGACCGGCGCUGCUUUGGGCGGCUGGAGCAAGAAGACCAGAGGUUGAAGAAGCACUACAGCCAUUGGAUGGACAUCGUACGGUCACUGGAGCUAGAAUCGUUCAUAUUGACUAAGUUGACAAAGCCCUCCGUCCCCGUCAACUUAGUUGGCCCACAAGUCAUCCUCCCACUAUGGUGGGUCCCAGCUAGCAGGGGGGUAUUCAUUUUUUUGUGCGUAAUAAGGAGGCACUUCCUUGCGUGUGAAGAUAUAGAUAGUGGGUCCGACAUGUCAGCGGGGGGAACAUUUUUUUCACGAAAUACAGAGGCCCUUCCGGUGGGUCCCAGCUGUCAGGUGGAGGAAUCAUUAUUUUGCGCAUAAUAAGGAGGCAUUUCCUUCUGUGUGGCCAUGGACCCAGCUGUCAGCCUCUCCACCUACAGUCCACGGCCGAAGGACGUCAUUCGUUGACCACGUUGACCAGGCCGCGCUGAGAGCACCAUGGUGGUGGACGACAGCGAGGCCUAGGAAGGGAACGGCACUGAGCCGGGGAAGACUCGGCAAUGGUUGCCCACACGGUGGGGAGUACGAGGGUUUACUGGUCCAGUUGCCGUCGCCGCAAAAUAGCAGGAGGUGUGGGUGAGUAGAGGAAUGGCCUGGCCAACAAUGAAGUAGGGUGGGGCGGUGCGACCUAUGCGGCAGCACAGUCGGCCACGGGAGGCUGGAGCAGGCAGUCCCACCGGAGCUGGUUUGGACGACUGGAGCAAGAAGAUCAGAUAUUGAAGAAGCAGCACGGCCGUUGGAUUAACAUCCAACGGUCACUGCUGCUAGAAUCGUUUGUGGACUAAGUUGACAAAGCCAAAGUACACGUCAACCUAGUAGACCCACAAGUCAGCCUCCAAAUCUGUCCCACACAGCAUACAGCCCGAAAUUUCUAGCCAGAUUCAAAUUAAUUUUAAAUCUAAAUAUACCUUAAUUUAAAUUCAAUGAAAUUUUACCGCACAAAAACAAUGAAAUUUAAAAUAUCAAAAUCCGAAAGAAAACAAUAUUUUGGAAUAAUUGCAUGUUUGUCGUAUUUUUUCAUUUUACAGCCCAUUUAUUAUUACUUAUAGCCCAUUUCUUAUUACUUAUAGCCCAUUUCUUAUUACUUAUAGCCCAUUUCUUAUUACUUAUAGCCCAUUUUCUUGGCAAAAUGCAUCCCUCCUCGCCUUGAAAGAUUUCCGGCCCAGCAGGGCAUAGAAAAGCAAGUAGGCCUAUGUUGGUUAUUCUGCAAAAAAAAUAGCUGGCUAGCCAUUUUUCAGUAAGGAAAAGAACAAACUGGGCUGGUCAUGUGCUAAACAUAUGAAAUAAAAGCCCGGGCUAGACAGACCACGGGUCCCACACAACCCAGUUGAUACCCUUCUCCAUCCCGAAAAAACAAAAUUACUGCGCGCGCUGUUGGGUCCCUACUGUCAUCCUCACCAUGUAUAGUCAUCUCCUUAUUCCUCUCGGUUGUUGACCAUGUUGAAAACACCGGAGGGCGGCGCCGCGGCGAGCGAACCAAGGCGGAGGACGAUGGUGAGGCCUCAGACGGGAACGAACAGGAGCCGGGGAAGAUCACAGCCAGCCGUGGGAGGCGGGAGAAGGCGGUCCCGCCGGCGCUGGUUUGGAUUUGGUGGCUUGAGGAAGAAGAGAUUGAAGAAACGCGACAGACCUUGAAUGUCAAUCAACCGGUCAAGGUUGGCACAAUCAUUUGUUAACUAAGCGGACACCAAGUAGCAUUCUUUUUUAUAUAUAGGAAGAAAACUGCGAGGAAAAUGCGUUCAUCUGUCGUCCUCCUCACAUGGAACGUUCGCCACAUAAGUGACUAGCACCCUUGGUUUUCAACCAAGAGGUCUUGGGUUCGAGUCCCAGGAACUCUCAGUUUUGUCCUCCUUCCUUCCUCGCAAAAAAAUGGAAAGAAAAUCAAAGACUUGGGAAGGCGUACAGAACAAGCUAGUGUACCAGUAAAGAGACGAUGCCGAGUUUUAGAAAAAAGAGAGACGUGCUCCUGUAGCUGGUUCGAAUCCAAACCUAGACUAUGACUAUAUGUGGUGCUAUGCUACUCUACAAGUAAUGAAACUGACAUAUCCAACGUUCGCUUCUACUCUUCUCUACUUACUCUGCCUAGCAUCAAAAGCUCUUGCCGCAGCAACCAUGUCCGUUGGCUGCUCGUCCACCUGCUCUUCAGCAGGCAACAACCAAAUAUGCGCCAAGUCACCGCCCAUACCAUCGCCCGUGGGUCUCAUCACACCCCCGCCGGCACGUGCACCGCAGCCGAUUGCUCAUCGCAACCCGCUGCCGUUGGUGUGGUGCCACUACUGCAAAUCACGCAGAGUCAUCCGUCGCGUCUCAACCACAAUCCUCAACCCUGGCCGAGUCUUCUACAAAUGCCUGAAUCAUGGGGUAAUAAUAUGUUGAAGUGUUGUUCUACUACUUCCAGUUUCUGAUUUUUUAAUAGUUUGGUUGAUGAUCUUCCAAUUUGAUUCGUGCAGAAAAGGGAAGAUUCAUGUGAUUUGUAUUUCUGGGAAGUUGCUGAUGUGGCGGAAUGCAACUACGCUGAUUAUUUGGUUAGCCGAGGAAUCCCAAUACCAGCAGGUUGGGGUGUUGGACAAGUAACUGAAGGAACAACAGAAGAGGAAGAUGCAGAGUAGAAGGUUAAAGAUGCAGUUCCUCUGAUCAUGGCCAAGCAACAGCUGCUGAACGGCCUUGACAGCAAUGAGGACAUGAAAGAGCUUGUGAAGAUAAUGGGCAAAAUCGAUGUGCUCUGUAGGAUGAUUGUCUCUUUAUUUGCAGUGUAUGUACCACUCGUGACGUAUUCAGUGGCCAUGACAUGAGCACGUUGCUGAAACUAGUAAUGAAUGAAACCUGUGUAGUAGGCUAGGCGUAGUGUUGCGAACAUCUAAUGAUUUCUAUUAAUGGAAAUCAGGGGGUAUCCCCUUUUGCUCAUAAAUAAAUAAAUAGUAGAGGCCCUGUCGGGUCAGCUUUGUUCUCAUUCAAAGAUGUCAAGCAAAUUGCAGUCCAACAGCAAACUAUGUCAUCAAAUUCAAGUUUCACAGCCAAAUAUGAGUACAACUAAACAACAAUGUCAUCAUGUUUUACUUGUCAUACAAUCACCAAACACAAAUCAGCAUACAUAACAAGUGAUGUUCUCACAGCAAAUACUAAACAACAUGUUCAUCAGGUUUCAGUUGUCAUAGCAAACACAAUUUCACAUAGUAGAUAAAAAAACGUCUUAUGACAGGAAAAUACGACAAAAGCAAUGUAAUCAUCAUCUGCAGCAGCAGCGUCAACAUCUUCGCCAUGUGUAUCAGUCUGAAUCGUAAUUCCCCAUGGUGUCAUCUUCUUCUUCGUCCUCAACGUCCUCAAACGUUGGCUUCUUCUUGAUCAACUCUUGUAUGUCCACAGCACGACAGGCAAUCUUUUCAUCGGCGUCAUUGACGUGAUGGUUCUCAAAGAUAUUAGGAACAUCUGUGUUAUCUUGUACAUCAGGAGCAAUGUAAGCAUCAUCUUGUUGUGCAACUUCAUUAAACGAAUUCCUCUGCUCAAACCUUUGUAAUACUCUCCAGUCAUCGCUACGUGCAAAUGUGUCUUCCAAGAAAAAUAUCUGUGUUGCUUGAUUUGCUAAAAUAAAAGGCUCGUUGGUCUGGUACGCCGCCUUGACAUUGAUGGAUUUGAAAUAAUCAUCAGCUCUGGGUUUUGCGAUCCUCGAAAACAGGUUAUACCAACGACAACACAACAAAACCACACACCAAUGAUCCUCGAAACUGGAGAUAUACUACAACUGAACAAUGUCUGUUAUGUUAGCAUACAUUUCAGUUGUCUCUUUGUCAUAUGUAUCCGUGCUCAUGAUGGCACUGUUUUGUGUCUUCCUGCCUUCGUCUCAUGCAAGGGUGUUGUAGCGCACAUCUCCAACAACGCAAGAUUCAUAAUGUCUUACCCGAGUAUCAGGACCCAUUGCUAGUGAGUAAAGGGCAUCUUCAAUUGCCUGCCCAUCCUCCCGCAUCUUCUUAACCUAUGGUUAGAAAAUAGACAAGCUGAUCAUCUUGUGUACUCAUUAUAUUAAAAAAAACUGAUAGUGCAAUUCAAAAGCUUACAUGGUUCUUUAACCAUUUUGCAAAUCCUGCCAUAACCAGUUUGUCAGUGUUUCUUGGAUUUUGCGGCAGUAACUCCUUUUUGUAGAUGCUGCACAACAUAGUGAUCACGUCAAACAUCUAAAUAUAUAAGAAUGUGCUGCAAGUUUAGUAGAUUACGAUGUAUAAGCUGCAGUACUGCACUUACUUGAUAUAAGGUAGUAUCUCAGGACGGUUAUUCAACACAUACCAAACCAUUUUGUCCAAAUAUUUAGGUUUGUCCUGUUGUCGACUCUACCCUGUAACUCGAACAAAAUAAUCGUAAACAUUGAGCCUGGGAUUGUCUUCACCCACCUCUUUGCUAAGCUGAUCAGUUGUUUCAAUGUAUUUUGAGCAGAAUGUCAACGCUUCUGUAGCAAUGUAGGCCUCUGCAAUAGAGCCCUCGGGUCUAGCCCUGUUCCUAACAUAGCCCUUGAAAGUGCCUAGUCGCCUUUCAAUAGGGUACAUCCAACCAUACUGUACUGGACCUCUAAGUAGUGCCUCAUUAGGUAGAUGAACAGCCAAAUGCACCAUCACAUCAAAGAAGGCUGGAGGAUAUAUCUUCUCAAGGUCGCAUAGAAUAGUUGGUAUCUUAUCUCUAAGACGCUCCAAAGCAUAUAUCCUGAUAUUUCUACUGCAGAGUUCCCUGGAGAAUUGUCCCAACUUUGCAACUGCUUUGUAUAAGUCAGGGCGGCCCAAUCCUCUAAGGAUAAUAGGUAAAACCCUUUGAAGUAGGACGUGGUAGUCAUGAGUUUUCAACCCUUGUACCUUGUUUCCAUCUGCACUGACUCUCCUUUCAGGGUUGGAAGCAAAUCCAUGUGGGAAUCUCACACAUGAUAGGACCUCGCAGAAUUCUUUUCUUUUUACCUUGUCCAAGACGUACACAGCUGGUGCGAUAUCCCGUGGUUUACCUUCAUCUUGCACCUGCAAAUCCUUUCUGAUACCCAGGUGUGUCAAAUCAAUCCUAGAUUUUAAGGUAUCCUUCGUCUUUUCUUCAAUAUUAAGAAGUGUGCCGAUAAUCCUGUCACAUAUAUUUUUCUUGAUGUGCACCACAUCAAGAUUAUGCCGCAGAUCCAAAUCUUUCCAAUACUCCAAGUCGCAAAAAGUGGACCUGCAGGUAAACAAUAAUCUCUCUUCUGCCCUGCCACGCUUCCUUUUCCUGCUACCAUUAUUAGGAUGGUUUCCUGGUGUAAUAUGCCUGACCUUCUCUAAUUCCACUUGCAACUCAUCGGCGAUGAGCCUCUUUGGUGCAUCACGGUUUUCAUGCUUUGCAUUGAACACAUGUCUUUGGUAUUUUCUAGUAUGCGGCUUGUCCUUGGCAGGGAAACGGCGGUGUCCAAUGUAACAGAUCUUGCUAAGUAUUGUGUAUGACAGCGGAUUCCUGUCACAGCGAACACAUGCAUUGUAACCAUGUGUCGUUCACCCUGACAUAGUGCCCAAAGCCGGAUAAUCAUGGAUGCACCAAAUUAUAACAGCACGCAGAAAGAAAUCAGCUGGUGGGCUACUAUAUAGGUCUCGAGUGAGAACACCCCUCCAUAGCUAUUGAAGUUCCUCCACAAGAGGCUCCAUGAACAAAUCAAAAUCCUUUCCAGGACUUUUUGGACCUGGGAUGAACAAGGCCAUCAUGUAGUUUGAUUCUUUGGUGCAGACAUUUGGAGGCAUGUUGUAAGGGAUAACAAGCACUGAUGAAGUCAUGUACCUAGAGUAGGGUCACGGGCCUGUCCAAAGUACCCUCCCCAAGGACAUCUUCAGAAGAAGUUGCCUUACAGUCGACCAAGAGGAUUCCACUCGACGGACUCGAAGGCAUUCGACCAUGAAGACUCACUCGACCACCAGGAGAUUAAGAGCCACACUGUAUCCAAACGGUCUGUAAUUAAGUAGUCUUUAUGGCCAUGAUGGCACUUUAUGUAGGGCGUUACCAGUAACGCCAAUCCUUUAUGUACUUUAAACCCAGCAUAACUGAGGGCCGGAGGGGUCUGGCAGACACUAUAUAAGCCACCCCCCUCCUUAGUGUAAAGGGUUCGCACCCCUCUCACUUAUACACACAUAAUACAGUCGACCGCCUCUGGGCUCCAAGACGUAGGGUUGUUACUUCUUCCAAGAAGGGCCUGAACUCGUAAAUCCCUUGUCUGUACAACUGCUCCAUAGCUAGGACCUUGCCUCUCCAUACCUACCCCCCAUUCUACUGUCAGUCUUAGAACCACGACAGUUGGCGCCCACCGUGGGGCAAGUGUCUUAGCGAUUUUUGGAGAAGUUGCAAUUGUUCCGAUUGCCUUCAUCAUGGUUUCUGGCGGAGUUCUGGUCGAGGGCCGUGAGAUCUGUCUCGGCGCGCUAACUUUCAUCGCCGACGACUCCCCUUGGCUCCAGGAGGCUCCACUCGACAUCGACGCGCUCCCCGUCUGCGGUGCGACGCAUUUUCGGGCGUGUGUCCGCGGCGUUCUGCUGCGGCAACCGUCGACUCCGUAUCGGUCGACUCCUGUGUCAUCCUCCCUCCCUGUCUCCCGCCAGCGCAGGCGCUCUGGUCGGUCGAGGCUUCAACGGUGGUUGAGACACGCAGUGGCUCACCAAUCGGCCACCACCCAAGUCGCGGCAAUCGAGCCCGACGAAUCUCUCUACGGCCUGUUCGAUCUGUCGACUGGCUCCGGAGAGACUGCAUUCAAGUGCAACAGCAGUGAUCCGGCGGCGGAGGUUCUGAUGGUCAAUGGGCCUCGUAGUCCUCCCGGUUUCCCUCGCAACAACGGGAUAGACGGCGGAGGCGACCCCGCUCAGGCCCACGAGGAAUAUCAACCCGAGCUGCUCACUUCCCUGCAGAGGGAAGAUCUUCGUCGCCGGAACGUGGAUGCCCUGCAUACUCCCAUCGCAGGAGAAACUCCCGAGGCUCGUGCCUUGGAGGAGGCACGUUUGGCCAACUUGGCUGAACGUACUCGGCUGGAGAACCUCCAGCGAGCACUCGACGAACGUGCGAGGCAUCGAGUACCCGACUCCAGUCGACGUCAGCUCUUUCCACAACCAACUCAGGUACACCGAACCCCGAUUCAGAAUCUAGCAGCUGCAGCCCACAGAGUCAAUUCAGCCCUCUCAGUCGGAGGCUGGCAGAGGCUUGAUGCAGAUCAGGGAUUUGCUCCGAGCAGCAGGAGAUCAGAAUUCAGCUGUGUCACAGUCAUGCAACAGGAUUCACAGUCGAUCCGUCGCUGCGAAUACGGUUUAGUUGGCUCAUAGCCCAAGAUCGCCUCCGCGGCGGGAGGGACGCGAGGGUCGACGUGACCAAUAUGAUGACCGAUUCAACCAUGAUGAUCGGCGUCGAGUGCCCACUCCUCCUCCAAGGGGCGGGUCUUACGCUCAUCGGCAGCAACAUGAUAGGCACCAGCGCAGUGCUGGGCGACGAGUUCCGGUCGACCCCAGGGAACCAGGCUUUGACGCGAGAUCCAUCAUCGUGCAAGGUUUGGUCGAUCGGAACAAAGAUCAUUGAGGUGGCCAGGACAGAGAUGCGCCCACUAGCAGCCGAGUUCAUGUUUCAGGUCUAGAAUGUUUUAGCAGAGCCAUCAGAGCCGCAGUGAUACCCCCCAACUUCAGGUUGGCGACUGGGUUAAGUAAGUUCACCGGUGAGUCCAAGCCUGAAACCUGGCUUGAAGACUACCGAGUGGCGGUACAGAUUGGCGGCGGUAAUGAUGAGGUGGCCAUGAAACACUUACCGCUCAUGUUGGAAGGUUCGGCUAGGGCGUGGUUGAAUCAGUUAGCUCCUAGCAGCAUUUACACUUGGGAAGAUCUUUCCCGAGUGUUCGUCAGGACAUUCGAGGGAACUUGCAAGCGACCAGCUGGGUUGACAGAGCUGCAAGUCUGUGUGCAGAAGUCGAAUGAAACCCUGAGAGAUUACAUACAGAGAUGGAUCACUUUGCAUCAUACGGUGGAGAACGUGUCUGAUCAUCAGGCAGUCUACGCCUUCAAAGAUGGUGUUAAGAACAGAGAGUUAAGUUUGAAGUUUGGUCGGACCGGAGAUAUGACCCUGAGUCGAAUGAUGGAAAUCUCCACCAAGUACGCCAAUGGUGAAGAAGAGGACCGACUCCAGAGUGGCAAGUACAACCGAGUUAGUCGGAAAAAGGAAACUCCAGUCGGAAGCAGAAGCGAAAAGCCGAGCCAGCGGCUCCUGGAGAGGCUCUGGUCGUGACUCAGGGCAAAUUCAAAGGGAAGCCCAAAGGAUCCUGGAACCCCAAGAAGGUGAAAGAUAAGGAAGGAAAUGACGUGAUGGAUCUGCCGUGUCACAUCCACACGAAGAAAGACGAAGAGGGUAACUUCAUCUACCCGAAACAUACCACUCACCAGUGCCGGCUCUUAAUCCAGCAGUUUCAAGCAAAACAGCCCAAGGACAAGGAAAAGGAGUCGGACAAGGCUGAGGACAAGCAGGACAGUGAUGGAGGGUAUCCUCAUGUCAAUUCCACCCUGAUGAUUUUUGCUGAUGUAGAGAAUAAAAGUCGAUUGAAGGUUAUCAACCGUGAGGUGAAUAUGCUCGCCCCGGCGACACCAAGUUAUCUGAGAUGGUCUCAAACUCCCAUUACAUUCGACCAGUCCGAUCAUCCGACUCAUAUAGCCACCCCUGGGAGGCAAGCUUUGGUGGUCGACCCGGUCGUCGAAGGCACUCGACUGACGAAGGUGCUGAUGGACGGGGGUAGUGGACUGAAAAUAUUGUAUGCGGAGACGCUAAAGGGAAUGGGCAUUCCGAUGUCCAGACUCAGCGCCAGCAACAUGAGUUUUCAUGGAGUUAUACCUGGAAAGAAGGCUGAGUCACUCGGCCAAAUAGCUCUCGAUGUGGUCUUCAGCGAUUCGAAGCAUUUCCGCAAAGAGAGGCUGACAUUUGAAGUCGUGGAUUUUCAGAGCGCUUACCACGCUAUUUUGGGGAGACCAGCUUAUGCACGGUUCAUGGCUCGACCAUGUUACGUGUACCUCAAAUUGAAGAUGCCUGGCCCCAAAGGCGUGAUCACUAUCACUGGCAAUCGGAAGAAGGCAGAAGAGUGUUUUCAGAAAGGCUCGAAGAUCGCCGAUUCCCAGAUAACAGUGGUAGAGCUAGAAGAAUACAAGAAAAAUGCAGAUCCGAGUGAUUUGUUGCGGGCCAAGAAGCCUGCCAUAGAAUCAGCGUUUCAGUCGUCUGGUGAGACGAAGCCCGUUCACAUUCACCCGACCGACCCCAGCGCAGCUCCGACUCAUAUUUCCACAACACUUGACUCUAAAUAGGAAGAAGCGCUCAUCCAGUUCCUCCGUGAGAACUGGGACAUCUUUGCAUGGAAGCCUGCUGACAUGCCGGGUGUUCCCAGGGGGCUGGCUGAGCAUCACCUAAGAGUCGACUCAAAAGCAAAACCUGUCAAAGAACAUCUUCGACGGUCCGCCGUCCAGAAGAGAAAAGCCAUUGGCGAGGAGGUGGCCCGGCUCCUGGCGGUAGAGUUUAUCCGAGAGAUAUACCACUCCGAGUGGGUCGCCAAUGUCGUCAUGGUCCCCAAGAAGGACAAGUCACUUCGCGUGUGCAUUGAUUUCAAACAUAUCAACCGGGCCUGCCCGAAAGAUCAUUUUCCUCUCCCUCGUAUCGACCAAAUUGUCGACUCGACUGCGGGAUGCGAGAGAUUGUCUUUUUUAGACGCCUAUUCCGGGUACCAUCAGAUCCGUCUGUAUGGACCCGAUGAGAUCAAAACAGCUUUCAUCACUCCAUUCGGGUGCUUGUGCUAUGUCACCAUGCCAUUCGGUGUCAAGAAUGCCAGAGCCACGUUCAUGAGGAUGAUUCAAAAGUGUUUACUCACUCAAAUCAGUCGGAAUGUGGAAGCGUACAUGGAUGAUAUCAUCGUCAAGUCACGAAAAGGUUCCGACAUGUUGACUGACCUCGCUGAAACAUUUGCCAAUCUCCGGAGGUAUGAUAUCAAGCUUAAUCCAUCAAAGUGCGCAUUCGGAGUUCCUAGUGGAAAGUUACUCGGUUUUCUCAUUUCAGAACAAGGAAUCGAUGCUAACCUAGAAAAAGUUGGCACCAUUCUCCGAAUGAAACGCCCUGUGCGUGUGCAUGAUGUCCAGAAACUUACUGGAUGCUUGGCCGCAUUAAGUCGAUUCAUCUCUCGCCUCCGUGAAAAGGCAAUGCCUCUUUACCGACUGAUGAAGAAGGCUGACAAGUUCGAGUGGAGUCCAGAAGCUGAUGCAGCAUUUGCCGAGCUAAAAGCUCAGCUCUCCACCCAGCCGGUGCUUGCUGCACCAAUCAGCAAAGAGCCUCAGUUGCUUUACAUCGCAGCCACAGGACAAGUCGUCAGUACAGUGCUUACGGUCGAGCGGGAAGAAGAAGGGAAAGCCUUCAAAGUUCAGCGCCCAGUGUAUUACCUCUCUGAAGUUUUGACUCCAUCGAAGCAAAGAUAUCCUCAUUAUCAGAAGCUUGUGUAUGGGAUCUACAUGACCACGAAGAAGGCUGCUCAUUAUUUCUCUGAUCAUUCCAUUACAGUCGUCAGUGACGCCCCACUUUCAGAGAUUCUACACAACAGAGAUGCAACUGGUCGAGUGGCAAAAUGGGCGAUUGAACUCCUUCCCCUUGAUAUCAAGUUUGAGGCAAAGAAAGCCAUUAUGUCCCAAGCGAUAGCAGAAUUCCUUGCCGAGUGGAUUGAACAACAGCAGCCGACUCAAGUUCACUCAGAGCAUUGGACCAUGUUCUUUGAUGGCUCUAAGAUGUUAAAUGGUUCCGGUGUUGGGGUAGUUUUGGUUUCCCCCCGAGGAGAUAAGCUCAGAUAUGUGCUCCAGAUCCACUUUGAUUCCUCCAAUAAUGAAGCAGAAUAUGAAGCACUUUUAUAUGGGUUGCGCAUGGCCAUUUCACUCGGCGUCCGUCGCCUUAUGGUUUAUGGCGAUUCAGAUUUGGUGGUCAAUCAGGUGAUGAAGGAGUGGGACGUUAGAAGCCCAGCCAUGACUGGAUACUGCAAUGCAGUGAGGAAGCUUGAAAAGAAAUUCGAAGGGUUAGAGCUCCACCAUAUACCCCGACUGAAGAAUCAAGCGGCUGAUGAUUUGGCGAAGAUAGGUUCCAACAGAGAAGCCAUUCCCAGUGAUGUGUUCUUGGAGCAUAUCCAUACUCCAUCAGUCAAAGAAGAUCCUUUUACCGAAGAAGCUCCGCAGCCCAAGAGUAUCACAGAUCCGACUGAGGUUGAAGUUCCAGCAGUGGUCGACCUGAUCAUGGAAGCUUUAGUGAUCACUCCCGAUUGGACAGUACCGUAUAUCGCGUAUAUCUUAAGGAAAGAGCUACCGGAGGACGAAGAAGAGGCUCGACAGAUCGUCCGCCAAUCUAAAGCCUUUACCGUGAUAAGGGGACAGCUGUACAGAGAAAGCACGACUGGAGUUGGUCAGAAAUGCAUAACGCCAGAGGAAGGUCGAAUAAUCCUUGACGACAUCCACUCGGGGACCUGUGGCCAUCAUGCGUCCUCUCGGACCAUCGUGCCCAAAGCAUACCGAGCCGGAUUUUACUGGACAAGAGCGACUGAAAUGGCAAAGGAGAUAGUCGACAAGUGUGAGGGAUGUCAAUUUUACUCCAAUAUGUCACACAAGCCCGCAUCAGCUUUAAAGACCAUACCACUCGUCUAGCCCUUCACAGUAUGGGGGUUGGAUAUGGUUGGACCCUUGAGAACAGGCAGAAGCGGUUUCACACAUGUGCUGGUAGCAGUCGACAAGUUCACCAAGUGGAUCGAGGCCAAACCCAUCAAGAACCUUGACGCCGGUACUGCUGUCAGCUUCAUCAGAGAAUUGAUAUUCAGAUAUGGAGUCCCGCACAGCAUCAUCACUGACAACGGGUCAAACUUCGAUUCGGAGGAAUUCAGGGCGUUCUGCACAUCUCAGGGCACAUGAGUCGACUAUGCUUCAGUCGCCCAUCCUCAGUCGAAUGGACAAGCGGAGCGGGCCAAUGGCUUGAUUCUCAAAGGGUUGAAACCCCGACUGAUGCGUGAUGUCAAGCAUGCGGCCGGAGCAUAGGUCGACGAACUCCCCUCGGUGCUUUGGGGGUUAAGGACCACGCCUAACCGGUCGACUGGGAGAACUCCGUUCUUCUUGGUCUACGGAGCUGAAGUGGUCUUGCCGAGUGACCUGCUUCACAACGCUCCUCGAGUCGAGCUCUACACCAAAGCUGAAGCAGAACAAGCACGGCAGGAUGCAGUCGACCUUCUAGAGGAAGAAAGGGAGAUGGCUCUGAUCUGAUCGACCAUUUACCAGCAAGACUUGCUCGCUUCCACGCCAAAAACGUGAAGAGUCGAGCCUUCCAGGAAGGUGAUUUGGUUCUCCGAGUGGAUCAGCAGAAACCACAUAAGCUCGCUUCUUCUUGGGAAGGUCCCUGCAUCGUCACCAAGGUUCUCCACAACGGAGCGUACCAUCUUUACAACGUCAAGCACAACAUCGACGAGCCCCGAGCUUAAAACGCGGAGCUACUCCGCCCCUUUUACACUUAAGUAUCCGCUCGGAAAUGUAAUAAAAGCACUUAUGUAGUUCAUUUUUCAUAAGACAAUAGUGUUGGGGAACGUAGUAAUUUCAAAAAAUUUCCUACGCACACGCAAGAUCAUGGUGAUGCAUAGCAACAAGAGGGGAGAGUGUUGUCUACGUACCCUCGUAGACCGAAGCGGAAGCGUUGACGCAACGUAGAGGAAGUAGUCGUACGUCUUCCCGGUCCAACCGAUCCAAGCACCGUUACUCCGGCACCUCCGAGUUCUUGACACACGUACAACUCGAUGACGCACCCCGAACUCUGAUCCAGCAGAGGUACGGGGAGGAGUUCCGUCAGCACGACGGCGUGGUGACGAUCUUGAUGUUCAACUGUCGCAGGGCUUCGCCUAAGCACCGCUACAAUAUGACCGAGGUGUAAUAUUGUGGAGGGGGGCACCGUACACGGCUAAGGAACGAUCACCAUGAUCAACUUGUGUGUCUAUGGGGUGCCCCCCGCCCCCGUAUAUAAAGGAGGGAGGGAGGAGGGGGCCGGCCUAAGGGGGACGCGCGCCCUAGGAGGGGGAAACCUACUCCAAGUAGGUUUCCCUCUUCUUUUCCUAAUCCGAGAAGGAGGGGGAAGGAAGGAGUAGGAGAGGGGGAAGGCAAGGGGGCGCCGCCCCCCCCCCCUUCCUUGUCCUAUUCGGACUCAAGGGAAGGGGGCGCGCCACUUGCCCUGGCCGGCCCCUCUCUUUCUCCAAUAGGGCCCAUCANNNNNNNNNNNNNNNNNNNNNNNNNNNNNNNNNNNNNNNNNNNNNNNNNNNNNNNNNNNNNNNNNNNNNNNNNNNNNNNNNNNNNNNNNNNNNNNNNNNNNNNNNNNNNNNNNNNNNNNNNNNNNNNNNNNNNNNNNNNNNNNNNNNNNNNNNNNNNNNNNNNNNNNNNNNNNNNNNNNNNNNNNNNNNNNNNNNNNNNNNNNNNNNNNNNNNNNNNNNNNNNNNNNNNNNNNNNNNNNNNNNNNNNNNNNGGGGGGUUCCGGUAACCCUCCGGUACUCUGGGGUUUCUCCGAAAACUCCCGGAACUAUUCCGGUGUCCGAAUAUAGUCAUCCAAUAUAUCAAUCUUUAUGUCUCGACCAUUUCGAGACUCCUCCUCAUGUCCGUGAUCACAUCCGGGACUCCGGACAACCUUCGGUACAUCAAAAUAUAUAAACUCAUAAUGAAACUGUCAUCAAAACCUUAAGCGUGCGGACCCUACGGUUCGAGAACAAUGUAGACAUGACCGAGACACGUCUCCGGUCAAUAACCAAAGCAGGACCUGGAUGCCCAUAUUGGUUCCUACAUAUUCUAUGAAGAUCUUUAUCGGUCAAACCGCAUAACAACAUACGUUGUUCCCUUUGUCAUCGGUAUGUUACUUGCCCAAGAUUCGAUCGUCGGUAUCCAAUACCUAGUUCAAUCUCGUUACCGGCAAGUCUCUUUACUCGUUACGUAAUGCAUCAUCCCGUAACCAACUCAUUGGUCACAUUGCUUGCAAGGCUUAUAGUGAUGUGCAUUACCGAGAGGGCCCAGAGAUACCUCUCCGACAAUCGGAGUGACAAAUCCUAAUCUCAAAAUACGCCAACUCAACAAGUGCCUUUGGAGACACCUGUAGAGCACCUUUAUAAUCACCCAGUUACGUUGUGACGUUUGGUAGCACACAAAGUGUUCCUCUGGUAAACGGGAGUUGCAUAAUCUCAUAGUCAUAGGAACAUGUAUAAGUCAUGAAGGAAGCAAUAGCAACAUACUAAACGAUCGGGUGCUAAGCUAACGGAAUGGGUCAUGUCAAUCAGAUCAUUCAACUAAUGAUGUGAUCUCAUUAAUCAAAUAACAACUCCUUGUUCAUGGUUAGGAAACAUAACCAUCUUUGAUUAACAAGCUAGUCAAGUAGAGGCAUACUAGUGACACUCUGUUUGUCUAUAUAUUCACACAUGUAUUAUGUUUCCGGUUAAUACAAUUCUAGCAUGAAUAAGAAACAUUUAUCAUGAUAUAAGGAAAUAAAUAAUAACUUUAUUAUUGCCUCUAGGGCAUAUUUUCUUCAGUCUCCCACUUGCACUAGAGUCAAUAAUCUAGAUUACAUAGUAAUGAUUCUAACACCCAUGGAGUCUUGGUGUUGAUCAUGUUUUGCUCGUGGAAGAGGCUUAGUCAACGGGUCUGCAACAUUCAGAUCUGUAUGUAUCUUGCAAAUCUCUAUGUCUCCCACCUGGACUAGAUCCCGGAUGGAAUUGAAGCGUCUCUUGAUGUGCUUGGUUCUCUUGUGAAAUCUGGAUUCCUCCGCUAAGGCAAUCGCUCCAGUAUUGUCACAAAAGAUUUUCAUUGGACCCGAUGCACUAGGUAUGACACCUAGAUCGGAUAUGAACUCCUUCAUCCAGACUCCUUCAUUGGUUGCUUCCGAAGCAGCUAUGUAUUCCGCUUCACACGUAGAUCCCGCCACGACGCUUUGCUUUGAACUGCACCAACUGACAGCUCCACCGUUUAAUGUAAACACGUAUCCGGUUUGUGAUUUAGAAUCAUCCGGAUCAGUGUCAAAGUUUGCAUCAACGUAACCAUUUACGAUCAGCUCUUUGUCACCUCCAUAUACGAGAAACAUAUCCUUAGUCCUUUUCAGGUACUUCAGGAUGUUCUUGACCGCUGUCCAGUGAUCCACUCCUGGAUUACUUUGGUACCUCCCUGCUAAACUUAUAGCAAGGCACACAUCAGGUCUGGUACACAGCAUUGCAUACAUGAUAGAGCCUAUGGCUGAAGCAUAGGGAACAUUUUUCAUUUUCUCUCUAUCUUCUGCAGUGGUUGGGCUUUGAGUCUUACUCAACUUCACACCUUGCAAUACAGGCAAGAACCCUUUCUUUGCUUGAUCCAUUUUUAACUUCUUCAAAACUUUGUCAAGGUAUGUGCUUUGUGAAAGUCCAAUUAAGCGUUUUGAUCUAUCUCUAUAGAUCUUAAUGCCCAAUAUGUAAGCAGCUUCACUGAGGUCUUUCAUUGAAAAACUUUUAUUCAAGUAUCCCUUUAUGCUAUCCAGAAAUUCUAUAUCAUUUCCAAUCAAUAAUAUGUCAUCCACAUAUAAUAUUAGAAAUGCUACAGAGCUCCCACUCACUUUCUUGUAAAUACAGGCUUCUCCAAAAGUCUGUAUAAACCCAAAUGCUUUGAUCAUACUAUCAAAACGUUUAUUCGAACUCCGAGAGGCUUGCACCAGUCCAUAAAUGGAUCGCUGGAGCUUGCACACUUUGUUAGCUCCCUUUGGAUCGAUGAAACCUUCUGGUUGCAUCAUAUACAACUCUUCCUCCAGAAAUCCAUUCAGGAAUGCAGUUUUUACAUCCAUUUGCCAAAUUUCAUAAUCAUAAAAUGCGGUAAUUGCUAACAUGAUUCGGACAGACUUAAGCAUCGCUACGGGUGAGAAGGUCUCAUCGUAGUCAACCCCUUGAACUUGUCGAAAACCUUUUUGCAACAAGUCGAGCUUUGUAGAUAGUAACAUUACCGUCAGCGUCAGUCUUCUUCUUGAAGAUCCAUUUAUUCUCAAUUGCUUGCCGACCAUCGGGCAAGUCAACCAAAGUCCAUACUUUGUUCUCAUACAUGGAUCCCAUCUCAGAUUUCAUGGCUUCAAGCCAUUUUGCGGAAUCUGGGCUCACCAUCGCUUCUUCAUAGUUCGUAGGUUCAUCAUGAUCUAGUAGCACGACUUCCAGAAUAGGAUUACCGUACCACUCUGGUGCGGAUCUUACUCUGUUUGACCUACGAGGUUCUGUAGUAACUUGAUCUGAAGUUCUAUGAUCAUCAUCAUCAACUUCCUCACUAGUUGGUUUUGACGUCACAGAAACCGGUUCCUGUGAUGUAUUAUUUUCCAACAAGGGAGUAGGUACAAUUACCUCAUCAAGUUCUACUUUCCUCCCACUCACUUCUUUCGAGAGAAACUCCUUCUCUAGAAAGGAUCCAUUCUUAGCAACGAAUGUCUUGCCUUCGGAUCUGUGAUAGAAGGUGUACCCAACUGUCUCCUUUGGGUAUCCUAUGAAGACACAUUUCUCCGAUUUGGGUUCGAGCUUAUCAGGUUGAAGCUUUUUCACAUAAGCAUCGCAGCCCCAAACUUUAAGAAACGAAAACUUUGGUUUCUUGCCAAACCAUAGUUCAUAAGGUGUCGUCUCAACGGAUUUUGAUGGUGCCCUAUUUAAUGUGAAUGUGGCUGUCUCUAAAGCAUAACCCCAAAACGAUAGCGGUAAAUCUUUAAGAGACAUCAUAGAUCGCACCAUAUCAAGUAAAGUACGAUUACAACGUUCGGACACACCAUUACGUUGUGGUGUUCCGGGUGGCGUGAGUUGCGAAACUAUUCCACAUUGUUUUAAGUGUAGACCAAAUUCGUAACUCAAAUAUUCUCCUCCACGAUCAGAUCGUAGAAACUUUAUUUUCUUGUUACGAUGAUUUUCAACUUCACUCUGAAAUUCUUUGAACUUUUCAAAUGUUUCAGACUUAUGCUUCAUUAAGUAGAUAUACCCAUAUCUGCUUAAAUCAUCUGUGAAGGUGAGAAAAUAACGAUAUCCGCCACGAGCCUCAACAUUCAUUGGACCACAUACAUCUGUACGUAUGAUUUCUAACAAAUCUGUUGCUCUCUCCAUAGUACCGGAGAACGGUGUUUUGGUCAUCUUGCCCAUGAGGCACGGUUCGCAAGUACCAAGUGAUUCAUAAUCAAGUGGUUCCAAAAGACCAUCAGUAUGGAGUUUCUUCAUGCGCUUUACACCGAUAUGACCUAAACGGCAGUGCCACAAAUAAGUUGCACUAUCAUUAUCAACUCUGCAUCUUUUGGCUUCAACACUAUGAAUAUGUGUAUCACUACUAUCGAGAUUCAUCAAAAAUAGACCACUCUUCAAGGGUGCAUGACCAUAAAAGAUAUUGCUCAUAUAAAUAGAACAACCAUUAUUCUCUGAUUUAAAUGAAUAACCGUCUCGCAUCAAACAAGAUCCAGAUAUAAUGUUCAUGCUCAACGCUGGCACCAAAUAACAAUUAUUUAGGUCCAAUACUAAUCCCGAAGGUAGAUGUAGAGGUAGCGUGCCGACCGCGAUCACAUCGACUUUGGAACCAUUUCCCACGCGCAUCGUCACCUCGUCCUUUGCCAGUGUUCGCUUAAUCCCUAGUCCCUGUUUCGAGUUGCAAAUAUUAGCAACGGAACCAGUAUCAAAUACCCAGGUGCUACUGCGAGCUCUAGUAAGGUACACAUCAAUAACAUGUAUAUCACAUAUACCUUUGUUCACCUUGCCAUCCUUAUUAUCCGCCAAAUACUUGGGGCAGUUCCGCUUCCAGUGACCAGUCUACUUGCAGUAGAAGCACUCAGUUUCAGGCUUAGGUCCAGACUUGGGUUUCUUCUCUUGAGCAGCAACUUGUUUGCCGUUCUUCUUGAAGUUCCCCUUCUUCUUCCCUUUACCCUUUUUCUUGAAACUAGUGGUCUUGUUGACCAUCAACACUUGAUGCUCCUUCUUGAUUUCCACCUCCGCAGCCUUUAGCAUUGCGAAGAGCUCGGGAAUCGUCUUAUCCAUCCCUUGCAUAUUAUAGUUCAUCACGAAGCUCUUGUAGCUUGGUGGAAGUGAUUGGAGAAUUCUGUCAAUGACGCUAUCAUCCAGAAGAGUAACUCCCAGUUGAAUCAAGUGAUUACAAUACCCAGACAUCUUGAGUAUGUGCUCACUGACAGAACUAUUCUCCUCCAUCUUGCAGCUAUAGAACUUAUUGGAGACUUCGUAUCUCUCAAUCCGGGCAUUCUUCUGGAAUAUUAACUUCAACUCCUGGAACAUCUCAUAUGCUCCAUGACGUUCAAAACGUCGUUGAAGUCCCGGUUCUAAGCCGUAAAGGAUGGCACAUUGAACUAUCGAGUAGUCAUCAGCUUUGCUCUGCCAGACGUUCUUAAUGUCGUCAGUUACAUCAGCAGCAGGCCUGGCACCCAGCGGUGCUUCCAGGACGUAAUUUUUGUGUGCAGCGUAGUUGCUACCAUCAUCUUUCAGCUUAGCUUUCUCAAGGAACGCAUUAAAAUUCAACGGAACAACAGCACGGGCCAUCUAUCUACAAUCAACAUAGACAAGCAAGAUACUAUCAGGUACUAAGUUCAUGAUAAAUUUAAGUUCAAUUAAUCAUAUUACUUAAGAACUCCCACUUAGACAGACAUCUCUCUAGUCAUCUAAGUGAUCACGUGACCCAAAUCAACUAAACCAUAACCGAUCAUCACGUGAGAUGGAGUAGUUUUCAAUGGUGAACAUCUUAUGUUGAUCAUAUCUACUAUAUGAUUCACGCUCGACCUUUCGGUCUCCGUGUUCCGAGGCCAUAUCUGCAUAUGCUAGGCUCGUCAAGUUUAACCUGAGUAUUCUGCAUGUGCAAAACUGGCUUGCACCCGUUGUAGAUGGACGUAGAGCUUAUCACACCCGAUCAUCACGUGGUGUCUGGGCACGACGAACUUUGGCAACGGUGCAUACUCAGGGAGAACACUUCUUGAUAAUUUUUAGUGAGAGAUCAUCUUAAAAUGCUACCAUCAAUCAAAGCAAGAUAAGAUGCAUAAAGGAUAAACAUCACAUGCAAUCAAUAUAAGUGAUAUGAUAUGGCCAUCAUCAUCUUGUGCUUGUGAUCUCCAUCUCCGAAGCACCAUUAUGAUCACCAUUGUCACCGGCGCGACACCUUGAUCUCCAUCAUAGCAUCGUUGUCGUUUACACCAUCUAUUGCUUCUACGACUAUCGCUACCGCUUAGUGAUAAACUAAAGCAAUUACAGGGCGUUUGCAUUUCAUACAAUAAAGCGACAACCAUAUGGCUCCUGCCAGUUGCCGAUAACUUUGGUUAGAAAACAUGAUCAUCUCAUACAAUAAAAUAUAGCAUCACGUCUUGGCCAUAUCACAUCACAUCAUGCCCUGCAAAAACAAGUUAGACGUCCUCUACUUUGUUGUUGCAAGUUUUACGUGGAUGCUACGAGCUUAAGCAAGAACCAAUCUCACCUACGCAUCAAAACCACAACGAUAGUUUGUCAAGUUGAUGCUGUUUUAACCUUCGCAAGGACCGGGCGUAGCCACAUUCGGUUCAACUAAAGUUGGAGAAACUGACACCCGCUAGUCACCUGUGUGCAAAGCACGGCAGUAAAACCAGUCUCGCGUAAGCGUACGCGUAAUGUCGGCCCGGGCCGCUUCAUCCAACAAUACCGCCGAACCAAAGUAUGACAUGCUGGUAAGCAGUAUGACUUAUAUCGCCCACAACUCACUUGUGUUCUACUCGUGCAUAUAACAUCAAACCAUAAAACCUAGGCUCGGAUGCCACUGUUGGGGAACGUAGUAAUUUCAAAAAAAUUCCUACGCACACGCAAGAUCAUGGUGAUGCAUAGCAACAAGAGGGGAGAGUGUUGUCUACGUACCCUCGUAGACCAAAGUGGAAGCGUUGACGCAACGUAGAGGAAGUAGUCGUACGUCUUCCCGGUCCAACCGAUCCAAGCACCGUUACUCCGGCACCUCCAAGUUCUUGACACACGUACAGCUCGAUGACGCACCCCGAACUCCGAUCCAGCAGAGGUACGGGGAGGAGUUCCUUCAGCACGACGGCGUGGUGACGAUCUUGAUGUUCAACUGUCACAGGGCUUCGCCUAAGCACCGCUACAAUAUGACCGAGGUGUAAUAUCGUGGAGGGGGGCACCGCACACGGCUAAGGAACGAUCACGAUGAUCAACUUGUGUGUCUAUGGGGUGCCCCCCGCCCCUGUAUAUAAAGGAGGGAGGGAGGAGGGGGCCGGCCUAAGGGGGAGGCGCGCCCUAGGAGGGGGAAACCUAUUCCAAGUAGGUUUCCCUCUUCUUUUCCUAAUCCAAGAAGGAGGGGGAAGGAAGGAGUAGGAGAGGGGGAAGGCAAGGGGGGCGCCCCCCCUUCCUUGUCCUAUUCGGACUCAAGGGGAGGGGGCGCGCCACUUGCCCUGGCCGGCCCCUCUCUUUCUCCAAUAGGGCCCAUCAAGGCCCAUUACUUCCCGGGGGGUUCCGGUAACCCUCCGGUACUCCGGUUUUUCUCCGAAAACUCCCGGAACUAUUCCGGUGUCCGAAUAUAGUCAUCCAAUAUAUCAAUCUUUAUUUCUCGACCAUUUCGAGACUCCUCGUCAUGUCCGUAAUCACAUCCGGGACUCCAAACAACCUUCGGUACAUCAAAAUAUAUAAACUCAUAAUGAAACUGUCAUCAAAACCUUAAGCGUGCGGACCCUACGGUUCGAGAACAAUGUAGACAUGACCGAGACACGUCUGCGGUCAAUAACCAAUAGCGGGACCUGGAUGCCCAUAUUGGUUCCUACAUAUUCUACGAAGAUCUUUACCGGUCAAACCGCAUAACAACAUACGUUGUUCCCUUUGUCAUUGGUAUGUUACUUGCCCGAGAUUCGAUCGUCGGUAUCCAAUACCUAGUUCAAUCUCGUUACCAGCAAGUCUCUUUACUCGUUACGUAAUGCAUCAUCCCGUAACCAACUCAUUGGUCACAUUGCUUGCAAGGCUUAUAGUGAUGUGCAUUACCGAGAGGGCCCAGAGAUACCUCUCCGACAAUCGGAGUGACAAAUCCUAAUCUCGAAAUACGCCAACUCAACAAGUACCUUUGGAGACACAUGUAGAGCACCUUUAUAAUCACCCAGUUACGUUGUGACGUUUGGUAGCACACAAAGUGUUCCUCUGGUAAACGGGAGUUGUAUAAUCUCAUAGUCGUAGGAACAUGUAUAAGUCAUGAAGGAAGCAAUAGCAACAUACUAAACGAUCGGGUGCUAAGCUAACGGAAUGGGUCAUGUCAAUCAGAUCAUUCAACUAAUGAUGUGAUCUCAUUAAUCAAAUAACAACUCCUUGUUCAUGGUUAGGAAACAUAACCAUCUUUGAUUAACAAGCUAGUCAAGUAGAGGCAUACUAGUGACACUCUGUUUGUCUAUAUAUUCACACAUGUAUUAUGUUUCCGGUUAAUACAAUUCUAGCAUGAAUAAUAAACAUUUAUCAUGAUAUAAGGAAAUAAAUAAUAACUUUAUUAUUGCCACUAGGGCAUAUUUCCUUCAAAUAGUGUUAUAAUUUUUCCAGUGAUUGUUGUCACUUUUAUUUGUUCAAUAAAAUUUCCCCUCAGUGGGUUGCUUAGCUGCGAAUCCGUUUUGCCUAAGUCUGUAAAAAAAUCCUUGCCGAGUGGUGAGCCAGCCUUCCAGUCGGAGGCUUAGCUGCGAAUCUGUUUCGCCUAAGUGUCAAUAAAAUUCUACCGAGUGGUGAGCCAGCCUCUCACUCGGGGGGCUUAGCUGCAGUCCAAGUACUCGCCUAAGUUUCAAUAAAAUCCUACCGAGUGGUGAGCCAGCCUCUCACUCGGGGUCUUAGCUGCAGUCCAAGUACUCGCCUAAGUUUCAAUAAAAUCCUACCGAGUGGUGAGCCAGCCUUUCAGUCGGGGGCUUAGCUGCAGUCCAAGUACUCGCCUAAGUUUCAAUAAAAUCCUACCGAAUAGUGAGCCAGCCUCUCACUCGGGGGCUUAGCUACAGUCCAAGUACUCGCCUAAGUUUCAAUAAAAUCCUACCGAGUGGCGAGCCAGCCUCCCACUCGGGGGCUUAGCUGCAGCAUAGCGCUCGCCUAAGUACAAGUAUAACAUGCGCUCUGCAAGGUAGACGAGGUGCAGGUUGACUGCUACCCUCCUCUUUCGAGCUAUGCCACAAGUAUAACAUGCGCUCGACAAGGUAGACGAGGUGCAGGUCGACUGCUAGACUCCUCUUCCGAGCUAUGCCACAAGUACAACAUGCACUCUGCAAGGUAGACGAGGAUCAGGUCGACCGCUACCUCCUUUUCCAAGCUACGCCACAAGUACAAUGUGCUCUCUGCAAGAAGGACGAGGCACAGGUCGACUGAUGCCCUCUUCUCCAGAGGCACACCACAAAAAUCCUACCGAGUGGAAAGCAGACCUCCCACUCGGGGGCUUGGCUGCAGCCCAGUGCUCGCCUAAGUUUUUGAAAAUCCUACCGAGUGAGGAGCAGACCUCCCGCUCGGGGGCUUAGCUGUAGCCCAGUGCUUGCCUAAGUUUUUGAAAUUCCUACUGAGUGGAGAGCAGACCUCCCACUCGGGGGCUUAGCUGCAGCCCAGUGCUCGCCUAAGUUUUUGAAAAUCCUACCGAGUGGAGAGCAGACCUCCCACUCAGGGGCUUAGCUGCAGCCCAGUGCUCGCCUAAGUUUUUGAAAAUCCUCCCGAGUGAGGAGCAGACCACCCGCUCAGGGGCUUAGCUGUAGCCCAGUGUUCGCCUAAGUUUUUGAAAAUCCUACCGAGUGGAGAGCAGACCUCCCACUCGGGGGCUUAGCUGCAGCCCAGUGCUCGCCUAAGUUUUUGAAAAUCCUACCGAGUGGAGAGCAGACCUCCCACUCGGGGGCUUAGCUGCAGCCCAGUGCUCGCCUAAGUUUUUGAAAAUCCUACCGGGUGAGGAGCAGACCUCCCACUCGGAGGCUUAGCUGCAGCCUAGUGCUCGCAUAAGUGUGUUGGGGAGGAAGUCGAUUGCAAUAAGCGCUUCGCCUUAGCCUGCAAAAGACACCUCAAACCAAAUGCAAACAUAUUCCACGAUGAGUCCAAGUUCAGAUAACAUCUAACGGAACCGAAAGUGCUCGGGCGUUAAGCCCGUUAAGGUUUAUCGGUUACAAAAAUCACUCGGCAUACCGAGGCAAAUUUAAAGUAUCAAGCACAGAAGUUUUUAUCCCUCCUGCGGAGGGCUGGAAGGCGCAACAAAUUUGUCCAGGUCGAUUCCAUCUGCAAUCUGAGUGGCAGCAGCGAUGAAGGUCUCCAUGAAAGAUCGGAAAUCAUGCUUCUUGGUAUUAGCCACCUUAAGGGCUACCAGCUUGUCCUCUCGCGCCUCCUUGCAGUGAACAUGGGCCAGAGACAGAGCAAUGUCCGUGCCGCACCUGGCAGAAGACUUUUUCCAUUCUUGCACUCGACUUGGAACCUCAUUUAGUCGGGUCAUCAGAGACUCGAGGUCGUUCUGAAGCGUCUCUCUUGGCCAGAGUGUUGUGUCGAUGUGGGAAGUUGCAACCUUCAGCCUUGCGAGGUAGUCGACAAUAGCAGCAACGCGAGAUUCAAGACAGAGCACAUUCAUAGCGACUUCAUCUUUCACAGGAGAGUUGAUGGGAUCCAGGUUUAUUUCCAAUCGACCGGUCUCCUCUUCAAAGUUCUGGCAGAACUCUGCAAACACAACCCCAGAGUCAAGACAGCAGUCGGAUGGAGAAAUCAUAGUUAAAAUGUCUAUUUGAUACAAAAGCUUCUUGGCGAGUCCUCCCAGAUAAGCCUCCAGAUCGUUCUUCUUUCCCACCAACUCACUGGCCUUGUCACUCAGGGCAAUCUUGUCACUCUUCAGUCGACUGACCUCCUUGUUGGCCACAUCAAGAGCAGCUUUCAGAUUGGUAUUUUCUUCUUCAAGCUUGGUGACUGAAGCCAGCUUCUCAUCUGCGAGCUUGGUCUUCUCUAAAUCCGCUUUCUGCAUCUCAGCCAAGUCAAGGUCUUUCUUCUUCAGGGCAUCCCUCACUUUGUCUACAAAGUUACAGUGAGAUCAGACUCUGAAACGGACGAGAGGCAAAGGCAGUCGUCGAGGGUCUCACCAAACAUACCUUUUGCUUCCUCCUUCGCCUUCGUUAAGUUCUCUUGGACCAGUUUCAGAUCAAGCUCGAGCUGGAUGUGCUUGUUCUCCAACUCAGUGUAACGAGCCGCAAGCUCGCAAGAUUUCUGCGAAGAACCAAUUGACAGAUGUCAAAGACAAUUCACUUCCGAAUGACUAAGGAAAAAUCAUAGUGUUUCUAAGACUACGGCCGAAUGUAAACAUCCGACCAUAGUCUCGGGGACUACACCCAGUGGGUGCACUCAGCGUGCCCCCACUAGUUUUUAUCGGUUAGAGUCGAUCAGUCGACCCACAAAAAAAAUGGGAGGUGUUCUUCAGACUGUAGUCGACUGCCAGCAGUCGACCACAGUCUCGGGGACUACACCCGGUGGGUGCACUCAGUGUGCCCCCACCGGUCUAUGAAUCCAUUCGACCUGAUCGAGUAAAGAAAAAGCUUAAGACAUAAAGACUAUGGUCGACUGCCAGCAGUCCACCAUAGCCUUGGGGACUACACCCAGUGGGUGCACUCAGCGUACCCCCACUAAUCCAGAAUUUCAAUCGACGCACCCGGUGGGUGUACGACAGAUACUAGGAUUUUCAGAAAGAAGGAUUUUCAGAUAUCAUAUCCUAACAGAACAGGCGGUAACCGACUGACCUGAACAUUACUCUAAAGAGCUGAACUGGCGUCAUAAGCUGCCUGGCUGGCGUCUCGGAUUGCCUUCACUUGCUCCAUCAUGACCCCUUCUUGGCGUAUUGCUUCUUUAGCAGCAUUGGCUUGGUCCUCUGGGACGUGGUGGGUCGAGAAAAGUGAAGGCUGAGCAGCACUUGACGAUGAAGGACAAGCACUCGUCAACGGCACCGCAAAGGACACGGUAGGCCGAGUGACGUUGUCUCCCUCCAGGACCAAUGUCUCAGGUGCCGGCACGUCCUGAGUCGCCUUGCCAGCAGACGCUUUCCUGUUCCUCCUCUGCCUCAGUGGGUCCUUGUCGUCGUCGUCAGGAAGGUCAAUAACAACGUUAGAAGGAGCUCCAGAAAAGAAUCAAAAUUAGAGACAAGGAGCCAAUCGACUGAAGACGGAACUACAAAAGUCAUACCAGGUUUUGAAGUGACAGCAUCUUCCAUCUCGUGAUCUUCAGCCCUGACCGAGGUAUCAGAAGUAGCAGCACUGCAGUCCCAGAAGUCAGUCAAUUAGCUCAUGAGUCGACCAAGAAUAAAUUCAUGUGAAAUGGAGAAAACUCAAGUUACACCAUUACCCUGAGAUAGUGGGGAUCACCAUCUUCAUCUUUGGCAAGACCUUCGCCGGCUUCGACGGUGCCACUCGAGAUUGCUUCGGAGCUUUCUCAGUCGGCGUCGGAGAAGUCGUCCGAGGACGCUUGGUCGACUGUGCAACGGUGGCGACCCCCUUACCACGCUCGGAUAUGGGAUCAUGGACAAGCUUCGAGCGUCUUUCCGAGCGAGGAGGCGCAACUUCCUCCUCCUCCUCCUUCUCCUCUUCCUCCUCACCAGAGUCAUCAUCCUCAUCAUCGCCAUCCGCAUCUGAAUCCCACUCCUCCGGGCUUUCGCCCCCACUUCCUUCCUCCUCCUCAGUCGAUGCUUGCGCUCCAUUGGGCAUCGAGUAUAACUCAGUGGUGGCCUGACAAGACAACAAAACAAGACAAAGGUUAAUCGACCAAUUCGCAGCGAAACAGAAUGAAUGAAGCGAAAUCACAACCGGGGAUAAGUGGUCAUACCUUGUCCGGUGUGUAUGUAUGGUCGAGUGGUGGGAUCCUCCUAGCCCCUUGAGGGUUAUCUUUAUUCCCUGUGAUGGCAGCCAUCCACCUCUCCAGUGUGGCGUCACUGACCGCCUCUGGAUGGACUCGAGUGGUGUCUUCGGUGCCGCAGUACAGCCACAUCGGGUGGCCUCGGUAUUGAAGGGGUUGAAUACGCCGUCGAAGGAAGACCUCCAGAAGGUCCAUACCCGUCACUCCAUCCUGAACGAGCUGGACUACGCGCUCCAUCAACAUUUUCACCUGAGCUUUCUCCUCAGGAAGCACCUUCAGAGAAGAGGGUUUGUUCACUCGGUCCAUGGAGAAUGGAGGGAGACCAGUCGACUGCCCCGGCAUCGACUCGUCUUGGUAGUAGAACCAGGUCGACUGCCACCCUCUAACCGACUCAGGAAGGGUCAUGGCCGGAAAAGUACUCUUACUCCUCAUCUGGAUCCCAAGACCCCCGCACAUUUGGAUAACCUUAGUCCUCUCAUCAUCCGGAUUCGCCUUUUUCACCGUUUGUGAGCGACAGGUGAAUAUGUGCUUAAAGAGACCCCAGUGCGGUCGACAACCCAGGAAGUUCUCGCACAUGGACACAAAGGCAGCAAGAUAGGCAAUGGAAUUGGGAGUGAAAUGGUGGAGUUGCGCCCCAAAGAAGUUUAGAAACCCUCGGAAGAAAAGACUCGGUGUCAGAGAGAAUCCACGAUCUACAUGAGUGGCUAGGAGAACGCACUCACCCUCCUGCGGCUGCGGAUGCCACUCGGUUCCCGGAAGCCUUCUUGACCCAUGAGAGAUCAAUCCCUCAUUGGCCAGGUCGUUGAGAUCCACCUCAGUGAUGGUCGAGCGGAUCCAAUCCCCUUGGACCCAACCUUGCGGCAAGCGGGACCUCGACGAAGAUCCACCCCGACUGGUAGCUCUUCCCUUCGCUUUCGCCGUCGCCGUCACCUUCUUCGCGCGCUCCAAGGCCGCCAUCUUCUCCUUCACCAUCCUCGCCGGCGAAGCACGUGAGGAGUGGAUGGGCGGAGGCGAAAGCAGGCACAGCGGGCGGAGGUGAAGAGGGCAGAGAGGAGAAUGGGGAGGCACUGUUCAAAAACCCUCGCCCGGCGCCUUAUAUAGGGACGCUUCCGAGUGGCUGACAAGUAGGCCCGGGCGAUCCUGUCACAUCCCGAAACAGUCGCACACGCGUGAUACGUGGCGAAAAAGGCGGCGUGGAAAUCGAGGCGUCUACACCUUAUCCCAUCCGAGUACCGCGGUCCGCCCCGCUUCGCGCGCUUCCCAAAAUUCGGAUCCCACAAAAUCCGCCUACAGCAGAUCAACCUGUCAGACGGUAGAUUUCCUAUGAUCCGUCGCUCGGAAGUUCACCAAGUUCAAAAGUUCACUUGACAGAAGAAAAUAAUGGAUCAAGGCGACUGGAAGAAAAGUUGCUGGCAUCAUUAAAAAAGGUCAUUGAUCCAGGAUGAGACAUGCUCAGAACACAGAAACAAGUCGGAAGAUUAUCAACUCCUUCCUCAUUCAAACCUUGAUCCAUUCAGGGGCUAAUGAUGAAGUCAUGUACCUAGGGUAGGGUCACGGGCCUGUCCAAAGUACCCUCCCCAAGGACAUCUUCAGAAGAAGUUGCCUUCCAGUCGACCAAGAGGGAUUCCACUCGACGGACUCGAAGGCAUUCGACCAUGAAGACUCACUCGACCACCAGGAGAUUAAGAGCCACACUGUAUCCAAACGGUCUGUAAUUAAGUAGUCUUUAUGGCCAUGAUGGCACUUUAUGUAGGGCGUUACCAGUAAUGCCAAUCCUUUAUGUACUUUAAACCCAGCAUAACUGAGGGCCGGAGGGGUCUGGCAGACACUAUAUAAGCCACCCCCCUCCUCAGUGUAAAGGGUUCUCACCCCUGUCACUUAUACACACAUAAUCCAGUUGACCGCCUCCGGGCUCCGAGACGUAGGGCGGUUACUUCUUCCGAGAAGGGCCUGAACUCGUAAAUCCCUUGUCUGUACAACUGCUCCAUAGCUAGGAUCUUGCCUCUCCAUACCUACCCCCCAUUCUACUGUCAGUCUUAGAACCACGACACUAGCCACAUGCUAUAUGUGGCGCUCUGGUGGCCAAAUGGGUUAAAUCCAUCUGAAUCUAAGCCAAGUCUAAUGUUUCUCGGGUCAGCAACAAACUUUUUGUGUUUAUCAUUGAAGCUUUUCCACUCACUACCAUGAGAUGGAUGGCUCAUUACAUUCUGAUCUCUAUACUCCUGGUUCCUAGAAUGCCACAGUACAUCCUCUCUUGUUUCAGCAUCAUGAAACAACCUUUGCAAUCUUGGUGUAAUUGGAAAAUGUCUCAGAGCAUUAUGAGGAAUCCUCUUCACAGCAUCGCCAUCUUUCCAUCUUGAUGAUUUGCAUUUCGGGCAUUCACUUAAGUUGGCAUAAUCCUUCCGGAACAGAACACAAUUAUUCUUACAAAUAUGGAUCAUAUCAUAUCCAAUUCCAACUGCACGAAGGAAAUUCUUCAUUUUAUUGUAGGUGUGUGGCAGCUCAGACGCAUCUGGGAAAGAUUUGCGGAAAGCAGCCAACAUCAAAUCGAAUGAUUUGUUGGUCAUCCACUCAGAUGUCUUCAGCUGAAGAAAGGUGACCAUAGCUGAGAAUACUGACAGCUUAUUUCCUGGGGUGACAGCCACGAUGCAUUAUUCCAACAUGCGGGCCCACCCUUUUUCUUCUGCAGGUAAAGUUCACGGAAUGCACGAGCAUUUCGUAGCAUUGUUUCAAUGUUGGUCAAACUCACUGGCUCCACCACCACCACCUCCUCCUCCUCUUCCGCCUGAGCAUCAGGCAGAUCAAGAUAGUGAUCUGCUGCUUCCACGUAGUCAAUAACAUUGACGUUCACAGCUUCACCAUGAUGAACCCACCUAGUAUAUGUGACCGACAUCCCAUACAAGUGUAGAUGAUUUUGCACAGUUGAUUGAGGUCUUGUAACUGAAUUCAUACAACUGCUACACGGGCAGAGCACAUCUGAUUUCGGACCACCGUACUCAGCUCUGAUAAAGUUCAUGAAGUUUUCAACCCCCUCGACAUAUGCAGCGGAGAAUCUUCGAGCAGAAGUUAUCUAAGUCAUGUCCAUCUGUUAGACAUACAAAUUAGUUCUUCUACUAGAUAUUACAGAAAAAACAUAUAUGCUUUUUUUAUGAAGUCCAGAAAAAAAUACCUAGGUCGAUGUCUAAAGAUAUGGCAAGAUAUUUGGACGAGCAGAUCUAAGUAACGAAAUAUAUGUAAAGCUAAUUCAGCAAACAGAUUUGAGUGCUAAAUUAUGGCAGGCUGUUUCAGCAGUCAAUGAGGCCGAGCACACAGCCAUCGAACUAUCAAGGCCAUCGCAGCAACAAAGAUCGAGUAUAAAAUGGUGUAGAGCUAUUUCACCUAACAGAUUGGCUACUAGACCAUGGCAAUCUACGUCACAAUAAAUAUAUGGCAGGAUAUUUUAGCAACUAAUCGGCCUUGGCAUGCCAUCUCAGCUAAGCAGAUUGAGUGCAGAACAGAACAACGAAGCUUCUUAAGCAGAGCAUAUUGACAGUAAACUACUUCGGCAAACAGUGAGAUUAACAGCGUCUAUCAGCUAACAUUCAGCGCUACACCGACAUGAAUGGAGCCUCAGUCUAGAAUGCGCGUACCGUGGGAGAAGCUGACUGCCGUGUGUCUCCACACGAACGUCGCCAGCGGUGGAGGCGCUGACCGUUGUGCGCGUCCACAAGAAUGUAGCAAGAGGUGGCGGCAUGACUAGAGGACGGCAGACUAUGAGAGCGUACUGUGGGAGCGAGAGGAUCGUCGUGCGUCCCCUCGAUGAACCGCGGCACCGACGUAUCAGCACGGCGGGGAGGGUGGCUUUGGUGGAGCGAAUGGAGUGGANNNNNNNNNNNNNNNNNNNNNNNNNNNNNNNNNNNNNNNNNNNNNNNNNNNNNNNNNNNNNNNNNNNNNNNNNNNNNNNNNNNNNNNNNNNNNNNNNNNNNNNNNNNNNNNNNNNNNNNNNNNNNNNNNNNNNNNNNNNNNNNNNNNNNNNNNNNNNNNNNNNNNNNNNNNNNNNNNNNNNNNNNNNNNNNNNNNNNNNNNNNNNNNNNNNNNNNNNNNNNNNNNNNNNNNNNNNNNNNNNNNNNNNNNNNNNNNNNNNNNNNNNNNNNAAUAUUAUUGGCUAGUUGGCCGAAGGGCGGUUGAAUCGGAUUUGGGGGGAAUUUUUGUGUGGGGGGGGGGAGGAUUUUCGCGCGGUGGGCGGGGGAGUUUGGCGCAUGGUCGGUUUCUCCAAGUGUAGUCCCACGUGUCAGUGAAGAGGCAAGCCGAAGCGUGUUCCAUUUGUGUGAGCCGUGUGCAGGACCGAACGUGUGUGGGGUGCAAUGCGACCGCGACAGGAGUGUUGUGAGUGUACCGCCUUUUUCCUUUUAAACUAGGUGCUUCGCCCCCUCAAAAAAAAUUGUUGCUUCGCGCGAUCCAUCGAUACUACUACUAGUAAUCCAGUAAUCCCGACUAAAACGGCGCGGCCGGGUCUUUUCCCGCGCGAUAUGCUGGGAGGUUGGCUUACUUGGGUUUUUUAGGACGAGUAAUGCUACACCUACAUAAUCCCAUUUACGUAAUUAACGUAAUGUGAAACGUGUGAGCUGUUGAUUGUAGAUUGGGGGAGGGAGGGGCCCACCACCAUGAAAAUCAGGGGAGGAGAGAGAGGCAAUUUACGUUAACCCUUUCGUAGGUUCACGUAGAUGUAGAAAGAUGUGAAAUGCGUGAAUGUGUAGUGGACGUACUAUUGGAGUGCCUAAGAUAAAUUGUGUAUGUAUAGACCCUAUGUGUUUAUUUUACUUCGCAUGUUAGAUUUGUCUCGGUUCGAUAAAAAGCAGAGAUGGUGAUGAUGGUGUGCCUGUCAUCCUGCAAUAUAGGUCGUCCGAUCUAUAUCUAACGGAUAGGAAGGAAACUAUGACAAUUUACCCGCACUCCUCUCCACAUUUGCAGAUAAGGCUUUCCCUCGUUCAUCCUUUUCUCCCACAAGAUCUUGAUCUUCCGUGCAAUGCAUGGGCAUCUUGCUAGUACUCCUACAAUAUGUAUAUUAUUGUGAAAGUUCAUAUACACCGACCGACAUUAAUGCAAACACGGCAGGUUUUCAUUACAUUUCGAACUUUUAUAGGACACAAAAAUAAAAGAAAUCCGACCCUAAACCUAUUCUACUGCGACGACCGACGUCCUCCAUCUGCGAUCUCUAUGUAUGGGGGCGGGGUUCAAGACCCGUGAAGUGAAGGUGCAGUCUCCGGCGAGGAAGAGUAGGACACAGGAUACGAACCGGCCAGUUGGCACACCAUGCCCUGCCGCCUCCCAUGCCCUACUCAUCCUCGGAGGAGUCCCCGACCUCGGCAGUGUCGGACAUUGGACGGCGGCAAGUAGGACGCGUGGCUGACGGUGCUCCCGUCGUCGGCCGCCAGCGUGGCCACCGCUUGUGCGGUCGCGUCCGCGUCCGGCUACACCGCUAUUGUGUCGCGAGAGGCGACUUGAGUGAGGGCGGCGACCUCGAGCUUCAUCCUCGAAGACAAGCUCUCCCACAAAGCGUUCGCACUUGCGGUCAUGGCGGAUGUGGUGCCAGGUAGGAGGACGAUGCGCUAUGGUGUGGAGGUUAGUUGGGCGUUGCCGCUUUAAGUAGCGCAUUCCGGUGAGGCCAAGCGUCCAGGUGCGUCAUUAAGUCGCCGGAGUUGGUUCCUCGGGCACCGAGCCUCUUAACGACGACAUACGAACAGACGGCAUGAAUGCGGGCAGCUGGCACCGGCUGGGAACGCAUCGUCCGAGGGACGAGGGACGAGGGUUUUGGUGUGCCAGGGUAGUCAGUUGCGGUCGUGGCAACGUUGGAGAUGCCCUUUGCUCACAUGUGAUCCCCGCAUGUCAUUGAAAAAGCAAGACGACUCGGCAUGGUCUCAGGUCCAGAGGAUGCAGUUGGCCGUGCUACACCACUCCGCGGACGCGUUGCGGCGCCCCGUGCAUCCUCGACGAGCCGGGUGUUGGGGUGUGUUUGGAGUGUGGCCAAAGUGCACCUUACAAAAAUUUUGGUCAUGACCCAAAGAUUGGUCUUUGUUUGGAUGGUUGCCAUUUUUUUGGCAUGCCAAUGAACUCUAGCCAACUCUAGUUCAUUUUUCUUGCCAGUGUCGGCCAAAUCAUGGGCAACCAAUACCUCAACCAAAAUUUUGGUCAUGACCCAAAGAUUGGUCUUUGUUUGGAUGGUUUCCAUUUUUUGGCAUGCCAAUGAACUCUAGCCAACUCUAGUUCAUUUUUCUUGCCAAUGUCGGCCAAAUCAUGGGCAUCCAAUACCUCAACCAAAAUUUUGGCUACCCAAUGCUUUGAUGGGGCAACCUUGGGCACAAACCAAACAUACUGUUGGUUGUGCCACAACACUAACGCCACCCUCGGCACACUGAAACCGACCGUGUGUAGCGACGAUAUGAGCGUGUCGCUCACCGCGGUCGCCGUGUCUAGAGGCGGUGCUGGAGCUGCGCCCCGUUGUUGGCCCCAACGACCCACAUGAACGGUUGUCGGUGGCGAGGAGUUCGUGGGCCAGCUCCUCCAUUGGACUAGUCUGCGCUACAUCGUCCCGACGGGUGUGCCCCACAUGUCGGUUUCCCUGUUUUCCCAGCCAUAUUCGAGUGUCAGUGCUCCGCGUUGUGCAUUAGGCCUUUCACUAUGUAGUCCAAGCGAGACAACUUAUUGUUUAUUUGAGCCGUUCAAGUAUAAUCAUGUGGCGUUUGCUUAUUUAUCAUUCCUCUCCAACCCUCUUCUCCAUCGAUCAUGUCGCCCUCCAGUCGAGUCCACCCUCCCGCAUUCCUCAUUUGAACAUUCCGCCGAGUAUCAUUCGCAUGUACCCACCCUAGUCCUCUUCCAAUAGAUCUCCGGACCCCGAGAUGAAAUCGAGAGGGAACGAAGGCGGAUUCAAAAUUUUGAACCGGUGAUCAUAGCAUCCGGAAAUCAUAUAUAAAGGGUAUUCAAUGUUUGUUUCGUUUUUGAACGUACAAUAUACUCCCUCCUAUCCAUUCUAGUUUAUAUACUAUGGAUGUGAAAAUUAUAUCAUUGGAAACUCCUUUCACAUACGAAUUUGACCGUAUGCUUUGUGUAAGUUGCAUGACAUAUAUUAUUACUCUAACAUUUGGUCAAAGUUAGCCUCGAAAAACGCAUUAGGCCCUGUAUAGUAAAUGGAAGGAGGGAGUAGUAGUGGAAGUGGAUCCUCUGACGUAGGUAUCCCUGCCUUACCCUCCCUUUUGGUCACUUACUGGCGGACCCCAUGCUUGCUAGGCCCCGCAUGUCAGUUACUCAAUGGGUUCGGCCACGUCAGGGGAUCCUCAUCUGUAGUAUACUCCUCUGUUUUUUAUUUACUCCGCGUAAAACGGAGGGAGUGGUAGUAUAAUAAAUGACGCGGGCGAGGGAGGGGGAGGGACGUCGGUUUGCUCUCAACUAUGGUCCCACAAGCGAGCGAAAAUGCAAGACGAAGCGCAUUCCAUUCGGUGAGCGACAUGGAGGGUCCAGUGUGUCGGGCUGCAACGCGAACGCGACAAGAGCGAUGUACAAUCAAAAUCGAUUGACCGGUCGUCACCGGAACCACUAUUCACACCAGAACCUUCGCUGCUCGGCCUACGCCAGCCACUGCCCUAAAACCACACCUAAUCUCCAGCCCAUUCCCCCACCUUUCGAUCCCCUAGACCGCAUCAAGUGUCCCCUAGUUCGCCGGAAAGCCAUGGUGCACCGCAAGAUCACUUACUACAAGAUGCUGAUGCCGGAGCGCCGCGCAGAAAUCGCGGCGGCGGUCGGCGCCACAGACCUCCAUUCCCAAGCUCGCUUUGCGGCGGGACAAUCCCCGAGUUCUCUGGAGCCAAGCUACGAGGAGGAGGAAGCCGAUCCAAUGUUCAUGGCGGAGGUCGCAGCGCAGAAGGCCCCCGAUGGGUAUGAGAUGAUGGACAUUGACUUCGUGCCAGCGUCCGAGUCCCACAUGGUGCAGGCAGACCAGCGGUUCAACAUGGCGAUACUAAAGGAGGACCGGGAGGCAGAGGCUCAACUCGACGCGGAGCGCGCGCAUGCCACUGCCAUCGAGGCUCUCCUGCAAGCGGAACCGGAUGUCGUGGAUGUGAACUGGGCGUCGGAGGCUCAACUUGAGGCGAAGCGCGCGGAUGCCGCUGCCAUCGAGGACCUCCUGCAGGCGGAACCGGACGUCCUGGACUUGAACCGGGCGGCAGAGACUCGACUCGACGCAGAGUGCACGGAUGCCGCUCUCAUCGACACCCUCCUGCAGGCGGAACCGGACGUUCUGGACUUGAACCGGGCGGCGGAGGCUUGACUCGACGCGGAGCGCGCGGAUGCCGCUGCCAUCGAGGCCCUCCUGCAGGCGGAACCGGACGUCCUCGACUUGAACCGGGCUAUGCUCUCGUCCGUGCAGAGCGUCCGCAUGCUCCGCUUGAACGAGUAGCUGGAGGCCGAGGACAACCAUGGUGCAGAGACACACGUUGGCAGCUACGACUGGUUCGCGCCGGCAGCCAAAGACGACGAGGCCGUCUCUUUCUGCGAGCGGUGGUAGUUUUUCUUUAUGUUGUUGUUUUUAUGGUUCUUUUGCUGUGUAAAAACAUAUAUUUGUUAUGCAAGUCGCCUGACUUGGGCCAGUCUACCAUUUCAGGCGGUUGGAUGAAUAUCCUACGUCUCCUAACCCUUCUUUCCUUCUUCCUCACCUCUUCUUCUUCCCCAACAGACCACCGCACGGGCCGUACGGAUAAUCCCCAACAUGCGGUUGGAUAAACAUACUCUAUGAACGAAAAUUAUGUGUCAGCGAUAGGAUGGCUAAGUUUGGUUUGUUCACAUGCGACAGCACGUGUCAGUGAGGGUGCGUUCCCUUGGUUGGGUUUGCGGCGUGCAGGAGCGACUGUGUGAGGGUGCGGUGCGACCGCGGCGUGUAGGAGCGACCGUGUGAGGGUGCGGUGCAACCGCGACAGCCGUGCACAAGUGUACCUCCUUCUCAUUUUGAAAACUUUAGGCAAGCUUGGCAAAAAAUGUGUGGCGAAGUUUGGCAAUGCAAGGCCUAGACCCAAACAGGAUAAGUAUGUACGUACUAGGACUACUAGUGUUAAAAAAGAAAGGCGGGGUUUUCCUUCGCGGGAUUUAAUCGAUACAAAUCCUUGUUUCACGUGUCAAUUAAUGCGUAUUUUUUUCUCCAAAGACCAAAGAGCUAACCAUCUCACUCCUCAUCGCUUGAUUAAUGCAGCGCCAUGCAAACCAACCUUCUCACUUCCGCAUGCAUGCAGGGGAUAUUAAUGUCCUUGGUUGCUAGUACGAGGCAAACCCCAUCAAUUUUGCCUCGAUUAGUGUUAGUGGCCUUUUGCAAAUUGGAAUUUUGAUAUACUGUCCUUGUGUACAAAAAAAUGGAGGUAAUAACUAUAUUUGACUUCCUUCCCCAUUGGGGUGACGUCGACGAUAUCUUUUUUUGUGGUUUGGCGAAGUGCGUUCGACGGAGAACACCAUUGAGGGAGACCACGGUAAUUCAUUCGCAAGUGCCGGCUGCAAGCCAAGACAACCACCUUAUUUGCAUCCAGGAAGUCCGCUGAACCAAAGGACUUGUACUACUAGGAGUACUAGUGCAGUGAGAUGGUUUCUCGAAGAAGCCGAUGGAGAAGUGGAGUCAGCGAAGAGUGAAAUGAUGGUUGCUUCGUCCGUGCUUUUGUGAUUUGACGCCUCACUGCUUUGUGAUUUGUGAUAGAGGGGACAGGGGAGUAGACUUUGUGCUCUAUACUGUACUACAUGCGUCCAAGCAUGGGAGAAAGAGGAGAGACGUUGCAUUUUUCUAUUCCUUCAAUCAAUCAAUCAGGGAGCUUCAAUUCCAUCUUUUUGGCUUUGGCAACACCGUCCAUAAUGGUUCCUACGAUGCCAAAAGCUAUUUUCACAUUUGGCUACACAUUGUGGAUGCCCUUAACCGUACCACUUGGUUUUGCUCCUGGGUGCUAUCUAUACAAAUCUCAAUUAUCGUGAUCUAAGAAAUUAUAGAAUCAAGAUUAGUAAAAAGGAGGUGAUUUUGCCGCGCGGAUGGCGGGGGAGGUUUCUUAUUUUCAGAGGACGUUGUCCUGGCGGUUUGCUAACAUGCGGUCCCACGUGUCAGUGCUUUACCAAGCCGAUCCACGUCCCACAUGAGGCAGAACAACGGCAGAAGGAACACGUGGUUAAGUUGAAGAAGAUGAGGGAGAAGCGGAUUCAGCAACGAGUGAAAUGAUGGUUGCUUCGUCCCUCCAACUUCUUUUUUUAGCAUUAUUACUUCGUCCCUCCAACUUAACUGCGGGAAAGGUGCAGCUUUGUGAUUUGAAGCCUCAUUGCUCAUUACUAUGCCGGCGCCAUGACUGGGGUGCUUCACCCCGGCUGCUCUGCACUGUAUUCCGGUAUGGCACGUGGACCCGGUAGCUUGAUAUCCCACAUGUCGGCGAAAGGGACUAGAAGAUUUAUGAAAGCAAGCGCUCCACUCUUACGACGGAGGAGUAGACGACAUGACGGCCCAGUGAACUGUCACUUGUACUGUAUAGUACUAUAGUUUUGUUGUUUCGCACGAUCCAUCGAUACAAACCCGAUUAAACAGGAAAGGGCAGGAUUUUUCCCGCGCGGUAGAUGAUACUGGCCAUACAUUUCAAAGGCAAUUUUAAUGUAUGCAAACUGAAUAAUUAUAAGUAACAAUAUGAUAUCUAGCAAAACUAAAAACACAUAUGAUUUACUGUGUUAGAGUGUAGUAGUAGUGUUGUAUUGCAUAGUUGUUAGAUGUAACAUGCGAGAACGUGUAGAGAUGUAGUUUUGGAGGGACUAUAGAGAGAAAAGCGUAAUACGGUCACCGAACUUCAGAAUAAGCUGAUGACGGUCACUAUAUACGUUUUGCGGUGAUUAUACGGUCACUUGCUCACGGUUCAGCAUCGGAUUGCACUCUGUUGACCGGCCAAAUAGUCUGCAUGGCGCCAUGUUGACUAGUUAAAUUGACCAUGUUCCUUGUGGGUCCCACCAGUCAGUUUGCAUAGGGAAAAUGUCAGAUAAACACAAAUUUACGCAGGCACGACAAGACUCCAACCCGUGCGCGGGAAUCACCUGGUUGUGUAUGUGUCUGUCAGGGCCUGAUGUGUGCGCAUGCAUGUGUAGGUUGAGCACUUGAGCGUGAGAGUGUGUGUUGGUCGUGUGGUGUACUAGUGUGUGCAUGCAUGCGUGCGUGUGUGCGUGUGAGUGUUGCGUGCGUGCGUGGCUGCGUGUGUACGUGUGAGUGUUGCGUGCGUGCGUGGGUGCAUGUGUUUGUGUGAGUGUUGCGUGGAUGCAGUUCGUGUGCAUGUGUGCGUGUGUGUAUAAUCACCACACCAGCUCCUGUGUGUUAAAACAAACGGCUCAGCAUACCAAUACAAGGCCACCUUGUCCGCUGUGCCCGCGGUCAUGACUUCGAACCACCGUCCAAAAUUUUUUUGUCGUUUGUUUUCAUUCUUACUAGCAAGAUGCCCGUGCGUUGCACGUAACAUCAAGAUGCAUUUGUUUGACUAGUUUAUCUUGUGAGAGAAAAGGAUGAACGAGGGAAGGCCUUAUUUGCAAAUGUGGAGAGGUGUGUGGGUACCUUUUUGCAAAAUUGUCAUAGUUUCUUUCCUAUCCGUCAGAUAUAAAUCGGACGGCCUAUAUUGCAGGAUGGCAGGCACACCAUCAUCACCGACUCUGUUUUUUAUAAGAGUGUAUUUUAUAAGAGUGUAGAUGUAGAGUAGAUACAAGUCGACAGGUGGGCAUGAUGGCAGUGAGAUAAUGUGAUGCAACACUAGAGGUGCCACGUGGAGCGUUUAACUGGUCAACUAGUCAUGUCAUGAGCAAAUACAGAGUUGUAUGGUGAGCCCGUGACUGUAUAAUUACCACUAGACGUAAAUGGUGACCGUAAUGAGUGGAUUCUGAAGUCCAAUGUACGUAUCAUGCUUUCGCUUCAAAUACAAUGAUCAUCAUUGCAUAUAUCGCGAGAGAAAGAUGAAACAUGCGUGAAUUUUCUGGGGGCUUACUUUUACAGGACCUGGAGAUAGUUUUGUGUGCAUACGUGAAAGGGGCAUACAGGGGGGUACGCGAUGGAGAGAGGAUGCUCUUCAUUUCUCUUUAUUAUGACUAACUUUGUAUAUAGUAUAAAAAUAUACAAAUUCACAGUGCGGAAUAAAUAUCAUUGUGGGCACCAUGCAAUGCAAAUUAGCGUUCGUACUCCUCCAAAUAACUUUGUAAUGUUGUAUAUAUGUAGAAACUCUAAAAUAAUUUUUUGGCCACACUUUAUUCAAAAGGAAUGUUGUAUGCGAAAUAAAUGUGAAGAGAGGGCUUUUUAGAUCAAUGGGGUACGUGAUGUAACAUGUGUGAAUGUGUAGUUGAUGCAUUUGGCCGGGCCUAGAGAGGUAUGUGUGUGUAUUACGUAUUCGAGAGAGGCAUGGAUAGAGGGGCCGACGGGGGGGGCGUGGGAGAGAUAGCACGAGAAAUGAGAGUGGUCUAGAGAGAGAGAGACGAAUAUGACAUCACAACGAGAGAUUCCAUUCCCUUGAGUGUGUAUAUGCAAGGGGGAGGGAAUAGAGGCACUAGGAGAAAAUUUCUGUGUGUGUGGUGUUUGUGUUGGUACGUGUGGGUGUGAGAAGAUAAUGAGACGUGGGGGCAGAGGGUGUGUCACCACGUGAGGUCCGGUGGGUCGAGGUGAGGCCCUUCGUUCGGUUCCGUCUUGCACCACAUUGGUCGGCCCGUGACGCAUUUAGGAAGACCCAUGGAUGACUAGUCGUACAAGACAAAGAUAUCAGAAUUGUGAAGGACUCUGUGUCCACCGACAAAGCCGGCUAGGAUUUGUAACCCUAGGUUCUCGGACUAAGGUAACCCCUUUAUCUCUGAUAUUACUAUUCAUCCAACCUAACUUUAAGGGGCAUCCUACAAAAUGCUCAGCUAGAAUCAUACUCGUCGAUUAGGAAGAGAGGUGUGAGACAAUGCGUGAGAGACAGGCCUAAAGAUAAUGUGCGUAGAUGAGACACGUAGGCAGGUCCAUGUAUAUAGAAAGGGUCGAUGGGGAUUGUGCGUGUGUAUGUUUGUGAGAGGAAGAGUGCUUGUGAUAAAGGUUAGUGAAACAGUUGUAAAUGGUUACGAGAGGGAGGGAGGGUUAUAUCUAGAGCAUGUGUGCGAGAAAGACACCUCGGGAGAGAGUGUGUGAGCAUGUGUGAGAGACCACCGAUGGAGAGUGAAACUACAUGUAACAGACUGUUGUACACAUUGACUAAAGAUAUAAAUUGUAUCCAAAUAUUAGGAUGGGAUCAUGAUAUUUGCAAUUCGCGUAAGGAGCGGUCAUUGAUCCAUCAUACAUCUAGAUUCUAUCGAAUUUGAGCAUGUCUAUGUUAUUAAUCGACACAAUUGAUCCACAUAGUUAGUAUUUUGAACUCCAGACAAUGCAUCACUUUAGCAAUCGAAUAUAAACGUGAGUAUAGUUCAUGUUGUGUGUGUAAAGCACAUUAUACAUACAAAAGUUACACAAUGAACAUUAUAAAUAGCUACAUAUGAACUAGCAUACAUUUGAAUUCAACUUAAGGUGGUUUAAAAAAUCGAAUUCAACAUGAAGUCCAUUCAAUUAUUUGAAUUUGAUAUCAUGACAUUUGUAAACCAUACCUAAAUUAUGGGGGCACCAAUCUUUGUUCUGAUUUUGUACAUAAUAGCAUAUGUAGUCGUGUACAAAACAGAUUCAAAUUUAGCUCCUCCAUUCCAAAAUAAUCAUAGUUAUAGGAUUUUCAAGUGUCAAAAUUUCAAAAAGAAUCGGAUAAUUUAAUGAGGUUUUCAAACAUACAAGGUCAAAUAUAACGUUGUCUAUUUAGGUCAAUCCUCAUAGUUCAAGAGUACUCUAAACGUGAAUGCUUGUGUUUCAAAAUUUCGAACGAAGCGCCAAAAGAGCCUCUACUCGCCCGAAACCGCGUGAGACCAAUGUUUGGUAGUACAAGGAAAUUACUUUUCUAAUAACUCCGACCCAUUAAACCUACCGGCCCGACGUCCAAAGGUUUAAACCGGGGUAGGUUUGUAGCUUCAUCUAGACGCCACGCAACCGCCUCUGAAAAACAUUCAUACACAAUGGCCGCCUAAGCACACAUGCGUGCGGCUGAAAUUGCUCCUGCCCACUAUUUGGGACACCUGGGAUUACCAUCCUACCCCUGACCCGCAGUAGGUACGAAAUUUAAGAGGGGGGCAAAGUUUGUACUUUCCCCAAAUUUCAAACAAGCGCGUCCCAUCUUCUGUUCAAAAAAGCCAAAAACAAGCGUGUGCCAGACCGAAACAUGGUUCCCCCCCACCCAUAUGAUUCCCCAUUCGUACUCCGUGGGUGCCAAAACUACCUCUCCACCAGCCGCGAAACCCCGGCGUCCUCUGUCCGCCACCCCAUCCCACCCAUCAACCGCCGCCCUCCUCCAUCACACUGGAGCCGAUACCCCGACAUCGUCGUCCACCGCAACCUCAACCGCAACGCCCUUCACGGCUAGUAGUUGAAGCUGAGGCCGAGUCAUCCAUACCCGAGCCAGUUCAACCACGUCGUCCUGCGCCUCACCGCUGCCGCUCCAACUUCGCCACCCUCCACCAUACCAGAGUUGUUCCUGCUAGGCCGUCCUUCGCCGCCUCGGAUCUGCUUUCCCUCCGCCGACAUACGACCACGGCAACACAGUCAACAAUUUGGCCAUGGGUUCGUCCAAGCCUGCACCCUCCAGAACAUCGGUUUCCCCGGUAAAAAGAAGAAGAUCGGCUCGACAUGUGGAGGUUACCACACUGGCAACCAAAAAUGGUACUCCUCUUCCCUUAUUCGUGCAAAUCUUAUGUCUCUGCUUGCACGGUAUUCAUCCCAAAGAAGACACUAGUUGACUGCUUCUUCUUGAUACUAGAUGUUCCUAGUAACUCGUGAUGCACAAGGUUUCUCCUCAUAUACUAUUUCACCUUAGCUAGAGGACCGUCGCCCCCCUAAAUUUUAGUUUCUGGCCAGUUGAUUCCCAAUUAACGGAAGCAUUCCCCGACGUAAUAGGCGCUAGUACGCCUAUUACACCGGGGAAGCAGCGCCUUGGUGUUUACCUUAGAGGCGUGUGCGGCCUAGAGCUACUGGCGCCCGAUCUGGAGGUCGGCCGGGAUUAAAGGGAUGGCCUGGGGGUGCUGCCAAGCACGACGGUGGUGUGAGGUCGAGGGGAGGGCGGGGCGGCGGAGGCAGGGGUCUGGGCCGGUAGUCGCUGGCGGUUCGAGAAAGAUCGUCAACAGUGACUAGCGGGAGGUAGACGAAGGCCAUCUGCCUGUCCCUUAUAGAUCGGACGGUUCAUUAAAAAAAUCGACUGGCCUAUUUAUUUUCAGUCGACUGUUAUCUUAGAUAUGACCACAUGUGGUGGUGUGCUGGAGGAGUACCUGCAUUUCCUUUUCUCAUAUAUUACAAAAUCAUACGGAGUAGAAUCUAAUUUUGUUUGCCAUGCAAUGUUGUAGAGCUAUCAUAUGUCUCAUGUCAUUUAUUUUUCAUCCACCUGCUAUCUGCUACUUUUAUAGUGCACUAGUUCUGCACACACUUCACCCAUACUCUCACUAUUGUGUUUUUAUGCAAGGGUAUUUCAGAGUCUGCCGAAAGAGAAGCAGCAAAGAAAAGAGAGAAGUCGUGCCAGCUUUCUUCGCGGCUAGGCACGACACGUUACAGCGCUAUAAAGGGUGCAGUGUCAGCAGAUGGAGACGGUAAACGUAGCUCUGGAGUUGAUGACCUCGCUCGCAAUGAACCAGCAUCCCAGGUGCUUGCUUUAACUUCGGGGUGUCAUAUGUGGUUGCAUGUUCCAUAUGGUGUCUAGGUUGUAUUCGAAAGGCCGAAGUCGGUCUUUGAUAAAGAAAGAUAUGUUUUACAUGAACCACCAUCCCGUGAGCACCAGAAGACAAAUAGCUAGUCGGGGUACUGGCCGAGCCAGUGACAAGCCCAGCAAAGAUAGGCAUCACCUGGAAGCCAACUAAAAAGUUGCGAUGGUGGCGAAGUAGCCCGCCUCCCACCAGGCUCUCAGGUCCUAGAUGAUCAUGCUCACCACUCCAGUCGAAUGUCUAGCUUGUAUUGCUUCCAAUUUGGUUAAAUUGCAUCUGCUUAGCUUACACAUUAUACCUUUGAAUAUGACAUGCCUUUCUGUUUUUGGUACACACUAGUACAUUUGUGUAUUAACCAUGUUAUUACAUCAAACUAAUGUUCUUGUGUAUCCCUCAUCAAUCACUUAUGAUGAGGCAGGCAGGCAAGGGGACUACUCCUCAUUUAAAGAAUGCAGCGUCAGCCUCCCGACAUGAUUCUCAAGAAAUAUAAAUGCUAGAUGAAGAUAGUGAACGUAGCUUUGUAGUUGAUUACAGCAUUUCCCCUACACUAGCAUGGAAGGUGCUUGCUCUAACUUGGCAGCGUGAUAUGUGGUUGCAUGUUGCAUAUGGUGUCUAGAUUGUAAUUCUUCCAAUCUGGUUAAACUGCAUGUGCUAGUCUGCUUAGCUUAUACAUUAUACCUGUUAAUAUGACAUGCCUUCAUGUAUUUAGUACAUAGUACAUCUGUCUAUUAAGCAUGUCCUUACAUAAAACUAUUGUUUUUUUGUAUCCCACAUCAAUCAAUAUGACGAGACACCUUUAGUAUAUGCAGUGCGAUAUUAGUUGCAUCUUUCAUAUGAUUUAUAGCAUGCGCUGCUUCUAAUUUGUUGAAAUUCCAUUUAUGAUGGGACGCUUUUAACUUGGCAGAGUCAUAUUGGUUGCAUCUUUCAUGUGGUGUCUAGCUUGCAUUGCGUCUUAUUUGUUGGAAUGGUUUCUGCUUAGUUUACACAAACAGUUGUGAACAUGCCAUGCCAUCCUGUUUUUCGUACAUAUUCCAUCCUGGUAUCAUGUGUUUGCCUUACAUCAAAGUAGUGAUUGUCAGUAUCAUGCAUGAAUGAGUUCUGAAGAGAUAAUUUUAUUGCUUUUUCUUGUUGAUUUUACUUGACAAUUCAAAAUCAAUAAAGCGGAAGGAAGUUAGCAAGGCAGCGGAUAAAGGUGCUCCUUCCGAACGGAGGGCCUCUACAGUUUCUACUCCUCCACACCCCCAAGAUGAUUUCCAAGACAACACAUGCAUAGACACUCAACAAAGUUGUGUUUAUGAUGAGCACGUCUCCCCUAGUGCAGCAUCACCGGUGCUCCAUCUAACUUGGCACUGUUAUAUGUGGUUGCAUGUUAUGUGUGAUGUCUAGCUUGUAUUGCUUCUAAUUUUGUUGAAUUCCAUCUGCUUACUUUACAUAUUAUACUUGAAUAAGACAUGUGUUCCUGUUUCUAGAACAUACAAUAUCUGUCUAUCACACCAUGUUCUUACAUCAAAUUACUAUUGUUGUGUAACCUGCAACAAUCACUUAUCAUAAGACACGUUUGACUUCGGAGUGUGAUAUAGGUUACAUAUCACAUUCUUUUCUAGCUUGUACUACUAAUUUGUUGAAAUGGCACUUAUGACGAGAUGGUUUUAACUUGGUAGAGUGAUAUUCGUUGCAUCUUUCAUAUGGUGUCUAGCUUUCAUUGCUUCUAAUUUGUUGAAAUGCCUUCUCCUUAGUUUACACAUCAUAAGCUGUGAAUAUGCAAUGCUGUGAAUAUGCAAUGGCACUAAUGACGAGAGACCUCUAACAUGGUAGUGUGAUGUUGUUUGCAUCUUGCAUAUGAUUUAUUUCUUGUACUGCUUCACAUUUGUUUAAACGCCAUUUAUGAUGAGACACUGUUAACUUGGCAGAGCGAUAUUUGUAGCAUCUUUCAUAUGGUGUCUACCUUCCAUUGCAUUGCUUCUAAUUUGGUGAAAUGUCUUGUUCUUAGUUUACACAUCAUAGUUCUGGUUAUCUCUUCCGUCCUGUUUUUCAUACAUAUUGCAUCCUCCUAUCAUGUGGUUGUCUAACAUCAAAGUUCGGUUCGUCUGCAUCACGCAUCAAUUUGUUCUGAAGAACUAAAUUGUUAUUCGUUUUUCUUGUCGGCUUGACUUAACAUGGCACAGAGAAAGAGGAAGAAACACAGAAUGGCAGGGAAUGAGAAGCAGAUGAAUCCUGCAGAUUCUGCUGGUACUGAUGGUACAAUAGAAGGUCAAAGUCCAGCGGAAAAUUCUACAAGCACGGCAUCCCAUGCUACACGAGCUGCAAAAAAAGCCAAACAGAAACAAAUAGCUGCCACCAAAUAAGCAGAGACAGCCCUAAUUCUUGCAACACCUACCACAGUACUACCAGCUGCACGACUUACUCAUGCGUCAACUGAGCUAGCAGCACGUUCCCAAGCUCCCUUGCCACCCGACACUACUUCCCAAGCACUCUUGACACAAGAUGAGUUGGCAAUAUCAGAUGAACCUUGUGAGCUUCAAUAGUAAGAAGGUAGUUGUUGGAGUCAAGUUACAAUUGCAUGCUUCUUUAUAUGUAGUCUCACAGUUUGAUGUACACUAACACUUCCUAUGUUCGUUGUUGGACCAGCACCUAGGCGCAAGAGGAAAUAAACAUCAGGGAUAUUGCUCGAUAGGUUAACUAAAUCUAGAGGAGGAAGAAUGGAGAUCCGUUUUGAGGCAGGUUUAAAAAGGCCACGUGAUGCUACAGAGUCAGCCAAGUUAGUAUCAGAGGCAGCGGUUGUCGUUAGGUGUCAUGUACGUAUCCUCCCAACAUGGAUUCAGUAUAGGAAUGACAAAGACGAAACCCAGUUCAACACCUUCCUCGACCAUUUAUCUGUAAGUAUGGUUAUGUAUGGAAACUAGUAAUAUCGUCUUGCUCUGUCCCAUACUUUCUAGGUUGCUGAUAAUGAGACUCCCAUAAUUUUCAACAUGUGAGGUUCAAGUUGGAUAGCCAAGAUGAUGCAACCAGACAAUAUUGCACCCAUGUUUUCAAGUCUGCUCUGCGACAGUAUCGGUAUAACUUGAGGAAAACUCACUUUGAAGGCAAGGCUAAUAGUGAACUUUCCCAAACAUCUCCAGUGGAAAAUAUAUCGGAUGAAGACUGGAGGGGCCUUGUUAAACACUGGUCUGAUCCGAAGUAUCAGGUACAUUAUAUAUAUGUGAUCAGAUCACAUGUUGAAGUCCUAUUUACGCAUGUGCCACACAAAUCUAUCUUCUUGUAGGUGAACUGUUCAAAGAACAAGGCCAACCGUACGAAAGUGAAAUUCCAAUAGAUGACAGGACCUUGUAGCUAUAUUGCACACUGUGAGGCUCUUGUAAUUAGUUGUUGUUUCUCUCUUUUCGCUGUACCAUAUUAUCAGAUCUAUAUUGACUUGUUAGAAAUGAAGAGGAAAGCCCGCAAGGACCAAAAAGUACCUGAACCAAAUGUUGUGUAAAUCUUCAAGGACUGUCACACCAGCAAGAACAAGGGCAUGACUACACCAGUCAAAUCCACUGUUGUAAGUCCUUAAUCCUCAUGCCUUUUAACUACUACUUACUCUGACUUGUUGAAAGUGCAAUCAUGCCCUUAAUCUUAUUUUGAUGUUGAUGACAACAUGCAUUUUUGGAACUAAUCAUGUUAUCAAGUAUAUCUCAGGAUUAUGUUUCAAGUGCUAUGUGUGUGGAUCAUGACUACAAGCAAAGAGGUAUAUAUUACUCAAGAGCGGAGAAUACAAGACAAAUGGCCUUGGCCCUUUAUUUUCAUUUUGUUCUUGAGUAUAGGGAUCCCGCACUAUUAAGAGGGGACCGUUGGAUAGCGUGAAAGACUUGCUCAAAGUACACAAAACACUUCUUCUAUCAUCUUUUUAGUUUUCAUCAUGUGUGCACAGUCUAUUUUGUGUCUGUGAACCUGCUGGACUAGCCUUCACAACUGACCGGACUUCCGGUGCUCACCGGACGUCUGGUACAUCACAAACAGAACACUUAUUAACGGAUGUCCGGUUUCUCCGGACGUCCGUUACAUCCCAACAGAACAUAUAUUAACGGAUUUCCGGUGUCACCGGACGUCCAGUCAGCGGUUGGCUGCUACUCUCCGGACGUCCGCUACCUGUGUUGUGUUCACGGUCAGAUUUGUACUCCAGCGAGCGGACGACCGGUUGCCCGACCGGACAUCCGGUCCGAUCUGUGUCACCGGUCGUCCGGUACCCACCAGACGUCCGGCAGACCCUGUGCAAUAAGUGACCAAACGGCUAGUCUUUCCCCACCUCCUAUAUAUACACCCUUCCCUCCCACGGGAUAGGGUUGACCAUUCACUUUGAGCCUCACAAGAACACUCCUCACUCUCUCUCUCAUUCAUCCACACUAAAUCCUAGAUUCCCAAGUGUUCUAAGAGCAUUUUGAGAGAAGUUCUUCAAUCAAGUGAUAGAUCCACUUCUUCCCCUUCUUUGCACCAAAGGAAUUCGUGACUUGAGCAAGUUUUGAGCAUUUCCCCAUCGGUCUUGUUACUCUUGGAGGUUGGAGACUCCUAGGCGGUAGGAGUCAUUCGGAGAGGAAUCGAACUUUGUGAUUGUCCUCGGAAAAGUUUGUGAGGGUUUGGAGACCACCCCAAGGUCUACCACUAGUGGUUGAGAAACGCCUUCGUGGUGUUGUAUCAAAGGGAGAAUAGGGUGAGCCUUCGUGGCGUAGGUGUGCCUUCGUGGUAACAUCCGCCCCUCUAACGGUGACUAGCUUCCCUCCAAGGAAGUGAACAUCGGCAUACAUCCUCGUCUCCCGGAGUUGCAGUUAUUCCUAACCCUAACUCUAUACUUGUGGUUACUUGUUGUGAUUGCACUUACUUACAUCUUAUUGUGCUUGCUCACUUAUAUGCUUGUGUUACUUGCCUAGUACUUUGCACUUACUAGCAAUUGUUAGGCUCACCUUCAUAUUCCAUUCUAUUGCCUAAAAUUGCUUAGUAAUAAUUAAAAUUUGUAAUUGUACCUAUUCACCCCCCCCUCUAGGUCCAUCUCGAUCCUUUCAAUUGGUAUCAGAGCCUCGUGCUCUAUUCUUGUGGCUAAACGCCCUAGAGCGGGAUGAACUCGGAUGGGACUCCCCUGGUUGUAGAUCCUAAGGAUAAAGGUGAGGCUUCCUCUGAAGUCAAGACCUUUACGUCGAAGGAUCUAGAACGGGCCCUUGCUAAGCAAAAAGAGGAGCAUGAUGCUUCUCUUGAGGCCUUGGUCCAAAUGAGAUUAGCCACGUUGUCCACGGUGCUUGCACCACUCUCGGGUGGUGCUGCUUUGAGGCCAACUGUGCCUACUCCAUCACUUGGUCAACAACCUCCUAGCAAUGAACACGCCAGUGUUCCUUGGCUUUAUGCAAGACCUCAGGUUGAGAAACCAAGAUAUAACCCUCAAGGCAAACCUCCUUUACUAAGUGCCACUUCCGAUUUUGCCUUGUGGAGAGUUGCUAUGCAGGAUCAUCUUCGACAUGGAAAUGACGAGAUGCUGGAAAUCUUGGAGUAUGGCUAUCAUGUGGUUGAUCCAAAGAACCCCACACCAAGAGAAAUAUAUGACAAGAACCUCAAUGACACUGCUAUCAUGUGUAUAAGGAGAGGCAUGGAUGAAAAGCAAAGGAGACUGUUCAUACACAUCACAAGUGCCAAGGAACUAUGGGAAAGUAUCAUACGAUCCAAGACUGGCACCUCUACCCUCCGGAGUGCUCAAUAUGAAAUUGCCAAGGGGCAAUUCCAAAACUUUUGUAUGGAGAAAGAUGAAACCCCCAAUCAACUCCAUGAGCGCCUCAUGACUCUCACUGCCGAUAUUGAGUCGUGUGAGUGUGACAAGACACAAGAUGGAUUCGACAUGACUAAGAUAUUCCUUGUGGAUAAAUUGCUUCAUGCUCUUGCUCCAUAUCACCAUCAAAUGGUGUGGGACAUAAGACAACAUCAUACUUUCAAGCAAAUGACUACAGAUGACAUCAUAUCCACCUUUCAACUAUUUGAAGAGUCAAAGGCUAAUGCCACAAAACAUCUUGCCAUGCAUGGUUCCACAUCAUCAAAGGUCAAUCUUGCAUUGAAGGCCAAGCAUGUAUGUGAAGAUGAGCAAAGUGAAGAAGAAGAAGAAGAUGAUGAUGAUGAAGAUGGUGAUGAGAUUGAAUCCGAUGAGGGCCCGUCAUAUGAAGACAUGGCUCUCUUUGUCAAGAAGUUUAGCGCGGGAAAAUUCAAGGGAAGAUUCCAAAAGAAGAAAGUAAGAAAAUGCUACAACUGUGAGGAAACCAACCACUUCUCAAAUGAGUGCCCUUAUGAGAAGAGAGAAGAUAGACCAAGGUUUCCCAAGACCUUUCCUAAUAAGAAGUUGCCAAAUCCUUUGAACUCCAAGCUCAAGAAGAGAGAUGGGAAAGCAAUGGUUGCUCAAGAAGAAUCCGAUCCGGAUGAUGUUAGUGGUGUUGCCGGAGUUGCUCAAGAUUCGCAAAACACAUUGAGGCUAGUCAAUAAGAGUGGUGAAGUUGUCACCUACAACUACAUGAAGGAUUACAAGGGCAACACUCACAAGUGCCUCAUGGCGAAGGCCGUGGUAGAAGAUGGAGAGGAUCAAAACUCUCCUGACAAGGUCAAGGUAACCCCACGAUCAAACCCUCCUCUUCUCACUCCUCCUAUUUCUAGUGAUCAGUAUCUUGAUGCGGAGGAUAGUUAUGAGGAUGAUGAUCUAAAUGAUCCUAUGCUUGCUAAACUUAAUAAAUUUAUGUGCUCCCUCAAAGAAAAGAAGCUCACUAUGUUUUGUAUGCUUAUGGAGAUGGUGAGUAAGCACACCAUCACCAUUAAGGAACUCGAAACCCUCGUCACCGAGGAAAAGGAAAAAUGUGAAAUCCUUGAGCGGAAAGUCCAAUAUGAGGAAACACGAAAUGAUGAACUAUGCUUAAAAAUUGGCACAAAUAUUGAUGUUCAUACUAAAGAUCUUGCCUCCUUGAAAAAGGCUAUUGGCUCUUGUGAAGAGUUUAUGAAUGAUAAAAGUAAGCUUGUGAAGUCUCAUGCUUCUCUCUCUAAGGAUUGUGAGCUUCUAUCCAUGUCCCUCAAGACUAAGGAAGAAGAGCUCACCCUUCUUACAAAGAGUUUUGAGACGCUCAAACUUACUUAUCUUGAAACUCUAGCUAAGGCCUAUUCAUCUCCUAUUAUAAAUGUUGAUGCUUGUUCUACUAACUCUAGUAGUGAUCUAGCAUCUAUUCUUGAGGAAAAUCGUUUUCUCAAGGCUCAAAUUGAGAAAGGGCUCAUGACAUGUGCUCAAGGGCAAAAGAACCUUAAUGAGGUGUUGAGCCAACACAAUGAAGUGUUCGCCAAAGAGGGACUCGGGUUUGACCCAAGCACAAGCAAGAAGAAGACAUUCUCUCAAAAGUGCACCACUCCUUUGAAAGAAACUUUUGUACGAGAAGGACACAAGGAGAAAGGUAAGGUUGCUAGUGAGAAGGCCACAAGGGGCAUGCCCACUCUCAACAAGCCAAAAGAGUUCAUGCCUCCAUCCUAUGUACUUCGUAAGACUAAGGAUGGAGAAGUUUAUGCAAAGUUUGUUGGUCCUCGAAAUGCAUUUCGGUUUUAUGCUAUUUGAGUCCCUAAGACCCUUGUGACUAACUUGAGAGGUCCCAUUGCAAGAUGGGUGCCUCUAAUCAAGUAAUAAUUGUGUGUAGGUUGCCUUCCCCGGUGGAGUAAAGUGGGUGAUUGAUAGUGGAUGUACCAAUCAUAUGACUGGAGAUAGCAAAUUGCUCUACGAUUUCAUGGAAGCUAUUCAACCAUUUAUGAGCAUUAUGUUUGGUGGAGGAUCAAAAGGACAGGUACUUGGGUUGGGGAAGGUGGCUAUCACAAAUGACAUGUCUCUUGCAAAUGUCAUGCUUGUCCAAUCCCUUAAAUAUCAUUUACUUUCUGUUCGUCAAUUGGCAUCUGUUGGUUAUGAUACACUAUUUGGACUAACGGAUGUGAAAGUCUUUAAGAGAGAUACUCUCGAAGUGGCCUUUGUUGGAGAGUUGGAUGGCAACCUUUACACGGUUGAUUUCUCGAAAGAGAGCACAUUCCAUGCAACUUGUCUAAUGGCCAAGGCCGACAAGGGGUGGCUAUGGCAUCGCCGGCUAGCCCAUGUCGGCAUGAGAAAUCUUCAAGAUCUCUUAAAGGGAAAUCACAUCCUUGGACUAACAAAUGUCUCUUUUGAGAAAGACCGUGUGUGUAGUGCAUGUAUAGCCGGGAAGCAACAUCAAUCAAAGCACCCACCCAAGAAUAUUGUGUCUACUUCAAGGCCUUUGGAGCUCCUUCAUGUGGAUCUUUUUGGGCCUCCUUCAUGGGAUAGUCUUGGUGGGAAAAAGUAUGGACUUGUCAUUGUUGAUGAUUACUCAAGAUAUACAUGGGUGUUUUUCCUCAAGUCCAAGGACGAGACAAAGAUCACUUUCAUUGACUUUGCCAAGCAAGCACAACGCAAGUUUGACAAAGAAAUCUUGGCAAUAAGAAGUGACAAUGGAUCUGAGUUCAAAAACUACACCUUGGAAGAAUUCCUUAGUGAUGAAGGGAUUGAGCAUCAAUAUUCAGCUCCAUACACUCCUCAGCAGAAUGGUGUAGCCGAAAGGAAGAACCGCACACUUGUGGAGAUGGCAAGGUCAAUGUUGGAUGAAUACAAGUCACCACAUAGUUUUUGGGCCAAAGCUGUCAACACCGCAUGCCAUGCAUCAAACCGGCUCUUCCUCCGCACUAUAUUGGAAAAGACUCCAUAUGAGCUUCUAACUGGAAACAAGCCAAAUGUCAAGUACUUUCGUGUAUUUGGGUGCAAAUGUUUCAUCCUCAACAAAAGAGAACGGUUAGGAAAAUUUCAAUCCAAAACUAUUGAGGGUAUAUUUGUUGGCUAUGGAUCAAACUCUCACGCCUAUAGAGUCUACAACAAAUCCAAUGGAUGUGUUGUAGAAACUUGUGACGUGGUGUUUGAUGAAUUUAAUGGCUCCCAUGGGGAGCAAGUUGAUCUAAGUGAUGUAGGUGAAGAAGAUUCUUCUCAAGACAUUUUGACCAUGGGUGUUGGUGCACUUCUUCCUAUGGAACAAGAACCUCAUGAUGAUGAAGAAGAAGAUGGAAGUCUCACACAUCAUCAAACUACUUCAACAUCCAUACCACCACAAGCUCCUAUUGUUCAACCGAUACCCUUAUCCCAAGUUGAAGAAGAUGAUCAAGUUCCUCCUCAUGACAAUCUUCAAGAACAAGAACAAGAAAAUCCAAUCAUUGAUGAUGAACCUCAACAAAUGCAAUAUGAACAAGAAGAUCUUCCUCCACACAUUAAUGAUCCAUAUGUUGAGGAUGUGGAUGAUGGACAUGAAGUUGAACCUCGUGAAACCCUUACCUCUAUCAUGCCACGAGUGGCCGGUCGUGUUGAUGUUGACAAAAUACUCACCGGCAUAUCGGAAGGUAGGGUCACUCGUAAACAUUUGACCAACUUUUGUGCUCACUUUUCUUUUGUGUCUACUUUUGAGCCCAUCAAGGUACAAGAUGCAUUGAUGGACAACGAUUGGCUAGUUGCUAUGCAAGAAGAGUUGAACAAUUUUGAAUGCAACCAAGUGUGGUCAUUAGUCAAGAGGCCACCUACCGAGCACAACGUCAUUGGAACAAAAUGGAUUUUCAAGAACAAACAAGAUGAGAAUGGUGUGAUCAUCCGAAACAAGGCAAGGUUAGUGGCACAAGGGUACUCACAAGUUGAAGGUUUGGACUUUGGUGAGACCUUUGCUCCCGUUGCCCGUCUUGAAUCCAUUCGCAUCUUACUUGCUUAUGCUGCUUUCAAUGGUUUUACAUUACAUCAAAUGGAUGUGAAGAGUGCUUUCCUUAACGGUCCUCUACAAGAAGAAGUAUAUGUAUCACAACCACCUGGGUUCAUUGAUCCCGAUCACAAAGACUAUGUGUAUAAACUUCAUAAGGCUUUGUAUGGCCUCAAACAAGCACCUCGUGCUUGGUAUGAUCAUCUUAAGAAGUUUUUACUCGAUGAUGGUUUUGUGAGAGGGGUGAUCGAUCCCACUCUUUUUACUAAGAGGGAUAAGGGUGAUUUGAUCUUAUGCCAAAUCUAUGUAGAUGAUAUCAUUUUUGGUUCUCCUAACAUUCAUUUGUGCAAGAAGUUUGCGGACUCAAUGACCAAGAAUUUUGAAAUGUCACUCAAUGCGGAUUUGAAGUUCUUCCUCGGAUUUCAAAUUCAACAAUUUCAAGAAGGAAUUUUCUUGUCUCAAGCAAAAUACCUCAAGGAUAUCUUAGAGAAGUUUGGUAUGUCUGAUGCUAGUCCAUGUAAGACACCAAUGCCAACCAAAAUAACUCUCACUGAAGACACAAACGGUAUCCUCUUCGACCCAUCUAAAUACCGCUCUAUGAUUGGUUCAUUGCUUUAUCUUUGUGCAUCUAGACCAGACAUCAUGUUCAGUGUAUGCAUGUGUGCUAGAUUUCAAGCUUUCCCUAAGGAAAGUCAUCAUAAGGCGGUUAAGCAUAUUCUUAGAUACCUUGUUCACACCCAAAAGUUGGGCCUCUGGUACCCCAAGGAUGCUAAGUUUGAUCUUAUUGGGUACACGGAUGCGGAUUGGGCUGGAGACAAAGUGGAUCGUAAGUCCACAUCCGGUGCAUGUCAGUUUCUUGGGCGAUCAUUGGUGAGUUGGUCCUCGAAGAAACAAAAUUGUAUUGCUCUCUCCACCGCAGAAGCUGAAUACAUUGCUGCCGCCAGUUGUGCAACUCAGUUGUUAUGGAUGCGGCAGACUUUAAAGGAUUACGGUAUCACCUAUAGAAAUGUGCCUCUUCUGUGUGAUAAUGAAAGUGCCAUCAAUAUUACUGAGAACCCCAAAGAUCAUCUCCGCACCAAACACAUUGAUAUUAGGUAUCAUUUCUUGAGAGAUCAUGUUGAAAAGGGUGAUAUUCACAUUGAUCACAUUGGUACAGAUUUUCAACUAGCAGAUAUCUUCACCAAACCUCUAGAUGAAGCAAGGUUCUGUCGACUUAGGCGUGAACUUGGUAUCUUGGACCUUGACAACAUUAUGUGAAAACUAGUACUCAUGCAUGCAUUGUCAUAAUGUCCUGUCUCUAUGUAGGCAUAUACUUAGGGGGAGACACUCAACUCAUGUGUUCUCUCUCCCUAUGAAAUGCAUAAAAAGAACAACCACUCUCAAAGCUACCAUGUUCCUCUAACUAUGGUGCUUUCAAUGAUGGCGUAGUGAUUAUGGACCCAAAGUUAAAAUCUUUGCAGUGUCAUGUCACGUAUACGCAUACAUGGUGGUAUCUGCCACCGCAUUGUCAUUAGAACAACGUGUGAGCAGUAUGUGAAUUUAUUAGUGUUGACUUAGGAAACUCAGUGUUUCACCCAGGGUGUCAUUGCAUCCUUACUACCUAUGUCACUCAUCAUCUCUCCAACAUUGUCAUUAGCACCAACUAUGGCACUCUAAUCUUUCUCUGUAUAAAUACAUAAAAAAAGACAAAAAAAUAUAUAAAAAAAUCUGCCGCCGGACGUCCGUCAGUACCGGACGUCCGUCAAAUCCUCUCUGGUGCUCUUGUACCGGUCGUCCGCCGUAUCCGGACUUCCGCUAAUUUUUGCUCUGCCUAAACGCGUCGGUCGUCCGUUGUUACCGGUCGUCUGCUACUCCACUCAGGCCCCGGACGUCCGGUUCACACCGGAUGCCCAGUACAUUAUAUAUAUAUAUAUGUUGUGGUGUGCGGUCCAGUCCUUCCUAAACCUAACUCAUCCCCACUCUCCGUGUCGCCGCCGCCACCACCGCCACCACCGCCGCCGCCUCUGCCGCCGCCGCUCUCUCUCCUUGCUGCUCUUCACGGGCUGGGCCCCUCGCCGCCGGGACCCCGGUGGCUCCCCUUUCGGCGGUCGUCGGGCCUCCGGUCGCCCCCUUCUCUCGACCCGGCCGGCAUCGGGGGACGAUACCUUCCCCGUCGCAUCCUCCUCUCAACCUCUCGAGGUAGCUACUGCUAUUCUCCUUCCCCCCCUCCCAUUGCUCUAACUUUCUUGCGCUAUGGCGAUUGUUAAAGUGUUGGAGUCUCCUCCUUUGCUAGGUAACCAUGCCAAGGACAAAGCGCUCUGCUCGCAAGCAGGUCAACGAUGGGGGCUCUCGUCCGUCUCGUCGUGGUGGGUCCGAUGAUUCACAGGAGCAUGCUUGUCCUCGGAAGCGUGCCGCUCACCCUCCCAGCUCCACUAGCGCCUCUUCGUCGGAAGAAUCUGACUACGAGGAUGAAUUGGAAGAAAUGGAGGAACCCGCUCAUGUUGCUGUUUGCACCACUGCACCCAAGCCUGGAAUACGUCAGCCCACAUUCAAGCCUCCUUCUCCUCCGGUUCAACCUCCAGGUGCUGCCCGUCGCAUCUCUCUUGAACCUCCACUCUCUCACGGCCGCCCCAUCAAACAGUUCAAUAAGGUUCCCAUCGCUUCUUACCUUAAGCUUCGUCGUGAUGUAGAUCAAUUCACUGUUCUUAGCGAUUCACAGGAUGCUCAUUUUCACACAAAUGUCCAAGCCGACAUUUUCACCACUAUAGUCAUUCCUAAAGGUUUAUCGCUCCAUUGGUGCAUCGACUUAGAGCAUAUCCGCACUCAUCCGGCGAAAUAUCCGGGAGCUAUUGAACUAAUUGAGUCCUCGAAUUUUGCUGCACCAUUUGCAUUCCAGCAUGAUUAUAACCAGGCUGCAAUUCAUCAAUUCUAUGCCACUUGUUACUUUGGUCCUGAUAAAACUGUCACUUGGAUGACCUCCGACACCGUGCUCACGGCAUCCUAUGAUCAAUUUGUUGCUGCACUUGGUUUUCCUGACACAGGGUUCAAAAUCCAUAAGGAUGACCCUAACCAUAGGCCCAAGGGCAUAGAGGUCUGUAUGGAUCUUCUCAAGCCCAUCAGUGAAAUGUCUAGUGAGGAGAAACAAAAGGGCCUGAAUCAAGUUUCAAUUUGGCGCUCACCCUUCUACAUCAUUUUUCAGUGUGUUAUUCGCACCAUUUAUCCCAAGAUGGGUGACAAGGGGUCAUGUAACAGCUACUCAUUGAUCUCAUGCAUCGCCUCUAUGUGUCUCCCAAAGGGAAGAUAAAUAUCCCUCAUUUUCUGUGGCAUGAGAUCCGUCUGGCUUGUUUUCAACACAAGCGAGCCUUUCCUCAUGCCCCCUUUCUUCAGGCAUUUAUCGAGAGUGUUGCUCCGUUUCCCAUUGCCCGCACUCACUUGCAUGAAUGUUGGAUCAUUCCAUCUCACAUGGCGGAUGAUUGGGUUCCCAAGGACUCUGUUGCUCCUGCUCGUCGUACCCCGGCUAGUGUUCCUUCUUCCACCACUCCGUCUACUUCUUCCAGCUCCGCACCUUUUGGUCGCAUCUCUCGCUUUCUUGGGAAGGCCCACUCUGCUAUGAUGAAGAUGUUUACCUUUCAUUGCACCCAAAACCACACCGUUGUCACACGCUUGGUCACUUCCAAGAAUGCUCUAAAGGCUCGUCUGCGAGACUCCGGAGUGUACGAUGUAAGUGACGAUGAACGUCUUCCUGAUGCUCCACCUGCUGAUUUCGGUUUUCCUUCGGGUCCCGAGUGGGCUGACUUUCUUGAUGAGGCUGGUGGUAGUGGUGCUCGUGACAGUGAUGAUGAUGAUGCUCUUUGAUGCUGCUCUGAUUCCUCCUUUUUGGUUAUUUGCUACCAAGGGGGAGUAGGCACUUGUUUAUGUACCAUAGGCACCUAUUUAUGUAAUGUGAUGAUGCUAUGUUAUUAACUUGUUAUCGAACUCAUGCUAUGUUAGUAGCCUACCUGUUAUCUAUAUUAUAUAAGGACUUGGGUAUUGAGUUUCGGUGUUUUUAGUCUCGGUGGUGUUGGUAUCAUAUUAAAGGGGAGUCCCUCUCAUGCUUAUCUUUAGUUAUUGCACAUAAUGAGGGGGAGCUCCACAUCAUAUUCUUCGAUACUAAAUGUUUUUACUUCUUUCGAUAUUCAAAGACUACUUAAAAAAAGUGCAUGUAUGUUGUCAUCAACUACCAAAAAGGGGGAGAUUGAAAGUGCAAUCAUGCCCUUAAUCUUAUUUUGAUGUUGAUGACAACAUGCAUUUUUGGAACUAAUCAUGUUAUCAAGUAUAUCUCAGGAUUAUGUUUCAAGUGCUAUGUGUGUGGAUCAUGACUACAAGCAAAGAGGUAUAUAUUACUCAAGAGCGGAGAAUACAAGACAAAUGGCCUUGGCCCUUUAUUUUCAUUUUGUUCUUGAGUAUAGGGAUCCCGCACUAUUAAGAGGGGACCGUUGGAUAGCAUGAAAGACUUGCUCAAAGUACACAAAACACUUCUUCUAUCAUCUUUUUAGUUUUCAUCAUGUGUGCACAGUCUAUUUUGUGUCUGUGAACCUGCUGGACUAGCCUUCACAACUGACCGGACUUCCGGUGCUCACCGGACGUCCGGUACAUCACAAACAGAACACUUAUUAACGGAUGUCCAGUUUCUCCGGACGUCCGUUACAUCCCAACAGAACAUAUAUUAACGGAUUUCCGGUGUCACCGGAUGUCCGGUCAGCGGUCGGCCGCUACUCUCCGGACGUCCGCUACCUGUGCUGUGUUCACGGUCAGGUUUGUACUCCAGCGAGCGGACGACCGGUUGCCCGACCGGACGUCCGGUCCGAUCUGUGUCACCGGUCGUCCGGUACCCACCGGACGUCCGGCAGACCCUGUGCAAUAAGUGACCAAACGGCUAGUCUUUCCCCACCUCCUAUAUAUACACCCUUCCCUCCCACGGGAUAGGGUUGACCAUUCACUUUGAGCCUCACAAGAACACUCCUCACUCUCUCUCUCAUUCAUCCACACUAAAUCCUAGAUUCCCAAGUGUUCUAGGAGCAUUUUGAGAGAAGUUCUUCAAUCAAGUGAUAGAUCCACUUCUUCCCCUUCUUUGCACCAAAGGAAUUCGUGACUUGAGCAAGUUUUGAGCAUUUCCCCAUCGGUCUUGUUACUCUUGGAGGUUGGAGACUCCUAGGCGGUAGGAGUCAUUCGGAGAGGAAUCGAACUUUGUGAUUGUCCUCGGAAAAGUUUGUGAGGGUUUGGAGACCACCCCAAGGUCUACCACUAGUGGUUGAGAAACGCCUUCGUGGUGUUGUCUCAAAGGGAGAAUAGGGUGAGCCUUCGUGGCGUAGGUGUGCCUUCGUGGUAACAUCCGCCCCUCUAACGGUGACUAGCUUCCCUCCAAGGAAGUGAACAUCGGCAUACAUCCUCGUCUCCCGGAGUUGCGGUUAUUCCUAACCCUAACUCUAUACUUGUGGUUACUUGUUGUGAUUGCACUUACUUACAUCUUAUUGUGCUUGCUCACUUAUAUGCUUGUGUUACUUGCCUAGUACUUUGCACUUACUAGCAAUUGUUAGGCUCACCUUCAUAUUUCGUUCUAUUGCCUAAAAUUGCUUAGUAAUAAUUAAAAUUUGUAAUUGUACCUAUUCACCCCCCCCUCUAGGUCCAUCUCGAUCCUUUCACUUGUGCCUUGAACUACAUGGUUUGCACCCAAUGUCUAUUACUCUUUUCAAUUUUAUACACAAUUGGCUUAGCGUAUCAUUGCACCUUACAAGGUUUAAAAGAGAGGAGUGAUGUUCCUUUGAUCUUGACCCGUAAUCUAGUUCCGUGCUAGACUUGCCCACACAACGCUACAAUUGCCUGUUUGUAUGUUCUCAGUUGUUUUGUGAUAUGAAUGAUGUCAUACUAUGCUUACCGUAUUAUAAACUUCGUCUCUUUAUCCUUAGCCCUCAAUACAAUGUGAAGAAAUAGAUAAUACAUUAGCGAUGGUACAUGGUCAUAUGUUUGGAACCUGGUUUUAUUAUGUACUUUGCAAUAAAAUACAACUAAUAUUUUACAUGGGUUCACCAGAAUAAGUUAUGUAUAUAGACCAAAGCUAUUUUGUUUGGUUUUGCUGCCUCCUUAAUAUCUUCUAUUCUGGUACUACUAAUGUAAAACCUCAACUUUCUAGCGAGCUAUGGAAAAAAUGGUGGACCGCCACCUUCUGAAGGUGGCGAGGCAACUAUAACCGCAAUGUCAGCUCUUGCUGCAGUGGGUCAGUACCUGCCACUAACAGUGCCAAAAGCACGUUCCUGCGUAAUACUGAGUUGGUUGUUAAGGCAAUAUCAUCCAAACUGCCUCAUGAUCAAGAUAUGCAAGCUCAAAGCAAUGUUGUAUCUGCGCUCCAGACACAAGUCCAUUCCCUAACAAAGACCCUUUGUGAAACAAGGAGAGACAUUGUUCGAUGUCGUCAAGAUAUGCAUGGUUUUGAAACCAGACUAUCAGACAUUUGCUAUGUUGUUCAGGAGCCUAGGGGAAAUGAAGGCGAGGGUUAUGGUGCUCCAUCGGACAAUACAGCAUGAAAAUGUAACAGUCAGGUCAAAUGAACUGAGCUUCUGAACUUCUGGUGGUGCAUUUAUCUGCUCGACUGUUAAGUUUUAUGCCAACCUUCCUUUUGUUAUAUAGUUGUAAUUUGUUUUGGUGCGAUACAAAAUUUAUUCUUAACAUGCAGCCACCGGCUGAAGAAAACAGCAAGCCAUUUUUGUAUAGUGCAGGGUGUUCCCUAUAUUUGCACUGGUGGCGAUCUUUGAUGUCGAGUGGAUGUAAUCUGUGCACUUGCCUUAAUAGCCUAGCGUUAGUUCUGGCCUUAUUUAUUUCCUAGUCUUCUUUUUCCCUGGUUUGCUAGUGGCCGCAACUACCAUGGGCCAUAUACGGGCCGUAGGAUCCAUGGGUCUCCUACGGGCCGUCGAUAAAUGGGCCUCCAACAGGGUCGUAGAAUUGGUGGGCCUCGGACCGUCGGAUAAAUGGGUCUACAUGGGCCAUAAACGGGCGUAAUUGGUAUCGGCUCAACACGGUAACGGGCCGUUAAUAGGCCGUAGGACAGCAAAGGCUUAAUUCUGUCACAAGCAUAAUGGGUUGUUAAUGGGCCAGAAUAUAGGACGGGCUGGAAAUGGUGCAACGGGAUAACAGGCCAGAAACGGGCCGACUCUUGCCAUGGGCUGAAUUUGACCCAUUAAGGUAACAGGCCAGUAACGGGCCGACUCUUGCCAUGGGCCGAAUUUGGCCCAUUAGGGGAACAGGCUAGUAACGGGCCGGAAGUAAUCAAGGACCGGAAAGGAGCCCAAGAACGUAUGGGACAUCAAUAGGCCGAAAGCUAACAUGGGUUGGAAACGGCCCAUGUAAAUCACGGACCGUUAAUGGGUACAAAGAAAAUUAUUGUUCAUUAUGGGCUAGAGUCACCGUGGGCCUGUAAAGGGCCGAAAGAUACGAAGGCCUCAUAUGGGCCGAAAGACGUCGUGGGCCAUACAUGGGCUGAAAGUGAAAUGGGAUGGUGUUAUAUUCGACGGCCCACAUGACGUUGUUGGGCCGAUUUCCUUUAGGGCCUAACGGGCCGUGAGUUAACGGGUCAUAAAAUGGGCUACUUGCGAAGAGACUGUUAACAGGCUUUUCAUGGGCCAGCCCGUUAACUUUUGACCAAGUCAAACGGGUCGGCUUUGUAAGCUAAAUGGGCCAGUGGUGGGCCGUGGCACGUGUCGACAUAUCAUAGGCGCCUAUAUGACCCACUGACGAGCUGACACGUGUUUCGUCCGGCCAAUAAGAAUUUUACAUGUGGAAAUUUCCCAUUGGUCAGGGCUGUUAACGAGUUAUCAGAUCCAAAACCCGACCCGAUAGCUUAAUGAUGUUCCGUUACAGUGGAUGCCACAUGUCGGUCAUCCUUGACGAAAGCACUUCUGUGACGCGCGAUUUAUCGUCAUGGAAGUGGACACUUCCGUGAUGAUAAUUUUGGUAAUGUCAUGGAACACUUCUACGACAGCACAGGUAUGACUACUCUGUCAUAAAAUCGUCAUGGAUGUACAUGCAUGACAAAAAACGCGACCUACUGUGACAAACACGUAUCAUCACAGAAGUGUAUUUUUUUGUAAUGAAUGGUUCCAAGGUUGAUGUGAUCACCGUCGGCACGCUACCUCUACAUCUACCUUGGGGAUUAGUUUUAGACCUUAAUAAUUAUUAUUUGGUGCCAGGAUUGAGCAUGAACAUUAUAUCUGGAUCUUGUUUAUUGCGAGACGAUUAUUCAUUGAAGUCAGAGAAUAAUGGUUGUCUAUUUAUAUGAGUAACAUCUUUUAUGGUCAUGCACCCUUAGUGAAUGGUCUCUUAUUAUUGAAUCUUGAUCUUAGUGAUACACAUAUUCAUAAUAUUGAUGCCAAAAGAUGCAAAGUUGAUAAUGAUAGUGCAACAUACUUGUGGCACUGCCAUUUAGGUCAUAUUGGUGUAAAAUGCAUGAAGAAACUCCAUGCGGAUGGACUUUUGGGAUCAAUUGAUUAUGAAUCAUUUGAUACUUGCGAACCAUGCCUCAUUGGUAAGAUGACUAAAACUCCAUUCUCCGGAACGAUGGAGCGAGCUAAUGACUUAUUGGAAAUAAUACAUACCGAUGUAUGUGGUCCGAUGAGUGUUGAAUCAUGCGGCGGGUAUCAUUAUUUUUUGACCUUCACAGAUGAUUUGAGUAGGCAUGGAUAUAUCUACUUAAUGAAACACAAGUCUGAAACAUUUGAAAAGUUAAAAGAAUUUCAUAAUGAAGUGGAGAAUCAUCGUAACAUGAAAAUAAAAUUUCUAUAAUCCAACCGCGGAGGUGAGUAUUUGAGUUACGAGUUUGGCCUUCAUUUUAAGACAAUGUGGAAUUGUUUCACAACUCACACCACUUGGAACACCAUAGCGUAAUGGUGUGUCCGAACGUCGUAACCGUACUUUAUUAGAUAAGGUGCGUUAUAUGAUGUCUCUUACCCAUUUGCCUUUAUCAUUUUGGGGUUAUGCAUUAGAGACAGCCGCAUUCAUGUUAAAUAGGGCACCGUCUAAAUCCGUUGAGACGACAUCGUAUGAACUAUGGUUUGGCAAUAAACCUAAAUUGUCGUUUCUUAAAGUUUGGGGAUGCGACACUUAUGUCAAAAGGCAUCAGCCUGAUAAGCUCGAACCCAAAGCGGAGAAGUGUACUUUCAUAGAUACCCUAAAGAAACUAUUCUAUUGCUAAGGAUGGUCAUUUCAUAGAUACACCGUAUGAACCCAAAGUCCCAUGCAGUUGGGAAAGGUGGAAAGUCCACUUUUUUAUGGAAGGGAAGGAGGACUAGGAUUCCACCUCCUCCCCCCUUGGCUGCGCCCUAGGGUUUGGAGGGGUUGUUCCCCAUGCCCCCACCUAUAUAUAGGGGAGGGGGCACCCCAAGAGUAUACACAAAGCCCUUGGCGCCCCUAUCUCUCCCGUUACUCCAUAGUUCCACCGCCUCCUCCCGGCGACGCUUAGCGAAGCAUUGCCGGUGCUCCACCACCAUCAUCAUCAUCACACCAUCGUGUUGGUUGUGAUCCCAUCUACUUCUCCUCUCCCUCUUGCUGGGUCAAGAAGGAGGAGACGUCAUCGAGCUGCACAUGUGCUAAACUUGGAGGUGUCGUCCUUUCAGCACUAGACCGGUUGGAUCGUGAUCGGAUUGUGAAGAGUACGACUACAUCAACCGCGUUAUAUACGCUUCUGCUUAGCGAUCUACAAGGGUAUGUAGAUGCUCUCCCCCUCUCCUAGCUAUGCAUCUCCAUGGAUAGAUCUUGCAUGUGCGUAUAAUUUUUUGUUUUCCAUGCAACGUUAUCCAACAUGAAUCGAUCACGGAGGGCUUCUACAUCGACCUUGCUGCCUUCCGAGAUGCAUGACUAGUUCACCACAGACCUACAGGUACAUAGCUAGUAGCUAGAUGGCUUCUUCUCUCUCUUUGAUCUUCAAUACAAUGUUCUCCUCGAUGUUCUUGGAGUUCUAUCCGAUGUAAUCUUGUUUUGCGGUGUGCCUGUUGAGAUCUGAUGAAUUGUGGCUUUAUGAUCUGAAUAUUCAUGAGAAGUAAUUUAGUCUUUUCUGAAACUUAUUAUGCAUGAUUUUUAUAGCUUUGUAUUUCUCUCCGAUCUAUCCGUUUUGUUUAGCCAACUAGAUUGAUUUAUCUUCACUGGGAGAGGUGCUUUAUGAUGGGUUCAAUCUUGCAGUGCUCUAUCCAAGUGACAGAAAGGGACAAGACACGUAUUUGUAUUGUUGCCAUUAAGGGUAAAAUGAUAGGGUUUAUUCAUAUUGAUUGGGUUUACUCUUUCUACAUCAUGUCAUCUUGCUUAAGGCGUUAAUCUUUUUUUAUUAACUUAAUACCCUAGAUGCAUGCUGGAUAGUGGUCGAUGAGUGGAGUGAUAGUAGUAGAUCCAGGCAGGAGUCGUCGGUCUACUUGUCUCAGACGUGAUGCCUAUAUACAUGAUCAUUGCCUUGGAUAUCAUCAUAACUAUGCGCUUUUCAAUCAAUGCCCAAUAGUAAUGUGUUCACCCAUCAUAUGCUAUUUGUUUGAGAGAGAUGCAUCUAGUGCAAACUAUGGCCNNNNNNNNNNNNNNNNNNNNNNNNNNNNNNNNNNNNNNNNNNNNNNNNNNNNNNNNNNNNNNNNNNNNNNNNNNNNNNNNNNNNNNNNNNNNNNNNNNNNNNNNNNNNNNNNNNNNNNNNNNNNNNNNNNNNNNNNNNNNNNNNNNNNNNNNNNNNNNNNNNNNNNNNNNNNNNNNNNNNNNNNNNNNNNNNNNNNNNNNNNNNNNNNNNNNNNNNNNNNNNNNNNNNNNNNNNNNNNNNNNNNNNNNNNNNNNNNNNNNNNNNNNNNNNNNNNNNNNNNNNNNNNNNNNNNNNNNNNNNNNNNNNNNNNNNNNNNNNNNNNNNNNNNNNNNNNNNNNNNNNNNNNNNNNNNNNNNNNNNNNNNNNNNNNNNNNNNNNNNNNNNNNNNNNNNNNNNNNNNNNNNNNNNNUAGGGAAAAUAGAUACUACCACCUAGUGGUAGUUACCCCCACCCUAGCAGCCAUCCGAUCUCAUUCUAAUUGCGGGCUGUGAUUAACGGGUUAAGUUGUAAAACUAGUUGAUUCAUCUCCCCAGCCCGAUAGGAAAAAAUAAUCAGAUAAUUCCAGUUUUUAUGCAUGGCCCGGAAUAUAGCUAGCCAGCCGUUUCCAACAACUUGGCUACCUCCCCUUAAAAAAAACUACUUGGCUACCAUUAGUUCUAGCCUCCCGCAUGCAUGCACACAUAUACAUUUUUUUAGUUGAACGCAUGCACACAUAUACUUAAACUGUAUAUAGUUCACACUACGUUUUUUUUGCGGGUAACACACUACAUAUUCUCUUCUGAAAAACUUCAUAUACUUGCCCACAACCAUGUAUAUACUUGACACUACAUACUCUUCGGGGGUAUAUAAUUCCUUUUGGUUCGAAGAGAAGUAUAUAUGAUUCCUUCGUUUCUUGAUCGUACACACAUACUAGAGCUAACAGUAGUAUGCUGUUCCAUUCUUCAGAAAAGGUACUAUAUACUAAAUAAAAAAUACAACUUUUUUGGGGCACAUAGUCUGUACGCUAAGAGAAAUGAACACAUGCCAUUGGAUUUUUUAUAUAUAUUGAUACUUCCAUUCUACUGCUGAAAGUAUACAUAUACACCAAAAUACACUUUUUCCAAACCAUAUACUCCUUUGUCCAUACUACAUACUCCCAUACUAUUUUUUGGUACAUACUACCAUCCUAUUUUUUCAGAAUAUACUACUAUACGACAUACUAUUUUUUUCAACUGCAUAUAGUCCUCAGUCCACACUAUAUACUUGUAUCAUACUAUUUUUCAGAAUAUACUACCAACUAUUUUUUCGGAAUAUACAACCAUACUACAUAUUACAUACCAUUUUCUCAAAAUAUACUAUAAAAAUUUGGUGGUACAGUACGUAUCCAAGAGCAUAACUAUAAUUUGUUCAAACAUAUGGAAUCGGGUAGAUAGAAUAUUUUGUUAGGCCAUGCAGUAGUUUACUUUUGCCAACCUAGCUUACACGUACGUAUCCAUCUUAUGAGAUGCGGUGCAUGCCUUCAGCAAAAAAAAA